rnacentral:lncRNA from 1 species
UUUUUUUUUUUUUUGUUGUUGCUUGCAUGUAAGCCUAGGAAUAAGAACUUUGGAAAUGGUUCUUUGAUAUAUAAAUAUGACGGGGUAAAGUUUGUUGUUCAAGGUGUUGUUCAUAUUUCUGUUAUAUGAUUCUUGGCCCCUUAAAGCUGAAAACUUUGGUGGGUAUUGAAGAAUGUAAGUAAUUAGCAUCCAGAUUUUGAAGUUUGUUUAUAUUAGGAAGUGGGCAGAAUGUGGUCUUGUUGGUUAGGAGGUGAGUGAUGAUGGGUUACUGCUGCUUUGUCUAGGAUCAAACAAUUUUUUGAUUUCACACGUGUUUUUGAUUCCUCCGGACCAUAUUAACGUUAAUGGAUUUGUAUUGUCAUUUGGUUGUGAGAAUUCUAAGAUAUCAACAAAACAUAGGUUGUUGUUUUGUAUCAAUAUUUUGGUGCCUGGCAUAUCAGGAGAAUGGAAAUUUGCUUCUAUUUCUGUAUGGCUGACCACAAAAGAAACGUUUUUGAUGUUAAAAGUGCAUGGACUUGCGAAUGGAUUUUAAUUGCAUGAACCUGAAGCUUUCUAGAUUCAUUCAAGGUGAAAGCUGUGAUUUUUCUUUUUGGGAGCUUCCUGGUGCUUUUGUAUGAAAAAUUAUGAAUCCAUUAUGUAAGGUUGGUGAUUCCAUUUUGUUUGAACUUAGUAUGGCUUUCAUAUGUUUUUAAAUACUUUUGGAUGUGCUUUCAAACUUUUAGGAUAUGAACUUUAUAGCAGACUGUAAACAUGUUCAUUAGCAUAUGAUGAUAUGAGAGCAGUACUAAUCAUUCAUGGAAGUUGUCUAGAGAGAGUUGAAAAUUCUUCUCAUAAUCCCAUGCAAUUAUUAAUGCCAACUGCUUUACCAAAGAUUGAAAUGAUGUCUAAUUGAAUUCAAGAUACUGAAUCUCAGAUACUCGUCAAGAGAUGAAAGAGAUUAGAGUUGAAACAUGACACAGAAUGUAAAACUAUCAUCAAUUAUGCCUAAGCAUUUCACUUGGUGUGGAUGCUUUUUUAAUUCAAUUUUUUUUGGUUUCUGGAGUCUCAUGUUGUUCUUUAAAUCAGAGGGUUAGAAUUUAAUUUCCUUGCAUUGCUUUAUUUUUAAUCACUUUCCUUAACAUAUUUCUGGUUGAUCAAUACGACUUAUGGAAAGUUUCCAAACUUACCAAAUGUGGCCUAUUGUAGUUGUAGCCAUCAACUUGUUAAAUCCUUGGUUUUGGGGCCAAAAAAUUAUUUGCCUAAACUGUAAGGAUAUUUUGGUAGAUGGAAAUAAAUUUUUAUUAUUCUUGUUUGUAAUUCAUCAUGAUUUUUGCUUUGUGCUUGUUAUUGCAUCUUUUCCAUUGCGUCUUUUUCCAUUUUCCCACAAAUAAGUUACAGAACCAGUGACAACAGUUUGUACUUUUCUUCUUGUCAUUACUCUGCCUUUUCAGCUAUAGGUGUUGAUUACCUUGUUUGAAAUCUGUCAUUCAUCAUCAAGUUGGGCAGACCUGUUGAUAAUACAUAAGCUGGCUAUUUUAUAAGAAAAAAAAAAUUAUUCUCUUUCGAGAGAAAAUCACCUUUUAGUCAGAUAAAUCAGAUUACUGUCUUGUUAAUUUUUCUUUAAAUAUGCAAGAAUAACAGAAUGUUCAUACUUUGCACAAUUGGCAAAAAAGCCAUCGGCAAGUGGUUAAUGCUAGGAGAUUUGCAUUUAAAGAUCAUAUGAAUCUAAAAGCCUUUACAGUGUCAAUUUCAUUAAUCUGGGUGUCACUCUGCUGGCAUGUGGGGGAAAUUUGUGUUGUCAUGAUCAAAGUUAAUUCUGCUUUGAUCUGAUUAAACCUGCCUUUUUGAAACAUUUUUCCAAUUCACACAUUUGUAUACUUAUCCUCUAUUUGGGGCUUUAGAGAUUUCCUCAUUUUCUGAGUCUGCAUUGUUUAUCUCUAUAAAAGUUAUGGCACGCAAGAUAUGGUAAUGAGAGCCAAAAGGAUCAUAAAAUUAAUUAGACUACCUUUUUUAUGCACUGGGCAGAUGGGGUUGAGUUUGAGAUUGAAUUAUAUGGAAAAUUGCAUCAAUCUUUCGUAACAGUUCUACUCUUUUUUGUACACUUCAUGUGUGGAAGAGUAUUCUUACAGCCUCUGUUUAAUAUCUACAAGGGGAGGGAAGGGAGAGAGAGCAGAAGAGGAGGAGAAGAGGGGAAAGGAGAAGACGAGGCUCCUGUUGUUUUGAUUGCUUUAAAAAAGAAGAGGGAUACGAAGGUAAGAAGUGGGUACUUGAGUGACCUUCUUUGGCUAAGGAGUAGAAAAGUAAGAAAAUCUACCUUACAUGUCCUUCCUAAUUAUAUUUAUAACAAAGGGUAAUUUUGUUUGUAAAAAGAACUUUUGAUGAAGAAUCUUUUUCUUCCAUUAAAUCUUUCUCAAACUAGGAAGAGGGUACAAUUUCCUACCCUUUCUUUUCCUUCUCCAUAACCCAAAUCUACCUUAGUGUUUGUGUAUAGUGGAAAAAUCUUUUUUGUUCAUUUGUUGAGGGGGGGGGGGGUGUCGGGUGGAAGAUAAUAAAUAAGUGAUAGAAUCAUUGAUGGCUAACCUAAUUCAGUUUUGUUGAAAGUGUGCUUCACUGAACUUCUAAACGUAGGUGUGUAUCCUUGUAUUUUAUGGAGAAGAGAAUGCAAAAUUUUGAUGAUUUCGUGCAAUGAAGCAAGAUUUUUUUCCUUGUGUCUUUUUUUUUCUGUAAUUUCCAGUGAACACCCCCUUAGUAAUGAUGCAACUUAUUGAGACUUCCCCUGUCACUUUUUUCUGAACUUUUGUAGUCCCUGACAUAGCAUGUUAUGAUUUGAUAAAUUCAAAGAUGGCUACCAAGUUAUGGGUUAAUCAAUUAAUUUAUAAAUGAGAUAUUAGAGUCAAAUGAAUAUAAUAUCUCCUCAUCAGGUGGGACAAAUGUGUUGGGAUAAAAGUGUUGAGGCAAAUAGUAUUUUUCAUAUUGUUUUGGCUGUUUGAUACAAAAUGAAAAAUUUAUGUUUUGCCACCUACAAAUCUUUCAUUUUGUUUCUUCAUUACAGGUGUCUGUGUGGUCAGUGAAUAAUGGGAAGCACUGGUGCUGAUAAAGUUCCAAGAGAUAGUGAAACUGAAGGUUCUGAGACCACAAUAGAAAUAAAAAUAAAAACACUGGACUCUCAGACUUAUACUUUGAGAGUAGAUAAACAGGUAAAUAACUCUUAUGCUGUUUUGUCGUGAUCUAAUCUAAGUUCUGAUAGUGUGUAGUAUUGAUAUGUAGUUUAGUUGACCAAUUACAAUUUGUUAAUGCAUACAUGACUUAGAACUUUUUCUGCCCGGUUUGCUUUUGACAAAUCUCUGACUUUGCAUAAUAUAUUUUCUUCAUUUGUUGAAGAACUUGAAUUGUUAAUGUAAGCAUGUUCUCUGAUUUUGCUAGUAGUAGUUCACAUCAAAUUUGGUAUGGUAGCUUCCUACAAUUACUAUGCUAUUUACCUUAUGGAAUCUGAUAUGUUAUGUUGGUACUUAAGGUUUUCUAAUCUUCAAUCUUUUCAUUUCCUUCUGAUUGGCUUGGCCCUUAUACUAGUGUAUUUGUUCUAGAUUUUAUUUGUGAAAUUGUUUAACAUUUGUGCUCCACUAUGUUGUUUCUUGUCUCUUAUAUCUUACAGAUGCCAGUGCCUGCACUAAAAGAACAGAUUGCUUCUGUAACUGGUGUGUUAUCAGAGCAACAACGACUAAUAUGUCGUGGGAAAGUUCUAAAGGAUGACCAACUACUUUCUGCUUACCGUAUCCAUUUCAUUUUAAAUAUUCAUAUUGAUUUGUAAAGAAACUAUCACAUUUUAUUGAUUGUCUUAGGUAAGAAGUUGUUCCUUUCUAUUUAUUAUGGCUAUUUUUCAUUUUUCAGGUAGCCAUGUAUUACUGUUUACAAUGUAAUUAUCUGUUCGCAUCUAGAAUUUGAUCUGAGUUUCUUAACUUGAGAUAGAUGUCGAGGAUGGUCACACAUUGCACAUGGUGGUCAGGCAGCCGGUUCCACCAUCAUCUGAUGGCUCACCUCAUUCAGGUUUUGCUGCACUUUAGGAUCCAUUAUCAUCAUAUUUAUUUUGGUACAAACAUUGCAUGGGCUCAAGCCUUUCAGGAAAAAAAAAUUGCAUGGGCUCUUUAAUCUAGUUUUAUUUAAUGCAAAAGCCUUUAUGUCUUUGCUAGUGGCUUUAUAUUUGAUGGAUUACUAAUAUUGGCCCUAAUUAAUGCUUGACAUGUGUGAAGUAUUGAACUUAGCAUAUUGCUUUACAAAAGCUUGUUUCACUUUAUUGUUUGCCACGUACAUGUUUGAAACAAAGUAUUCAUUGUAAAGAGUUUUAUGUUCUGUGUUAUUAUCUGAAUGUUGGGCAUAAUAUGUGGUUUCACGAUAUAGGUAUGCCUCCUACCCCCUUCGCCCAGUUUCCCUUUUUCAUAGAAUAAUUUAAUGCUAGUGGCAACAAACUUCCGUUGGAUCAUUUUAACCUUCCAAUUACAUUAAUGAGAAAUUCAACUGAUUUUCUGAAAUGAAAUAGUUUAUACAAUUUUGUUAAAAUUUUUUAUGGUAAAUUAUAAGCCAUUAGUAAAAGCCUUGGUCUUACAAGUGCAUGACCUCAUAUGAAAGUCCUUUGAAUGGUGCUUCUGCAAAUGCUAAAAGAAACAUGUAUUUAGAGCACCUCCCCCACUAAUCUUGCUUCUGUAAGGGUACUGAUCCUUAUUUCCUUAUUGAAUGAUAAAUUUGAAUUUUAUAAAAGAAUGUCAAACAAAUAGCAUCCUAAUUAUUUCUUCAUUUUCUUUGCUGCUUUUAGAACUUUACAGGGUGCAAACACUAUAGUGUCCUUUGUGGUUUGCAUGUAUAAACAACAAGUAUUAUUCUAAUCUUCUUGUUUUUAUAUAUAUAGAGCUUCAGAUGAUGAAUAACUAGUAAUACCUAUAUUCAACAAGUAAUAACCUUUGAAUAUCAGAAUAAGAAUAUUUAGUAAAUAUAUUAAACAACAAAUACUAUUUUUCCAUUCAAAUUUAGUUUAAAUGGGCUUUUCGACUUUUAUUGUUAAAGUUCUAAGCCAAUAGGAUUCUACUUCUUUAAGCACUUGUUAUUGCUCAGAUUUUUUUUCUUGAGGAAAUAAUCAUUCAAUCCUCAGUUUUUUCAAGUGUAUUGUGACUUGGAGGUCAUGGGUACAAGUUGUGGCAACAGCCUGUGAGGCUUGGGGUAAGGCUGCCAAAAUUUACUCUCACAGGGACUGUGGUGUGGGAACCUGUUUUUUAUUAUGUUUAGUUAGACUUUUAGCUCGUAAAUUAAAUGGUUGCAUUGUUUGCUAUGGUAGUCUUGUAAUGUCAUAUAUCAAUAGGGACAGUUAUUAAGUUUUUGCAUUGAAAAUUUUACAGUUUGUAAUUCUCUUCCACUAUUAGUAAGAAAUUUAACAAAUUAAUACAUUCUCGUUCUUCCUAAUUGCUUAUUUACAUCUGCAUCAUGAAAUGUUGAGAGGAAGUAAUAUAGGUGAUUAACGUUUCAGUUUUUAUGUGCCUAAAAAGAUUAUAAAAGAUAGACUGCAUAUCCUUCGUUUCAAUUGCUGUCAUGAUGCUUACUUUACUCCCUUUACUCCCUGUGUAGUCCUCUAACAAUUAGCAAGAAGGUCACAGACCAGUGAUGUGCUGAUCAGUGAGAGCAUAAGCAUGUACAGGGACUAAUGAUUUUCACUAAGCCACCAUUCUUUCUGGACCAGAAAAAAGAAGAAUAAAAACUCAUUUAAGAGUUAAUGAUGUGCAAGCUACUAACUUUUUCCAGUUUAUAUUUUAAGGGCUUCGAUCAAAUUCUUUUUGCUUUUAGGUUCAUCUAUUGGGUUAAUCUAAAAAGAACUUCAGUGUUAAUACUUUUAUGAUAUUUUGAGACUCUAUCUUUUACUUCUGAUGCAUGCACAAACACAUGUGAUAUGAAUGUGAUCUUAGUAUCUUGAAGUGGUGUAAAAUAUACUGGGACAAAGUGUCAAUAUGUUCACUACAAGAAUGCUAUCAGCAUCAGAACUGAAUAACUCUAAAACUUGCUUUGUUAUGCUCUCAAUGUCUUGCACAUUUUCUAAUCAUGCAGCAUCUUUCGUAUAUGCAGUAAUACAUUCCGGUCAAGCCUGGGGUCAAGUCAUUGAAGUAGAUUAAUAUACAUAUGUAUUCUCAUGCAGCUCCUUGCAAAAAAAAUGACAAUUUUAUUCUUAGGAUAUACUGGUGGUUAGUAGAUGUACAUAUAUCUAUAUAUUAUAUUAUAUUAUAUUAUCAAAAUUAUUGAGUAACAUUUCCAUAAACAUAGUUAAAAAUGUUGCGUUUGCAGUAGAGGUAGUGGUAGUAACAUGAGUGGGAGCAAAUGUCAAUCCCAACUUCAAACAGUUUUUCCCAGAAGCAAAGAGGUUGAUGCUAGGAAUCCAUCUUGUGUCUUGAGAAAUCUAUAUAUAUAAAAAAAAUAAGAAAUUGUUGUCAUAGGAUGAAGCCAAUUUUAUGUCUUUUUUUUUCGAAGGCUUGAGAGUGUUUUUGUAGUUAAUAAAGAGCAGACUUCUAACCAUUAUGCAGAGAGUAAAUUUUUGUUGUAGCAGCUGAUGUUGAUACAACAUGAUUCUUAUCAUUUAAGUUACCCAGGAACGCUUCUUGGAUGAGCAUUCCUUCUUGUAUGCCUGUUACCCUUUCUCCAGUACAAGCUGCACUUUGUUUGUAAUGAUAAUUUUUUUGAUAAUAUGUGUUUGUAGUAUUAAUUUAUUGUGCAUUGCUUAUGAAAUAAGCUGGUUAAGACUCAGUUAUUAACAUUUAGCACCAUCAUUUGCAGCAAAUGAUUCUGCAUCAGGUACAAGCCGUGGUCACAGUAAUCAUGUAGCCCCUAGUGUUGUGAUAGAAACUUUUAAUGUGCCUGAUCAAGGGGAUGGAGUUCCUCCUGAGAUCAGUCGGGUAAGUUUGCAACUGGAUGUGAACUGGAGAAUAUUUCUACAGGGGAAAUAUAUCUCAUUACGAUGAUUUCUUAAUUUUUAAGACUCUUCUUUCCUUCUGAGCAGAUUGUCUCUGCCGUUCUUGGCUCUUUCGGAUUUGCAAAUAUAGGAAGUGGAAAUAUUGGGGGUGAUGUCAGGGUAAGUUUUAACUUUUUAAUUUUCAUAAAGUAAUGACAGUUAUUUAUCUGAUUCAACUUUUGUUAGUCUUUUGUUGCUUUGAUGUUUAAUGAAAAUGUCUGUACUUGCUAUCUGUGCACAGGCACACAAUAAAUAACUUAAAAAAGGGAUCCAUGAGAUUCAAACAUCCAAAAUUCUAGUUUUCAGAGGUUCAUUUUAGGCCAUGUUUUAACAGGAUGGAAUAUUGACAAUUCUAAGACAUCUUGGAAAAGUUUGGGUUUUGUUUCUCUAAAAUCUAACAGCAUGUUUAGUUGGGGAAUGGAAUAGCCAUCCCUCCUAUUCUUAAUCCUUUUUUUAACACUUUAUUUGGUUGGUAAGAAUGGCCAUUUCUUGGAGAUGAGCGAAUAGCCAAUACGAAGCUCCCCUUGGUAUUGGCGAUUCCAAGAGGCAAGGAAUAGUAAAAACAUUAAUGGACGAAAAUGUCUUUUAUUAAUUUGAAGAAUUACCUUACUAUAUAAAAUACAUUUUAUUCAUUUUUUACAAUUUCUUUCUCUCUCUACCCAACUACCUCUCUCCUUCUCUCAUUAAAUUAAAAUGAAUUUAAAAUUUAAAAAUUAAAAAAUUAAAAUGAAUUUAAAUAAAAAGGUUUAAGUUUUAAUUAUACAUUAUAAAAAGUUAAUAUUUUAAACUUAAAAAGUUUAAAUAAAAUUUUAAUUAUAAUUUUUUAUUAUUUUAAUAUUUUAAAAUUAAAAAUAAAAUAAUGNAUUUUAAUAUUUUUUAAAUUAAAAAUAAAUGAAUAAAAUUAAUAUUUUAAUUAUAAAUAUUUUAAUUUAAAAAUUAAAUAUUACAAUAAAUGGUAUUUUUGUCAUUUAUCACUUAUUCUUUAGUUGUUCCUAAAGCUAUUCUCGCCAACCAAACAUUAGAAUAAUUCAUAAUAGCAAUUCCUUCCCAAUUCCAUUCGUAUGAACUAAACUAUAUAAUAGUUAUUUAUCUCUUAUUCGAUACCAAUGGAAUAACUAUUCCAUUCCCACUUUAUUCCAUCCUGCAAACCAACACACCUUAAAGGUUUUUAUAGGCUUUAAUAUCUAUAGUUAACUUUAUGUGUGUCUAAAUUCAUAUGGUCUUACUUCAUUGGAGUUGUUGGAUACAAAAGGAACAUGGUUCACAAAGACUUGAAAGAACAUCUGGUGCUAGUGGCAUGCCAGAUUCAUCCCAAGCUCAAACGGAACAAGCUAGCAUGAGGGGUCAAUCUGAUAGAGUACAUAGUGCUUUUGGACUUCCAGCAGCAGUUUCCUUGGGGCCUCUGCAACCUCCUGUGAGUUUAUAAGUCCUAACUUUCUUACUCAUUUGUCUGUCACUUUGUAUUUGCCCAGUUGAUUUGUUCAAUUAUUCUCUAAAUCUUGUGUGUGCAUACCUCUUUUUGGGCUUAAAGUUAUUAUAUUUUUCAAUGUUCUUUAUUUUUGUAGGUUAUUCCUGAUUCUUUGGCAACUUUGUCCCAAUAUCUGAGUCAUUUACGACGUGAAUUUGAUGGCAUUGGUUAGUUUUCCUUUGUCAAAAAGUAUAAUUAUAUUAUCUCUGUCAGUUACUCCAAAAAGUACCGGUUCAUUGAUGAUUUGCAACUCAUCUCACUGCCAGGUAGAGCUGGGGGAGAGGAUCCUCAGGCAGCAUCCUUGAGUAGGACUGGAGAUAGAGAUUCUAACCCUGCAUCAAAUUCAGGGACUGUACAGGAAGGUCUUCCAACACCUGCAUCUUUGGCAGAAGUGUUACUCGCUACCAGACAACUGCUCAUUGAACAAGCUGGAGAAUGUCUACAAGUGUGUCCUGAACUACCUUUUAGUUUUCUUUCUAAAUUGGUGACAUUGUUUUCAGGAAGCUGCGUGGUGUUAGCCAUAUAUGUUAGUCUUCCUUGUUGAUUGAGGUGUGAAUAAUUGGCCUGCAAGGGAAAAUGGGGGAUUGGUGUUUAAGAAUGUUUGGCAUGGCCAUGCAGUUUCUUUUUCUUUUUGAGUUCUCAACAUUUUGUUUUAUUAUGUUAUAGAUAAAAACACGUUGUUAAUUUCUUUUGAUUUGAUGGGCAGCAACUUGCAAGGCAACUGGAGGAUCAAGGAAAUGUGACGGACUCCUCAGCACGGCUGAGUGCACAGUCCAUUGCUUGGAGAACUGGAGUUCUAUUACAGAACCUAGGCUCACUUUUCCUUGAGCUUGGUCGUACAACCAUGACAAUUCGCUUAGGUCAAACACCGGUAAGAUAAUCGCAUUCGACAUCGAUGACAUUUAAAUCUUUCUAAUAUCCUUUGUGAUCAAUGUUGCUAUAACUUAUUUCUUUUGCAGUCUGAAGCUGUUGUUAAUGCUGGACCUGCAGUUUUCAUAUCCCCUUCUGGUCCGAAUCCUCUCAUGGUUCAGGCAAUGUUCUAACAGCCUUUUUGAACCUUCUUGUUUGGCAUAAGCAAUAUUCAAUUUCUGCUGAUUUAUCUGUAUUUGUUCAGGCUCUUCCUUUUCAACCAGGAACUAGCUUUGGUGCCUUUCCCAUGGGAACUGUACAGCCUGGAUCUGGUUUGGUUAAUGGACUUGGGACAGGGCUUCUUCCUAGGCGUAUUGAUAUACAAAUAAGAAGAGGUAUGCUAUACCUGGCUAUUUUCUCUUGUUUGAUAGGUAUAAUGUGUUGGACCAAACACUGAUGUUGUAUUUACAAUAAGGUUCAUCGGUGGCAACACCCAAUGUUAAUCGAGAGGAACGUGGUGAUACUGCACAACAAUCGGGCCAAAGGAACCCAUCAAUGGGUUCUGGCAGUGAGAAUCGUAGCACUCAAACAAGUUCAAGGGUCUCAGAUACUCCAUCUUUUGCUGGGGAAUCAGGAGUGCGGGUAGUGCCAAUUAGGACCAUGGUUGCGGCUGUACCCACUCCCUUUGGUCGCUUACCGUCAGAUUCUUCUGGUAAUUCUGUGGGAUUAUACUACCCAUUCCUUGGAAGAUUCCAGCACAUUGCUUCCGGACAUGUUAGUGGGGAACGGGGAUCUCAGGGAUCUGGUGAGAAUCUCUCCCAUGGUGUUCAAUCUGAGCAGCACCUUAUUCCUGAAUCUACAGCGCAACAACAAAGUUUCGAAGAGUCAACUAGAGAUGGUAAUAUGAUAAAUCCAGCACUUCAACAUGCUAGUGAGGUUUGAUGUUCUCAUAUAAUUUUAGCUUGCUGUUAUGAACUUGAUGUUCUCGUAAUGCUGUUGUUUCCCAGUGGUGUCCAGAGGUUGUUUGUUAUUCCUUUUUUCUUUUUUCACAUUUCGUAGUUUUUAAAUUUCUUAUUUUAGAAAACUGUUAAUGUUCCUCCCAUUUUUCCCUGCUAAGGUAUGCAAAAAAGCUGUUUGGAAAAAUAUAUACCUUCAUAGUGGAUUUUAUCUCAUGACAAAUGUAUUUUCUUAUUUCACAUUUUAAGGAUAUUAGUAAAUAGCUUGAAUGCUACUUCAUGAAUAUUAGCUUGCACAUGUCUAUGCUGCUGCAUUGCCACAUCUUUUGUUAGUUUCUGCAGUUUGAAUGAUUCUCUGUAUCAAUUGACCAAAAGGGUUAAUUAAGCCCCUCCAAAAAAAAGGGAAAAAGAAAAGGUGAAGUUGACCAAGAGGGGUACUUCCAGGAACUGACUGUCAAAUUGCUUCUUGUUGGAGGUUCAUUGCCAAAUCCUAAUUCAAGACAACAGGAGCGAUCCAAUACUCGCAGUGUCAGUAUAAACAUUCUAGCAGCUGGCCGGACUCAAAACAACCAAGACUCAGAGAGACAAAUUCCUAGUAGUGUUCAGUUUCUGAGGGCAAUUUUCCCUGGUGGUGAAAUCAAUGUAGAGGAAGCAAGUGUACAAGGAGCAGCUACAGGUUCUGUCCAAGAGCAAGCAGGGACUUCCAGUGGUGCUCCAGCGGCUGAGCCAAGUAUUACUGAUCAAGGGGUGUUUUUAUCUAAUUUGCUUCAUCAGAUCAUGCCAUACGUAUCUCAGCAAGCAAGUUCACAACAAAGUACUGUGCCUACAGAGGAAGCAAAUACUUCCACCCAGGUAAGCAUGCUUGCCAUUCUUAGUUCUUUUCGUAGUGGCCAAAUAUGCAUUAGGUCUGAACCAUGGGUUGCUUGUUUCCUAUAGAGGAAGCAAAUUCUUCCACCUAGGUAGGCCUGCUUCCCAUUCUUAGUUAUUUUUGUAGUGGCAUAUAUCCACCAGGUUUGAACCAUGGGUUGCUUGUUUGAUUAAGGUCCUGAUAAUCCUUUCCAUGAUCAAAUAUAAAUGAAGAAUUGAAACUAUAGCAAUUGAGAUAAAAUAGAUGUUAAAGUCAGCAAUAAAGAUGCUAAAUGCUGCUGUAUUUUCAGGCUGAGCACACUAGUCCUGGGAGUUCACGUAGACCAAGUGACUCUGAACCAAAUUCACCAAACUCAAAACGUCAGAAGGUACUGGUUCUGAAUACUUUUGUUAUCUCAUAUCUUCUUUUGCCUUUUAUAUUACCCCAUUAACUUUUUCCUGUGUCUCAUGUAGAAAUAAUUAACAAACCUCGUAGAUUAGUCCAUCUAGUAAUUCAGUUACAAUCAAUAAAAACAUGUAGAACAAUGUUAUCUGAUUAUUUCUCUAGUGUGUUGCGUCCACAUGAACUCUGUCCAAUUUUUUUGUUGAUCACAUGUGUGCCGUGAAUGUAUGUAAAUGCAGUAUGGCAUAUAAGUACAUAAUAAGCUUAAUUAAGGUUGGUUUAGAUGUUUAAGAGUGAUCAGAUGUGGAAUAGAACAUGCAGACACUGCUAGUAUGGCACAAAUAACAUUUCAUAAGUUAUAUGUCAACAGCUAGGUUGUUAGUUUGACAUGUUUACUAUGAAUUUCUGAUUGUUAUGACUGUCUCUAUUUUUAAGCUCUUGAAUAGUUGAAAGAUUUUAAGCAUGUGGUUAUUAUUGUUUUGAGUAAAGAACAGUUAAGACAGGGAGAUUGGUGUAUGUCUAUAUAUCCUAACAACUGAAAUGCUGCACAACUUAUAUGAAAGUAUUGGAAUAGCAUGUAUAAGAGGAAUAUUUAAGGUUAGUGGAGGUGGCAAAAAUUAUUUGAGAGCAUGGUCAUAUAUAUACACUUGAUAUUUAAAGCUUAUUUGUUUGAUAGUACAAUUCGGUCCAAACUAGUUUAUUCUUUAGAUGAAUUCCACUGAGCUCAUGAACAUAGAAUAUGAGGUUAGUCUAAAUUUAAGGUAUAAGUGAUACAGUUUAAAAUUUAUUCAAUUCUGGAAUAUGAGGAUUGAGUUGGACUGCAUGUAGAUGUAGAUGUAGUGAUGCCAGAUGUUUAGUAUUGGACUAAGCUUUGACUGGUUACGAAAUGAAAUGGCUUUUUGUUGCAGACAGAGUAGCUUGUCAAGAGAAUGAGGAUUUGACUAGCUUCCCAUGGUUAUAAAAGGAAAUCGCUUUUUGUUGCAGAGAGAGUAGCUUAUGAAGAGAGGGAGGAUUUAACUAGGCUUCCCAUGGUUAUGAAAUGAAAUGGCGUCUUGUUGCAAGACAAAGUAACUUAUCAAAAGAUGGAGGAUUUAACUAAGCUUCCCAUGGUUGUGAAAUUUGUGAUUGCUGAUUUGAGCACUUGUUGGCACGAAAAGCGGCAUGACUUUUAUGUUAAAUGUGGUAUACCAUGUUUGUUGUAUUUCAAAUAUGGCAUUUGAUAAUUAGUAUAGGGAAAUAUGUUGUCACAGUUUUUGGUCUUUUGACUUGUACAAUAUAGUAAUAUGUUUUGCAUGGGGUUUUACUGGAUUUUUCCAUGUGUAGCCCCAUCCAUCAUCUAGCUUCUCUUGAGCGUCUGUGGCUUUUGAUUCCCGAUUUUAUUUUUGUACAUCCAAAUUGCAUCAUGGUUGCAUGGAAGAAUUCUGCAAGGGCAAGCUACUGCAUUGGCGGAUGUUAUGGGAACAUUUUGCUUUAACCAUUUACAUCUUCAGCAACUACAAUGCAAACCAUGAAGCGAACCUCUUACUCUCAUGCUUUAUUUAUGGUUUGAAAUAAUGUAAGAGCGUUCAAUUCUAAUGCUAAGCCAUCUUUUCUUGGCUCGAGUCACGAGUUGUGGCCAUGUGGUUGGUUAAGUGAUAGCUAUUGUUUUUUAGCAAACCUUACGUAAUUAUCCUUUGAACAUAUUGCUAGUAAUUUGUACAGAAAGUACACAUGUUCGAAUUAAACGACCUUCUAUAUAUUUAAAUUUAAAACCCGAGGGCAAGAGUUUGAUCCAUUUAUGAAGAAGAGAAGAUUAUUAUUAUGCACGUGAUCGUAACUGCACAAUUAACUUAAGGAUGCUUGUGUAUAUACUCAACAAGGUAGUCAGGCAUUUCUGUAAAUAGCUUGAUAAGGGUGAGGUUAGUUUUGUAAAUAAACAAGUUAUUUACUUACUUUUGCAGCCGUAAAUAAAUCUGCAUUUUUCUGUAAUAUUCUUUUGAUGAGAAUAUAUCUCUUAGUUUUUCGUUCUCAGUUUAUUUUUGUUCUUUCAAAUCAUAAAAGUUAACAUGGUAUCAUAGCAAUUAGUGAUUUUUAGGAUUUUUUUGUUUUUUAUUUGUUCAAGAAUUUCAUUUUGAUUUCUUGUUCUUGAGGUUUUAGCAUUUCGUCCAAACGAUUAUCGAUUCUUCAUUUCUUUUAUUCGAUUCUUGGAUUUAGCUUUUUAGAAAUUUGCUUUUUGAUUCAUUCUUGUUUCUUUGAUGAUGGCUUCGAAAUCAAAGUCCAUUAAUGUUUCUGCUAUUGAAAAUCUUCUUUCUUUUUAUUAUCUUUAUCAUAACGAUCACCACGAAUCUAUUGUGAUUAAUCAUAAAUUUACCUGUACAAAUUAUGCAUCUUCGAACAGGUCAUCUCUCUUAGCGCUCUUUAUUUGGAAAAAGAAGGGUUUUAUUGUAGGAUCUCUGUCAAAACCAAAAGCUGAUUAUGAAUUUGUAUGAUGCUUGGGAAAGGUGCAACAAUAUUAUAGUUUCCUGGCUGUUGGAGUCUAAAUCUCCGCCAAUUGCUUCUACUGCCUUUUAUUUGGACUCAGUUGUUGAGAUGGAAUAUUUUGAAGAGGUGGUUUUCUCAGCCUGAUGACACUCGGAUCUAUAAUCUCCAGUUCAAUUUGUCAAAUCUUGUUCAAGGCACAAAGUCUGUUGAUCUUUACUUCACAGAGCUUAAUUCACUCAUGGGAAAACUUAGAAUUUAUCGAAAUAGAUAGCAUUGUGUUAUUUUUUAUGAUUCAUAUUGUGUCAUUCAGGAACAAUAUCAUGGACUGUGAUUGGUCAUUCUAAGGUGAAUGCUGGCUUAUACUUCUUGCAAAAAAGGCUGGAAGACUGUGUUCUUUCUUUAAAUUGCUUUUGACACAACUUUCAAAAAUCACGUCAACUUCACUUCUGCACAAACAAAUUCUGUUGGUUUUCAUUUUCCUGUAAAUGUUUGUAACUUUAUAAUAAAGGAUUUUGAUGUUUGGCAUUCUAGGCUAGGCCAUCCUUCUUCACAUGUAACAAAUCAAAUUCAAAAAAUUUUUCCACAUGUUUCAUGUUUGAAAGAUCAUGUUUGUCAAACCUGUCCCUUGGUAAAGCAGAAAAGACUCCAAUUCCUUAUUCAUGUCCAAAGUUCAAUGAAACCUUUUGAGUUAAUACAUAUGGAUGUUUGGGGCCUUAUGUAGUGGCAACUAUUACUGGUCAACAUUAUUUUUUGACUAUUGUUGAUGAUUUGAUAAGAUUUACUUGGAUUUUCUUGUUAAGAACUGAGUUAGAUGUUAUUGGCAUUAUACCUUCUGUUUACAAUUUUAUAUGCAAUCAGUUUGGUCAAAGUAUUAAGCAAAUUAGGACAGAUAAUGCACAAAAGUUUAAUUUGGUUGAAUUCGAUUCCUCAAAAGGAAUUAUUCAUCAAAACUCUUGUGUUGGCAUACUUCAACAUAAUGGUAUAGUUGAAAGGAAACAUCAACACUUAUUAACAAUAGCUAGGUGUUUUAUGUUUCAGUCCUUAUUACCUAUCAAAUUUCGGGGUGAGUCCAUUCUUAUGGUUGCACAUAUUAUAAAUGGGCUUCUUUCUCCACUUCUCAAGAAUAAAACUCCUUAUUAAAUUCUUUUUCAAAAGAGUCCUACCUAUACACUGUUAAGGGUUUUUGGUUCUUUAUGCUUUGCUUCUACAUUGUCUAAUCAUAGGAAAAAAUUUGAUUCCAAGUCUAGAAAAUGUGUUUUCCUUGGUUAUCCUAUAAGAAUUAAAGGUUAUAAACUAUAUGAUCUAAAUGUACACAAAAUGUUUAUUUCUAGAGAUGUACUAUUCUUUGAACAUUUGUUUCCAUUUCAUAUAGAUUUUGAUUCUACCACACAAAAUUAUAUUCAAUUCUUUGCUCCUAAAAACACUUUUAAUGACUCUCAUCAUCAUUCACCACAUCCUUUAUUCUCUAAUUCUUAUACUACUUCAAAUUUUGAUUUUGAUAGGUUUAAUCUUUCUAGUUCACAUGGUAAUUCUCCUUUUGUUAUGCAUUUUAAUCAUAUUGAUCAUGAUUUGGCAUCUAUCAGUACAUUUACACAUAUUUCUGUUGAUCAGAAUGUUCAUAUUUCUCCACCUAAUUUUUAUGACCAACAUGCUCCUGACACCCAUCAUCACUGUUUUGUUCUUGUAACUAAUAUCUCUCACCCAAUAAACACCAGAAAAAGUGUUCAACCUGAAUAGCUUCUUAAAUUCCUUGUCCUGUAUCUCCACAACUUACCUACUCAUUCUAAUUCAGUUAUAGCACACUUUAUUUCUUGUUCUUUGUCAACAAAUCAAUUGUCUGAAACCUCUAAAGCUUAUAUAGCUUUUCUUGAUCAUAUUCCCGAACCCAAAUACUUUCAUCAAGCUAUCACAUAUGAUGAGAGGAAAGAUGCUAUGAAAAAUGAACUUGAUGCUUUGGAGGAUAAAAAAACAUGGACAGUAGUUCCUCUUUUUGAUGGUGCACAUAUUAUUAUAUGUAAAUGGGCAUAUAAAAUCAAGCUUACCACCGAUGGCAUAAUUGAAAGGUACAAGGCUUGUCUUUUAGCUGAAGGAUACAGUCAACUAGAAAGAUUCGACUACCAUGAAACUUUUAGUCCGAUUGCAAAACAUACAACUGUAAGAGUGUUUUUAGCCAUGGCAGCUAUUAAAGGGUGGCAUUUGUCUCAACUCGACAUAAAUAAUGCAUUCUGGAUGAGGUAGUAUACAUGGACUUUCCUCAAGGAUAUGCAUUUCAGGGGGAGUGUUCUAUGACUUCUCGGAUCGUACGCAGACUUAAUAAAUCAUUAUAUGGCCUGAAGCAAGCUUUUAGGCAUUGGAACUGUAAGUUUACAAAUUCUUUAUUGAAGUUUGGAUUUCAACAGUCUAGAGCAGAUUAUGCUUUGUUUACAAAAACUGAAAAGAAUGGAGAAUUUGUGGCAUUCUUGGUUUAUGUAGAUGAUAUAAUAAUUUCUAGUUCUCGUGUUGAGGCCUCUGAUAAGGUGAAAAACUAUUUGAAGACAUAGUUUAAGCAUAAGGAUUUGGUUGAAAUUAAGUAUUUUCUAGGCUUAGAGGUUGCUAGUUCCAAAAAAGGAAUUUUUGUAUGUCAAAGGAAAUAUGCUUUAGAUUUAAUUAAUGAGUAUGGUCUUCUUGGUGCUAAACCUUUGGCAACCCCUACUGAGUAUAACAACAAGCUUUCUAAAGAUAAUGGUGGCACAAUCUUGACAGAUUCUACUAUGUAUGGACAAUUAGUUGGAAAGCUGUUGUAUCUUACAUUCACCAGACCUGAUAUUGCAUAUUCAGUACAAGUUUUAUCUCAGUUCAUGGACAAACUAACUGUUGGUCAUUUACAAGCUACUUAUAGGGUAUUGAAAUACCUAAAGAAAGCAUCGGGACAAGGUAUAUUGCUUUUUUCUACUUCUAACAUACAUCUCACAGUGUACACAGAUACUGAUUGGACAGGUUGUAGAGAUACUAGAAGGUUUGUGACAGGUUUUGCAAUAUUUCUUGGUCAUUCUUUGAUUAGUUGGAAAUAAAAGAAACAAGGAGUUGUUGCUAGAAGCUUUGCUGAGGUAGAAUAUAGAACUAUGGUUAUUGCUUGUUGUGAGGUCGUUUGGCUAUUGUGUUUGUUAAAAGACUUUGAUUGUAAUUGUUUAGUUGCUGCAACCAUGUCCUGUGAUAAUCAGGCUGCCUCACACAUCUCCAGAAAUCCAACAUUCCAUGAAAGAACCAAGCACAUCUAGGUGGAUUGCCACUUUAUUAGAGAGAAAGUGCAAGCUGGUAUUGUACUUCCACAGUAUGUCUUUACCAAGGAUCGAAUUGCAGAUAUCUUCACCAAAGCUUUACGACUUGCACAAUUUUAUGGACUUCUCAGCAAGAUGAGCAUCCUCAACAUUCAUGCUCAUUUUAAAGGGGAGUGAAAAAGAUUAUUAUUAUGCACAUGAUUGUAAUGCACAAUUAACUUAAGAUACUUGUGUAUAUACUCAACAAGGUAGUUAGGCAUUUCUGUAAAUAGAUAGUAAUGGUGAGGUUAGUUUUGUAAAUAAACAACAAGUUAGUUACUUUACCCUUGUAGCAGGAUAUAAAUCUGCAUUCUUCUAUAAUAUUCUUUUGACGAGAAUAUAAAAUAAAUUCUCUUAUAGCAUGCUUGGUUUAUUAAAAAGAAUAAAAUGAUAAUAGAAUAGUCAUUCCAAAAAAAAUAAAAUAGAGAAAAAAUAACUAUUAUGUAGAUUGGUUUAUGAAAAUGUAAUAGAAUAGAAAUUAUUAUUAUUACUUAUUUCAUUAUUUGGUUAGCAGGAAUAAUUUUAAGAAUGGUUAAAAAAUAAUGUGUAAAUGAUAAAAUACUUUUUAUUAAAAUUUAAAGAUUUUUUAAUUAAAAAAAAAACUAUGAUGAGAAAUAAAUAUUGUUUAUUAAAAUUAAAGAAUUUAUUUGUUAAAAGAUAAAAAUAUUCUGAGCAAUAAAAUCAAAAUGACUUUUAUUAUAAUUAAAUAAUAUUUUCACCAAAAAAUAAACACAUUUUUAUUAUAAUAUAAUAAUAUUUUUUAUUAAAAGAUAAUUAAACUUUUUAUUAUAAUUAAAUAAUAUUUAAUAUUAAAAGAUAAAAUAUAUUCUUCAUUAAAUUUAAAUAAUACUAAAUAAUAUUUUUUAUUACAUUUAUUAUAUUCAAAUAAUAAUAUUAAGUAAUAUGCUUUAUAAUAUUUAUUAUAAUAAAAUAAUAUUAAUAUAUUAAAUAAUAUUUAAAUAUUUUCAUUUCCCUUUUUUUGAAAAUGAAGUAAAAAAUUUUGUAUCUUUUGUGCUUUAGAGAGAGAAAAGAAGUGAGGAAGAGAGAGAAAAAAAAUAGGUUUAGUAUUUUUUAUAAGAUAAUUUUUUAAAUUGUAAAAGAGUAUAUUUGUCUAAUUAACUUCUUUUCUUAUUCUCAACAAUUUGGAAUAGCUAUUACCAAGGAGGGUUUGGUAAUGGCUAUUCAAACUUCUCUUGGAAUGGUUUUUCUAAAGAAUAACCAUUCCAUUGAAUCAAAUACAGUUUUAUCUCAAGAAUGAGAAUAAGGAAAGAAUAGCUACUCUAUUCCCCCCAACCAAGCAUGCCCUUAAUUCUUCGUUCUCAACUUAUUUUUGUUCUUCCAAAUCACAAAAGUUAACAAUUUACUAUCAUCUUUUUACUUAUAACUGAGGGUAGAAACUAAUGUAAGUGUCAAUACCUUUUGUAAGUGAAAAACUAAUGUGCCAAAAGAAAACAAAAUUCUUUUUUUUUUUUAAAUAUCACUCUUAUUUUAUUUGGUUUAUAGAAAUGUAGCCUAAAAACUUCAAGCACACUCAAAUUAUCUUGGAUUUUUUAAAAUAUUUCUUGUAUGCUAUAAUUGAAUUCUACUUUGUACCUUGUUCAUCAAAAUAAAAUUUAGAAAAUUGAGCAUAUGAUUGUUCCUCAAUGAAGUUUUGAACUUUAUGACUUAUUCUUUUUAUAAUCUUAAGAAUGACAUUUGUUUUUCUAUAAAAAAUAAGAGUGAGUAAAAUUAGACCGAAUCAAUGGCUCAAUCAAAGCAAAUGUGAUUUGGAUAAAAUAAUUUUAUUCAAUUGAUUCAUUGGACCUAUUGGUCUAAAAAAUUUGAUUCAAUUAAUUUAUUUAUUUGAUUUUCAAUUUUAAAAUUUUUGAAUUGAAUUAAUAAAAAACCAAAUUAAUAUUAUAUAUAUUAUUUUUAAAUUUAUAUAAAAUAGUAUAUUUUCGUUACUAAGUUAUUACUAGGCAAGCUAGUACUCGCCGUUCCGCUCAUAACCUGUUCUUUCUUUCCCUUCUUCAUUUUUAACUACCCUCCCACCGUCCUUUACUCUUUUUUCUCUUUCUUUCUUUCUUCAAAUCUAAACCUAAACUCCCUAAACAAGCCCCACCUUAACAUAUUUUUUAUUUUGUUAAUGCAUUUUAAAGAUGUUAAAGAUUAGGAUAGUGGAUUUCAUUUUCAUAAUUGACGACUAAUUAGUGAAGAUGUUGAAAAUACAUUCUUCACACUUCAAUUGAGGUAAAUGUUACAUUUUAUAACUUUUUACGUACUUUUUCAUUUUUAAUCUUCUUUUUACUUUGUUAUUAAAAAAAAUUUACACUAAUUAUAUAUUUUUUUUAUAUUCUUCCAAUUUUUAGAUAGUUUUUGUGAGUGAAUGUGAAGAGCCAAGUCAUAGAGGAGAUUCAAGUUGAUGAUGUGUAAUGGUUAAUUCUCUUGUGUUAAAUGGUUUUAUUUUGUAGGUGUUAAUUUUAUUAUUUUUGUUAUAUUGAAUCUUGAAUGUUAAUUUAAUGGUUAUUGUAAAAUGAUAUAAUUAUAUGAAUAAAAAAACAAAUGUUACAUUUUUUUAUAUUUAGAUUAUUUAUAAAUUUUAUAAUUAUAAAUAAAAUUUAUAAAUUUUAAUAUUAUAAAUAAAAUUUAUAAAUUUUAAUAUUAUAAUUUAUAAAAAAUUAUAAAUUUAAUUUUUAUUCAAAAUUGAUCUGAUUGAAUCAAUUCAAUUUUUUAUAUAUAAUUAAUUAAUUCAUUUUUAAAUAUAACAACUCUAGCUAAUGAAAUCAAACCGAUUCGACCGAACCACAGAUUCCUAAUUCAAAGUUCUAUUAGAGGAGGUGUAAAAAAUUGUCCAAGAGUCACAACUCCCAAGUCUUUAGUCUUACGUGCUUCAUUCAUGGAAAAGUCAACCGAGAAUUCAAUUGCAAGGGCAUUAUUGGACAACGAAACCUCGGACUGGAGAUGUGAGAUUCAGGUGGACGGAAGAAGGCAGGUACUUGAAAAACUCCAUCCUCUUGUCCUAAAAUCCCAGUUUCCUUCUUCUCUAAUCAAACUCCUUUUUGUUGUAACAACAAUUUUUUUAUUUAGUAUAUCAUCUAAUGCUUCCCAAUAAUUCAUUCCCAAACCACGUUUUCUUCUUCCUUUUAAAUCACACCCGAGAAUUGCAGUGUUCAUUGUUAAAAGAGUUUCAGAUUUUGAAGAUCAAUUUUUUUUCCUUUUAUAAUGCAAUCGAAAACCGUAAGCCUAGCUCCAGGAUUCACCCUUUUCCCAACCCUAAAACCCCCACAUAAAACCUUAAUCUUCCACCAAAUCCUUAUCUUUAUCCUCACUUUCUUAGCCUACGCCUCUUUCCACGCUUCCCGGAAACCCCCCAGCAUUGUAAAAAGCAUCCUAGGACCCACAAUUCAAUCAAAUUCAAGCUCAACAGACGCCGGAUGGGCCCCGUUUAACGGGCCGGAAGGAACCCACAGGCUCGGUGAGCUUGAUCUUGCAUUUUUAUCGUCAUACGCAAUAGGGAUGUAUUUUGCUGGACAUGUAGGUGAUAGGAUUGAUUUAAGGCUUUUUCUUGUGUUUGGAAUGAUGGGUAGUGGCCUUUUUACGAUAAUUUUCGGGUUUGGUUACUGGUUUGAUGUUCAUUUGUUGGCUUAUUUUAUGGGAGUUCAAGUUGUUUGUGGGGUUUUUCAGUCUAUAGGUUGGCCUUGUGUGGUUGCCGUUGUGGGGAACUGGUUUGGGAAAGAUAAAAGAGGGUUGAUUAUGGGGGUUUGGAGUUCACAUACUUCUGUUGGCAAUAUUAUUGGGUCUGUUGUUGCUUCUGGGGUUUUGGAGUUUGGUUGGGGUUGGUCGUUUUUGGUGCCUGGGGUUUUGGUUAUUGUGGUUGGGGUUUUGGUUUUUUGUUUUUUAGUUGUGAGUCCUGACGCAUUGGGGUUUGAGAUGAUGGAAUCUGGAAAGGAGGUUGAGAUGAAUGUGGAGGGAGAAAGUGUGGGAAAUUUAGAGAAAAUAGAGUCAGAGGAAGCAGGGCUGCUUGAGAACGAGGAAUCUGAUUCUUUGGCUGCCAUUGGAUUCUUGGAGGCAUGGAGGUUGCCAGGUGUGGCACCGUUUGCUUUCUGCCUGUUCUUCUCGAAGUUAGUGGCUUAUACAUUUCUGUAUUGGUUGCCCUUCUACGUGAGGCACACAGGUACUUGUUAUCACUUGAUGUGGUUAUUUUACUUGAUUAAAUUUUUUGGAUUUCCAAUGGAAAAUUUCUAUAGAAAUGCAUUCUCAAUGACCAAGGCCAUACGAAAGGGGGCCAUAGUUUACAAUUUUUUUUUGAAAAGCAUCAAGAAAGUUUUCAUUGCUUGGAUUUAAUUACAAAAUACUACCCUUGUGUGGUAGUAGUGCAAGUUAGCUCAUUGCAGGACAGAUGACUGCCACGACUACCCUGCAUAUUAAGAAAAAGAUAUCAAAAAUACAUUUGGUUGCUAAUAAGAUCAAGCAUAAGCCCCAGGGAACAGGGGGCCUGCUCCCAUACAAACAAGAAACCAAGAGACAGACCGUGAUCAUCCCACUGCAACCAAAUUUCCUCUAUUUUUACGAACCACCCACAAUGUUGUGAACCAACUAACCCUCAUGAUAAAGACAGCACCUGCUUAUACUGACAAGGCAGCCAUCCAUGUACAUCAGAGCCUUUACUUUCAAAAGAUAGUCAUGUUCAUUGAUUUUAUGUGGUCCUCAAUAGCCCUUGAUGCAGCACCUCUAAACCCCUGUAACCCUAUACAAAAACAAGUACCCUUCCCCUCCAUGCCAACACAAAAAACAUCAACCUUAACAACAAACCAAACUUAGCCACACUGCAUGAAGUGACUCACAGUAACUGUACCUAAGCCCAUCCAGUGUUCACAACCAGCACACUAGAAACUCUAUGCUCAAGCGGCACACUGAAUCAUCAAACUCAGGUAGCAUCCGGAUGAGGACUCAGCUGUCCUCAUUAACCUUUAAACUAUGAACCGAUCACAGCCUCAAACAAAACAUCUCACAGCAGAAAAUAUGGCAUUGACUGACAAUAAAAUUCAUCCAAGAAACAGCACUAUUACUGUAUGUUUCCUGCACUGAAAAUCAGAAGAAAUAAAAUCCAGACACCUGCAAAAACAUAACCCAGCUCAAGGUCCUUGGAAACGUUCACUCUUCAUCUUCUGAAUUUUGCCAGGGCCAUUCCCCAACUCUGUCACCUGAGGCUGUGACUUUUGUAAAAUCAUAAUCCUCAAAAACAGAGAAACUUUCAUGUUCAUAAUGCAGUGCAACCCUUUCCCUAGCAUUCAUCCCUCUAACCCAAAACAAACAUCAUCCACAACAAUUCCAGCAACAUAGCAAUUUACAGGAAACCAUCACCAUAUCUUGCCAUGACAAUUUUGCAAAACAUCCUGGGCAGAGGACGUGCCACUCAAGAAAACUCAGCAGCAGAACAACUACCUUAUCCUAUUAGAACCAAACAAUCACACAGCAGUAUAUAUCAAUGAUCAACCUGUGACAUAGUUCCAAUAUGAACCCAAAAACAUAAUUCGCCCAAAUCAGAACACUGUCAAAACAGUACAAAGAAUUAGUCGAAUCAGGCAUUGAUUCAAUCUUCAUUUUUCUUAAGUUAAGCAUUUCAUAUACUAGUAUUGACUGUGGCAACAGCAUGAAAUGCAUUUAAUGGCCCUAUAACAGUUGAUUAUAAGGUGUUAUACUGUGGAGCUUGAGCAUGUUUCAGAUGCUUUAAUCUAUUACUGCUCUUUGAUUAGCUAAAAUGACAUGUUUAUUACAAGUUUGUGUUGGAACUGUAGCUGUUGCAGGAGUGCAUUUGUCACAUAAAACUGCUGGGAUCCUCUCUACAUUAUUUGAUAUUGGAGGAGUCUUUGGUGGGGUGAUGGCAGGUUUCAUUUCAGAUAUCAUUGAAGCUCGUGCAGUUACUUCAGUAACUUUCUUAUUAUUAUCAAUUCCAGCACUCAUUUUGUACCGGGUUUAUGGAAGUGUUUCUAUGGUUUCCAAUAUCACAUUGAUGUUUAUCUCUGGGUUGCUAGUGAAUGGCCCAUAUUCACUUAUUACAACAGCCGUUGCAGCUGAUCUUGGUACCCAGGACUUGAUUAAGGGAAACUCUCGUGCUUUAGCUACAGUGACUGCAAUCAUUGAUGGUACUGGCUCUGUUGGGGCAGCUCUUGGCCCCCUUUUGGCUGGGUAUAUAUCCACUAGGGGUUGGAAUAGUGUAUUUCUAAUGCUUAUUGUGGCUAUAUUCUUUGCUAGUUUAUUCUUGAUUCGUGUUGCAAAAUCUGAGAUUGAAAGGGUCAAUGAGGGGAAAGGGCUUUGGAGUGGUGUGACCGCAAGGUGAUGUGGUUUCUCUAGGCAUCGACUGUUUUUGUCUAUUGCAUCCAUAGAAGAGGAUCUCAUUAGGAUACAGCAUGUGAUGUAACAGUUUUCUGUUCAGUAUACCGAAGUCUUGUAUUGUAUCUCAUUCUUUUAUACAGAGAAAAUCUUCAAUUCACUUGUACAUGUAAAAUUUUGUAUCAGAAUAAACUUCAUUCCUCUUUUUACCUUUAGUGGAUCUAAGUUUGUACUCUUAAAUGCUCACCCUUUAUAAUUGAGCAAACUGGUGUCCACCGGCCAGGUAUAGCUUUUGGCAUCUUCUUUGUAAAGAGGAUUAAGAACGGAAACUUUCAUCUCUUUGUUUGUACAGGAAGUUCUGUUAAAGUGAUUCUUUCAAAGGGAGGUGUUAGUUGUCUGUCUGCUGGAGGUGAUUGCCUAGAUAGACAUCUAACCAGGUCAGAAAUUGAUCCAACCAGUCUAAAGGUCAUGAAACUUGGGAGUAUAUCUUCUUAAUCUUGUGAUAUUUUGGUGUGUGUGCACGUGCACGCAACACGUGCAGACACUCUCAUUUCAUGAUGGUAUGCUAGUGUUGGAUGCACCAAGUAGCAUAUGCUACAUUGUAUAUUCAACUCUUUAUUUCCAUUAUGGUAGUGUUGAGUUGGAUUCCCUAAGUCGCACAGGCUACACAGGCCACUUGGUGGUCCGACCCUGUGGAGUCCACUUGCAUCCCCAGAUAUCCCCUAAAGGGAUAGAGGAAAUUGUGAGAAAUCAUCCCUACAGGAAUAUCCGUUCAAAAGCCAUCUUCGAGCUCAAAACAGUGAGACUAUGCCUGCUUCUAUGGUUAAGAAACUACCUUGAGACUCAGAGGAUUACUAAAAAGAUGGCUAUUAAACUGUCAGCAGUUCAAUGUUAGCACAAUCAGGAGCAUGGCAAUUGUGUGCGAUAAUAUAUAUUAAAAAAAUAGUACAAUAACAGAAUUAUUUCUGUUUACAAUCAGCUGUGCCCCUUAUAUACAAAUCAAUUCUGUUCCUCAAAUUAUCCUGGAGCUCCAUUAGAAGCCAAUAAGAAUGAUUGCGAAAGAGAAUCUAAAAUCUAUCAAAUUAUGAAUUAUAAUUCCAUAAUUUGAUUCUUUCAAAUUUUCUUCUUCUAUUGGUGAAUGUAUAUACACAGGAAGAUCCCACCUGACAGCCAAGUACAAUCAUUAGCUGGUUCCCUCCUUUAUUUAUCACGUACAGAGUGAUAAACAAAUAUAUAUUCUAUCCUUCUAAAAGGCAUUUGAGACUCUGAAGCCCCUCAGCAGAAAUACUUCGCCUGACUCUAACCCUUUGUAUGACAGAAGAGGGAGGUGGCUCCAAGUGAAAACUAACCAGAACAACUGUCAAAUUGUCUGUUGCUCCUCUUUUUAUUCCUUCUUCAACUAUUUCUUUGCAGCACAACUUCACAUCAUUGUGCUCCUGUAGCCGCCUCCUUGCAAAAUCUAUGGCAUUUUGGCUGGUAAAAACAUCCCAUAUUCCAUCACUGCCAAUGAUCAAAAAUUCAUCUUCCUUGGUCAAUGUUAUCAUUUUAAGUUCUGGUUCAGCACUUAAAGGGCCAACCCUCCCGCCUGUUUCCUUCAUACCUUCAAGGUGCCAAUCACCUAAUGCCCGGGUGACACCCAGUUGGCCAUUCAAAUACCCAUCAUCAAUGAAUCCACCCAGAGACUCAAUUCGUCUCCUCUCUUUCAAGCAACAGGGCCUAUGAUCUUUGGACAUCUCUAUAGCUGUUCCAUGCCGUGAUAGUACUGCCCUACAAUCCCCAGCAUUUGCCACAAGUAGAGACCUGUCAAAGAUAAGAUCAUACUCCAGGCAAAGCCAAAACCAUAAAUGUUGAUUAAAAUAUAUAUUCCAAACAAACUACUAGAUGUCCAAACCGUGCACACAAAAAGUCUCUUUCAUUGAUUCACUUCUCCAAACUCACAUACACUAAAUUGUAAAAUGUUGCCUUUCUCAAUUUCUAUCUUCAUUUUGUUCCUUGCCAACCAGAGAAAAGAGGAGGGGCAGAGAAAACAGAAAAAGCACAGUAAGGCCAACCCAAAAAGGUUUGGAAGUGCUUACCUCCCAAAUAUGAUUGCAGUGAGAACAGUAGUGCCAGAAGCCAAGGCAGACUCAAGGGAGCAUGACUUCGCAAAUGCAGCAUCAGUCGCCAUGAAUGACCUGGUCACUGCUUUCUCAAGUUCUAAGGGAAAACCAGCAUCCUCAACAAUUACUCUAGGUAAAUGAUCACGGACAAAAUGAGAUGCACCCUUCCCUUCAUGCCCAUCAAAAACCUGUUUUUGAUGUCAAAAAAGAGAAUGCUUAUGUAUUCUUGUGAGCUUAUUUUUCUUUUAUGCUUUAUUUAAUGUGAUUCAAGAGCGUUAGUUUUGGCUGACAAAACAAGUUUUUAAUCUAACAGAUAGCUAUUCUUGGUUAAAGGUCAUGUUUCAAUAGAAAAUAAGUAGACAAGGUCUCUAUCAAGAGCGUUAAAUACCCUUCUGUUUGUAUCCCUUUUUUUUUAACAACUCUGCAUCCAAUUCAUCCUUUAUCCCUUCUGUUUGGUCAUCCUUGCUUGGGUAGACUAAAGAGCUAAACUAAGAACAUAACUCAUAAACAUGAAUUGCUGACUCAAUUCAUGUUAGGUUUACAUGCUGAAAAACUUUUAUGCUAGGGUUUGGGAAGGACUAUGCAAAUUAUUACUGCAACUUUCAAGAUGGCUAAUGUUAAGAAGCAGCAGCAGCAGUAACUUUUAAUCAUUAAUUAGAAGCAACAUGUUCCAGCAUUUUAUAUGCAUCCAAAAAUAUAAUCUAAUAAUGGGGAAGAAAAGAUGACUUGAGAGAUGACAAAGCUUAUUUGCCUUUCCAAUUAAGUCAGUUAUGUGAAAAUGACCCAUCUGAAUUUCAGCAAGAUGAUCAACUGCAUAAAGCUUCUAUUCCUAGAGCGACAGUUGAACAAGAAUGUUUGGUUUAUCUCCAUAUUCUAAAAUAAACCACGAAUACAUAAGAAUAAAAUGGUAUUCAGAAAUAUUGGAAAAUCUAACAGGACAACAUAUCUAAAAUAAGGAUGGUUUAUAAACUUACACCAUAGAAGGAAACAGCUUCUUCACUCAUUAAAUUACAACUGAAAUUCUUAGCCAAGUCUGCAAUGCAUAUAUGAGUAUCCUCCAUGUAGGCACGACCCCCAAUGUCAGACCACUCUCCAGAUCGAAGAGUGGGGACAAAAUUUGUCAACACAUUAUGUUUUCUGUCUGUGGCAACUGCAUCCUCAGAAAUACUUUCCAGCUGAAUGAAAGAAAAGUGCGAAUGAGACUAUUAGAAAAAUACAAUAAAAGAAACCUGCAGAAACCUUUACAAGGAAGAGAAGGUAAUAAAUGUACUUAAUCCCUAUCCAGAAACAACUGCCUAGCAUAUCAAUGUGUUGAUUUUACUAAUUAAUAGUUCUCCAAAGAAAACUUCACAAAAACAAAUAGCAAAAUAGAAAUUAUAACUGCAGGGCAGACACUUCUAAAAAUGAUCUCACUUGCAGCACGGGCGAGGUUAAGAAGAGAUAAAGCUUUAAACAAAGAAUAAUAGUGUAAUAGCAUGAAUACAAAUUCCAUCAACAAAAGACUGACCACACUCUCUAAGUACCCAGGGUUUGGGGUAGAUUGAAAACCCUACAGAAUAUAAAGCUAAAUUCUGAACAUACUUCAACUAUACUCCUAGUUAGACCCUAACUAUCAGAGUGUAUACUAUUUACCACAAGUCCACUUGUGUGAUAUUCAAUAUUUGAACAUUUUAUGAAGAAAGGUAGAUCAUAAGCUGGCAUACGCUGCAUACAACAUUUGGCAAAAUCCUUAUACCUACAAAAUGUAAGGAUUUUUUUCCCUUAGAAAGAUUGUCGGCAAGGAAAACCUUAUACCCCGUGACACCAAGAUAUCUGUUCCUUAUAAAGAUCAAGAAUAAGAAGUCAGAUUUCAAUACAUGCUGAAUUGGUUCCAGAGCUAAACAUAAACAUCAGACCUUAUUUGAUAUUCAUAGAUUACAAUGUCAAAGAAGUCACCUAAUAUCUGUGCUAAAUCAUGAGAACCCACUUCGAGUUCAUUCCUAUAUAGGAGUAAUUAGAACAGCAUGUUCUAAGCUGAGAAAAAAGCAAAUGCUAAGAACUUUCCACAACCCUCAACAGCUGUGAGCAGUUGACUUACAUUAAAGCACUGGACUCUGCAGUGAAUCAAUAAAGAAAGAACUUACAUUAAUUUAAGCAGAUAAGGCGCCGUAAUACAAUUUAAAGAAGCUGUUACAUCAAACCUGAUUUAUAGGAAAAUGACAUAACAAUAGAUUCCACUUUUGGUUAUUUUGGUGUAACAGAGAUGCAAGUGACCAUCUCUGGCUAUGGCUUCGUGAACAAGCAUUCCUCACUAUCAAAAUAACUUCUAUAACAUUUAAAAGAGGAAGUUCGCCAUAACUACAUUAUAGUAGUCCAAUUUUGUCAACUCCCAUCAGGCUUAUCAUCUAACCUACCGUGGAGCAUGCAGCUAUGUACUAAAUGAAUACAGUCCAACGCCAACAACAAAUUUCAUACUGUUCUUCCAUACCUAUCUUUCAACCAGAAAUAGAAAAAUACAUGUGAUAUAAAUGGAAAAAAAAAACAAAUUGAAUAAACAAAAACACACAUGUUAAGUUCCAAAUAAUAAAAGCAUGAUAAAACAAAGAAAUAUACGGUGACCCAACCCUGCAAUUCAAUCUUAUCUAAACCACUCUAUUUUUUAUUUAAUUUAUCGAUAAUCAAAAGUCAGAUUAAUUGCAAGCAUACAACAGAAGCAGAAGAAACUAUAAACAAUAAUAAAACCCAAUCGAAAUGGAAUAAGUAAAUAACUAAAUAAGAAUAAAAUCAUCAGUAUCCACCAAUAUAUAUAUACAAUCAGAUAAAGCGGGAGACCAGUUUUGCAGAUGACCGCCCUCCAAGUCCAAUAAACAACAGCAUGAAUAUAGAAGAAUUUAAUAUUAAAAAGACUAACAACAAAAAGCAAAAACAAUUUUCUCUCUCUCUUGUGAACAAAACAGCUUCAUGAAUACAUUAUAGAUGAAUCUGACAGAAAACUGAACAUAAGUAGCUGAUGGGACUGGGAUAAUUUAAAAAACAUGCCAUUAUGAGUGGUGAUCAAAGUGCAUAUAAAGGGAAGAAAGUAUCAAUAUUGGCUAUUUUACAUAAAGCUAAAUGCUGUCCACGAACACAUUUACAGCAACAAAUUUCUCAACUUGAAGCAAAAUUUAACCAAAAGACAAGUACCCAGAACAGAAUUAUAAGAAACUGUAUCAUCGAUAGCCACCUUCUCUUCACACAAAAAAAAAAAUUGUUACAGGAAAUGAAGUUUGGAUACUGACUCUAGAGCUGCCACUGACCAUAGCCACAGGAGAGUCUUUAUCAUCCCAAUUCUCCAUCUGGGUACAGAAGAAAUCACCCCCACAAAGCAAAGGCCAAGUCUUUUUGUUAUUGCUGUCAUCAAGGUCCUCCAUUUCUUGGCUGACCUGCUCUGCAUCUUUAACACACAUGAUGGUGAUGAUGCUGUUGAUUAAAAAAACAAAAGGAAAAAAAAACGUUUUUGAUGGGUGGCUUUCUUUUUUCAGCUUCGCAGCAAGUUGAUAAGCGUAUCCAGAGUAACAGGAGCAAAAAGAAGAACAACAAAAGAGAGAGAAUCAAAAGGAAAAUAAUGGACUGGAGAGAAGAUUCUUGAGAAUAUAUUGCAUUGGCUCUGAGUUAAAAAUGGAGGGUCCCUUCCCUUGCUUAUUAUUAUUUUGUGCUUAUAUUAUUAUUCUUAAGGUGCCGUUAAUAACAAUUCCAGAUUUUUCUUAUGAAAGCGUGGCUGAAAAUCAGCUCUAUUGGUUGGUUGGUUUUUCUUAAUGCUUUUAUGAUCUUCUUCUUUUCUGGUGCAAGCUUUUCCCUUCCUUUUCAAAUGUUAGCAUCAUGUCUCAAGAAAUGUCCUUCUCUUUAAAUUACCUUCCAGACCCUGCCCUUUUUCCAUAUAUUUGUAUAAAAUAAAGAUUGUAGACUUCAGUCUUCAACAUAUAAUGGAAAAAGGAUCUUUUUAAUUGCUUUGUAUGAAGCGUCUGCAAACUUACACCGUGUUUGCUAGGAAAGAAAUUCAAAGAAAUGAAAGGUGGAAGGCAAAGUUGCAGGAAAAAAUAUAUAUUUCUUCUCAUUGGUAGGUAUGAAAUUUGAACAGCAAAUGCAAAUAACAUAUAGAUUUGCAUAUUUUUAUUCUCUCAAAACCCAAUUUUCCCACUGUUGAAAAGAAAACAUUCUUCUAAAUUCUAAUUAACAAUUAAUCAUUUUAAUUUAUUAUACCUACCCCCCAGAUGUUAUAAUAUUAUUAAGGGUUUUUUUUUCUUUGUUUUGUUUUAUUAUAUAAAUUGGUAUGUCUAAGAGUGGGUGGUUUGAACCUAAAUUUGUAAUUUUCUAACCCCUAAGGCUAGCUACCUAAAUGUGAGACAAAAGACCAAAGGUCCACAAUUAUUUUUAUUGAUUAUGUUAAUGUAAAUGUGAACCAUAUGCUGCUUAACCUUUUUUGACUACUAGAGAUUACUCAAGUCCUAAAUGGGCCUUGAUUAUCACCCAAAAAAAGAGGGUCUUGUUUUAUUUUCUGCUCUAAAUUUUGUAUAAAUUAUAUAUAUAUAUUAUUGUAUUAAUUAACUAAAAGUUAGGAAGUUUGGAAAAGUUUCCUGAAAAUUUAAAUAGAACCUGUCAUGUCCAUUUAUCUUCAAAUUUUGGUUAGAAGUGUCUCUUGUCUUUCCUGAUCUGGAAUUUUAACAAAAGAUGGUGUCUGAAAAGACCAUGCAUUGGUGGGAUUGGAAUGGUAGAGGUAAUGUGAGUGCAUUUACAAUAGGGACAAAUCUAAUGUGUUUCUUUUUUUUUUUUCUACAAAUGAAUGAUUUGUGAUAAACUAGUGAUAUGUUAAAUCAUGGUGGUUUGUUUUAUUUUAGUGGUAAUAAUUGAGCUAAAAAGAUUUGAAAGUGAAGGUUUAGGCAAUAGAAUCCCCAGUGUGAAUUCCAAGACAAGGAGUAGGGGAGGGGGAGCAAGAUGAUGUAAAGAAAAAGACAUAAGAUUUCUCUUUUGCUUUCCAUAAAGGUAGUGAUAAAAUAUCUUCCCUGUAUACAUGAUCAAAGAUUCAACAUUGGCUUCCAGAUUGUUGCCUUUGCACUAAUUGUCACUAACCAUAAAGUUGUUUCUUUUCUUAGACCAUCAUGCUUGCCUUUUUUGUAAUUUAUCUGUGAAGAAUCUUACGACCAAUUAUAUACGAAUUAAAUUAAAUUAAAUUAAAUUUUACUUUUAUUUAAUUUAAUAAAAUAAAUCCAUAAAAUUGGAUAAAUCGGCAACGUUGCAAAUGGGAGAAAGGAUAUUUAGGUUUAGGGUGGUCAAUUUCCAAUUAUAGGUCUAAAUGAGCUUUAAACGAGUAUUUAAUCGAGUCAAGUUUAUUUAUGUUUGAACUUUGCUCAUUUAUUAAAUGAAUUCUGAAAUUUUGUUCGAAUUAAUUUGUUUAAACAAAUAUAGACGAAUUUAACUUAAAUCUAUUUACGAAUUGUUUUGAAUCUUACAUGACAAUAUUUGAGAAAAAUAAACAAUUUUUAGCGUCAAGAUGCUGGUCAAAAAGCACUUAGCUUUAGCACGAUUGAUUUGGAGGAAAAGUUGAGUUACGCAAGCACCGCCCAUAACAAAGGCACCAAAAAGAUAAAUAGAAGCUCAUAAUUAAAUUUAAUGGGUAUUUCUUUUUAUUUUUUUUAUUUUUGACAUAUGCACAGUAAUUGAGAUAGACAUAAUGCUUUUCAAAAAAAAAAUUGGGAUAGAGACAUAAUAAUUUAUCAUGAUUUGGAAUUUCGUAUCUAUUAAGGAAACAAUUGAGUUAGAACAGAAAAGAUUUUUUUUUUUUUUAUAUAUAGAAGGGAGAAGAUAUAAAAGAACUUAUUACAUCAUCUUAUGCCAUGAUAUUAUUUUAAAUAUUGUAAAAUAAAUCAAAAUGUUUAUAUUGCUAAAAUUAAAGUAAAAGAAAAUACAAUAUAUUAUAUUAUUUAAAGAAAAGCAACAACGAAUUAGCAUUAUUUUUCUUAACUAUUAUGGAACUAAUCAUGUCAAAAUAAAAAAGAAAAAGGAGUUGGCGGUCAUUGGUGUUCUAAUGACUUCGAAUGCAUUCGAAAAUUUCAGAACUACAAGAAAAUUAAAAAAAUAUCGUCCAAUUAAACCAAUUAAACCUUGUACGUUUAUGCUAUUCCCUAAAGGUAGUGAUAAUAUAUCACAACAUUGGCUCGGAGAUUGUUGCCCCUGCAGUAAAGGUCACUAAACAUAAAGAUAUUUCUUUUCUUAGACCAUCAUUCUUGUCUUUUUGCAAUGCACAUGUGAAGAUUCUUACUACCCAUGAUGGGAAAAAAAAAAAAAAGAACCAUGAAAUUUUUACUUUUGUAUGGAAGAUGGAAAAAAAUAAUUUAAGGAGGGUAAAAAUAAGAAUAUGAUAAUGAUUUAAUUGCCUUGAUUUUAUUUUUAUUUAUAAAAAUUUAAAAUCUUCAAAUAUGAUUUAAUAAUAGAGAUACAUAUUUGUUAUCAAGUUCCAAUAUUUCUUCUUAAAUAAGAAAGAAAAAGAAAAAGUGAAAAUUUGAUAAACUUUCUUAGUAGGGGAAGAUAAGGGCGUGCGUCACCUUCAUGCAUGUUAUUAUCAAAUCAAUAUUGAAAAUAAUGCCUUAAUUCUUGUUGAAGAUACGUUAAAUGCCUUGAAAAUAGGCAAGGAGAGAUAAGUUCAAGAAAAGCAAAAAGCAGCCGUAAGUCAAGAUGUAAUGUGUUGAUCUAAAUUGCUGGCAAGAUGAAGCUGCAAACUUUAUUGACUGCAAUAUAAUAAUAGUCUUUAUCUUUGAAGAGCAUGGCAGCUAAAGUUAUGAUGUAAUAAUUCUUGGGUAUUAUUGUAAUUGACUCUAUCUUGUCUGAGCUAACCCCAGAAUAAGAAAAGCAGGCGUGGAGUGCGGAGAGACCAAUUUCUAAUUCGAGUGGCUCAUUAGGACAAGACCAAAAGCCGAUAAUGGUUGGAAAAUGCCAUGGAAUCUGGUGUUGUUGCAUUGAUACGUGGCAUGUUGUUGUCCAACAGUACUGCAUUUGUUGCGUGUUGGGGUUGCGAAUUCCAUUAGCAAAAUUAUCAUUAUUUUUAUUCCUUUGAAAUUCUCCUAUUCGUAUUUUCCUUUUGGACUGUCCUUAAACCUUAAUCCAAUGGAAAAUCUUUUUCUUUUCUAUGGAAAUAUAUGGACAAAAACAAGAAUAUCAAUGCCGUACUGCCUACGGUUGAGCAUUUCAGUUUUCAUAUAGAGAUCGAAACGCAUCAGUAUCAAUGUUUUUCAUAUUUUUUGCUAUAUAAAUAAAAAUGUAUAAACUUGGAAUAUAUAUAUAUAUAUAUAAACUAUUUUUAUCAGAAAUAUAAAUGUAUUAUACUAAAUAUUUAUAUGUUCGAAAAUUGAAAACAAAAACAUAGAAGAUUCAGAUCCAUAAUUGAAUUAACUUAUUGUAGAAAAAAAAAUUUUGUGAAAAUUAUUUUAUUAGAAAAUUUAAUAUUUUUAUUUAAAUAAAUAAUAUUUUCUGUUAUUUAAAUCACUCUGUAAAACAUCUUUUUCUCAUUAUUUUUCACAAAAAAUAUUUUCCCAUUUCUUACCUCAAUGCUAUUCAGUCCCUGGGAAAGAGAGAAUAGAACGGGAAGGCAGUAAAAGGGAUGGUGAAGGAGGUCGACCAAGGGGAUUAUCUUACGUCCUGCAACCUGCAACGGUUUAUUUUUCAUCGACCGGUAUCAAAAUUUUUGGUCAUUGCAUUUAGGAUUCAAUUGAUUUAGGAUUCAAACAAGAAAUAAUUUAGCCCAACCCUAUUUAUCUAUAUCUGUCCAAGAAAUAGCCCAUCUACUAUAAUAGUUAGCCAAUCCCACUUAACUUGACCCAAAAGCAUCAGCCUACUUGCUUAACGAAACUCAAGUCCCAAAAGCCUUCAUAAUGAGAAAUCAUUAACAAUCCUCUAGUCCAAAUUUGAUUUCCCCUCCAAUGUUUUUCUAUUUUCACAUUUUCCCUUUCAAUUCCGCUGCCUACCUUGAGUUCUGCACAUCUGCAUUAAUUUUUUGGAUAGCGGAUAUUAUGAUAACAUUGGGAUGUUAUGCAUUGAUGAAUUGAUUUGGUGAGUUCCUCGUGAGCAUGCAGGCAGGCAGUGUAGCAGUGGUGAAGGUCAUGAUUUGCUAAUUUUUUUACUAUAAUAUAAAAGACAAACCACCAGUCACAACCAUGGACAAUAAUACCGACUACAGGUGGCUUUUCUCUCCAUUUGGCAAUGAACAAAACGUAUGAAGACAGCUGUAGGACAGCAAGACUGAAAACUGAAAACUGAAAAUGAGUGACUACAACUAGAAUCCUCUCCCCCCCAACGCAACAUUGAAAGUAACUUCUGAUUUGUAGCAAAAUAGCGGAGAGCGGGAUUAAAAUCACUACUUAGCCGAGUGAAGUGUCCAUGAAUAAGGGCUGCAUAAUAGAUGCCUCCAAAUUAAUGUCCAGGUUAACUGUCUUGAACUAGAGUGAGAAAUGAAAACACCAGAAAGUUGAUCCACAAUCUUAAACAAAGUGAUAGAAAUAUUCUUCGAAAGUAAGUUCAUACUAAUGAAUCAAAAAUUCCAAUUGGAAAGCAUGUUCAUACUAAUGAAGCAAAAAUUCCAAGCCUAUUUGAGAACCAUAUAUAAUAAGGGAUAUCUUCAAGAUUCUAGAUGUCGUAAUUUAACAAAAUCCAAACAUAAAAGUGAAAGGAAAGAAAAACAAUAGCAAAAAACAUCUAACAGUCAAAGUUCUUCAAAUCUAGAGGCAGUUCAAGAACUUAAUAUCUUCUCCAUAGAUUCCUACACCGAAGAUACCACAGAACACACUCACACCUUAUAUUCCAGUGAAAGCUUUCUUCCCACCACCAGAAGAUCCAGCAGGAAUCACUUUCAAAACGUUGAACCUCACAGUCUUUGACAAUGGCCUGGAAUUAAAAAUUAUUAGACAUGAAUUACAAACAGCUAAAAUUGUCUACCCCUAUCUGUAAAAAUGAUUAGAUUCAUAGACAUUUAAUAAAAUCCUUGUGUUUCAGAACUUUUACCUGCAUUGCCCGAUAAUGACAUGAUCCCCUUCCUUCACACGGAAGCAUGGAGAAAUAUGUGCAGGAAUGUUUGAAUGCCUCUUCUCAUACCUAAAAAAAAAAAGGAAUUUAUCAAAAUAACUUCAAAAAAUAACUAUUCACAUAAGAAAAAUCCAUAAAAAAUGAAGCUGUAUCAUGCCUUUGGUAUUUCUUGAUAUAAUGAAGGUAAUUCCGUCGAACAAUGAUUGUCCUCAUCAUCUUGGCACUAUGACAAGUACCAGCUAAGAUACGACCCCUGAUGGAAACAGUGCCAGUGAAUGGGCAUUUCUUAUCAAUGUAGGUUCCUUCAGGAAACAAAUACAGAAAAAAAAAAAAUUAACAACCAGCAAUCAUAAUCUGGAUACCGACAGAACUGUUAACACAUAAAAACAUAUUCUCUAUAUCCCUUCCAAAUAUCAGAGUCUUCAUGUUAAUCAAGCCAAGUAGUAAACCAUCAUUUCUUUCUUAUAAAGUACUAUGUAUCACGCGUCAGUAUAUUAGCAUUAUAAAGGAUCCAUUAUCUGAAAUUUCAAAGGUAUGGCAAUAUAGAAAUAAAGCAAUUACUAUUUAGAAUGAUAUUGGCUUUUCCAGCUAACAACAAACAAAUGUUUACUCAGCUUACUAAAUGCAAGUAUCCAAGUAACACUCACAACUUAAAUAAAAUUUUACAUAAACUAAGCAUCCCCACCACCUAUAAUAAAUACAAUAAUAGAAAUAAAAAUUAAAAAAGGAAACUAAAAAGCCAACAAACCUUCAAUAGCUUCACGAGGAGUCUUGAAGCCCAAACCAAUGCUCUUCCAGAAGCGGUUCCCUCCCUUUCCUGGUCUCUUCCCUUUCCCAGAUUUCUUCGAGCUGAAAACAAUACAAAAUCAAUAAAACCCAUCUAAAAUAAAAAACCCAACUCGAAAAAUGUAAAAAGUUGCAAAAUUUUCAUGGUUUUUGAGUUUUGAGAUUACCUUAAAAACACUUUGGGUUGCUUCAAAAAUGCCUUCUCGGUCUGCAAACAAAAGAAAAACCAGAAAAUGAAAAGCCAAGCAUAGAGGGAGGGAGAGGGGGAAGAAGGAAAGAGAAUGGGAUCUGAAUGUGAACCUGUUCUGCCAUGGUUGAUGAGCUCUCUGGAGGGAGUGAGGCGCGGCUGCUGCGGGCAAAGAGAAGUAAAAAUGAGAGAGCUUUGCUACGAAAAACCCUAACCCUAACUAAUAAGUUGGCUUUUCAUAAGGGAUUCGUUUGGGCCACCUUAUCAAGCUGGGCCUUCAAAACUUGGGUCUUGAGAUCUUCUAUUUGGGCGAAUACAUGGUUUGUCACUUGAUUAGUUUUUCUUUUUUUUUUUUGUUGUGAAAAGUUAUUAUAAAACAAAUGCAAAAAAUAAAAAAAUAUAAUAAACUAAAUUUGGAUAAAUAAUUAAAAUAUAAAUACCAAUAUAACAUAAUUAGUUUAUAUAAAAGUAGAAUAAUAUGUUUCAUUAUUUUAAAAAAUUACAUAUUUUAUCUAUAGUUUUCUCAAAAUUAUUAUUUUCUUUUGUAUCUAAAUGUACAUAUUUAUCUAGGAUAUUUUUUUUUUGUUUCUACCUAAAAGGGUAAAUAUAAAAAUUUUACAGUUUACUUCCUUGCAUUACCAAACGAGAGCAUGAAUUUCAUCUUCCUUUAUCUUUAAUUUAUUCAUGAACCAAGCAAGGCCUUUCUAAUGCUCUGUUGCCUUAUGACUGGCCUACCUUUUUUCACUUACCUUUAAAUUUCCAUUACUUAGAUGUUGGCUUUAGGAAAAUGAAAGUAAUAAAGUUUUUAAGCUGCUUCUAAUAAUUAAUUUCAUUUUACUCUAGGUUGACUCGCUUGGAUAUUAGUUCCGCGUCAAGGUAAAUCAUUCUAUUGCUUUACAUGAUCGCCCUCGAAGAGCAUUCACUGAAAAGAGCAUGCAAAAGCAAGGUCUAGCCCCCACUAGGCACCCCAACUCAAAAACUGACCAAAGCAAAGUAAAUUCAAUAGCCAUUCUGUUGACCCUAAGCAUUUUUCAGAUUUUAGGCCUGAAAUGGCUACGGGCUAUAUCAACAACUCUAUUGGCAUUCUUAGGCGGAGUGCAAAUAAAAACAUUCACCCUGUGAUGGAGAUGUAUGCUGAACCUAUCAAUAUGGAGUUCUCUGAUGCUACAUCAAGUGAUUGGUCUCUUUUGACAAGCUCUGAUAAGGUUUCAUUUACAAUAGAGAGUACUAGAGACUCUUUCAGUACUGUGGACUAUGCUGAUGCCAGUAGUGGAGAUUCAUUGUCAAUCUUCAACAACUCGUUUACUCCAAAAUCCUCCUCUUACAACACGGUUUCGUGUAGAAUCUUGUCAACUAGUAAACCCCAGACUAGGUAUAUAUUAGAGGAGAAGGGUUAUGUUUUUGAUUCAUACUUAUUAGCCUAACUUGUGAUUAGAGUUCAAGAGAACUUGAAGCAGGUCGGUAAUUUUUUGACCAAAAUUUCUUUGGAUAGUGACUAUGGCAUGUCUGUAAAAUAUGGGAGUAACCCAAAAAAUGCUCUUGAUAGAACUUAUGGUCAUUGUGAACUAUAGCUUGUGAAAAUUCCAACUGAUUAAAUAUUGACUUAACCAGCUAGAAGUGUUGCCUCAAUUUUCGUUUCAAUGCUUUAUUGAUUGAGUUAUGUGGAUCGUAUUAAAAUAACCAAGGAAAGGAAUAUUCUUGUUAUUUUUCAAAAAUAUUUUUUGAAGAUUGUAUAGCGCCAGCAUUUAAAAAUAAAUGUUAUUCUUUGAAUGCUUUAGUCUGUUGAUAUUGAAAUGGUAAUGUUAAUGCCUCCUUUAAUACUUUCCACGACUUCUGCGUUGGGCAUUGCGCCGAGCUUAAUUAUUAUUGUUACCCCAAGCAGCAACAUUACCCCUCGAGUUAGCGGCACCAGCGUUGUUUCCAAGAGGAUUAGCCACACCAGCUUUGUUUCUACGGCCUCGAGUAUUGCCUUGAGCAGCAACAUUGCCCUUUGAUUAGCUACACCAACAUUGUUUCCAGGACGAUUAGCCGCACCGCAUUGUUUCCACGCCCUUUGCGAUCUCUGCGCUGAGCAUUGCCCCAAGCAACAGCAUUGCCCCCUGCACCAGGAUUAGCUGCAGCAGUUGCACGACAUUCACGUUCCUGUUCCUAUAAGUGCAUUAUAAAAAAAAAGCUAUAAAAUGAAAAAUAAUAGUGUAGAAGAAAACCUGCUUUGACAACAUAUUAGCCAACUUUGUGUAAAACAACAUAUGAGAUUGGAGUUGUAAAAAAGGCUUGCACACAUAUGCGAUUAGAGUUGUUUGAAGGGUAGUGGCAUAUCAUAAUGGUAAUUUCAGUUCACUAUGUACCUAAGGUAGUUUCAGUUCACUGCGCAUAACAACAUGAAGCCAGCAACUAUAGGCAAAUUUAUCCAUGUCUAUUAAAAUUCUAUAAUUUCUGCACUUCUCCCUUUAGCUGUCACAACCAAGACAUCCUUUGUAUCCCUAAUAAUUAUGUAAUUUAAAAGGAUACAAAAGAACAUUUUUGUAAAUGUUUUUGCAACUGACGUCUAAUAUAGUUUUUGCAGUGAGCGAUGGGACAAUUAUGUUGUUUUGGCAUGAUGAAUGGACCAGUGGGUGUGGUCCUGGCUCAUGCUUUUCAAGAAUUCUUGCUUUGGCAGAGAACAAAAAUAGCAAGAUUGUGGAAUAUGGUGGAUGGGAAAAGGAAAGAUGAGUCUAAAAUGUGAACCUUAGAAGUUAGCUUUUUGAUUGGGAAGUUGAUCAAUGAGAGCAUUUUGAGAAACUAUUGCAAGAUUUUCAGCUAAGUAAAGAACUUAAGGACGAGCUAAUUUGAGAAAAAGAAGCAAAUGGGAACUAUACUGCCAAGUCGCUCUGUAAGUAUGUCUUGUCCUCGAAUGUUGAAUAUAAUGGGCUAUGGAAACAUGUAUGGGCUAGGGUAGCACCUUUUAGGGUGGAAACUUUUGUUUGGCAAAUGGUUCACGGUAAGGUAGGGGUUAAGGAUGAGCUAGUUAAAAGGGGUGUAUAGUUAAACAAUUAGUUAGAUUGUGUGCUAUGUAAGAAAGAGAUAUGUAAUCAUCUAUUUAUUGAAUGUAAAGAGUCUUGGAUGGUCUGGUCGUGGUGGUGCAAAAGAUGGGGGGUUGUUUGGGUUUCACCAGGAAAUACUAAAGAUUCGUUGGUGGCUUGGAAUGGAUGCCAUAUGGAUGGUUUUCAUAAAAGAAUUUAGGAAAUGACAUUCUUUUCUAUGGCCUGGUCAUUAUGGAAAAGCAAGAACGAAAUUGUCUUCGAAGGGAAAGAGUGGGAUAUUAAUCAGUGUUUGGAAUUGGCAAAAAUUAGAGUUACUGCUUGAGCAAAUGCAAAGUAGCCUGGGGAGCACCAUCAAUUUUAGACAUUUAUAGACAAUUGUCACGCCGCUUUUGUGGAGGAGGGCGGGACAGCCCGAUGGCAAGGGCUUGAGGCUCGGGAGUGGACAAGCCAGCUCGAAGAGGGACGAGCAACGAGGGCUGGAACCCCGAUUUGGCGCCAAGGGACUUGAGACAUCGGCACCCAUGGGCGGAUGAGAGCGCAGGCCAGUUAUCAGAUUGGACACGUGGGCCAGCAGACAGGCAGUGUGCCUGGGCCAGCAGGCAGACGGGGUGCGCAGGCGUGCAGGAAAAUGGCGAGCAGCAGAGUUGGCAGACUGGCGCGCAGCGGGUGGGCGCGAACUGCCCAGGCAAUCUGCCAGAAGCGCGGGAAACACUAACCAACCCGAAACCUGCAGGGCAGCCGUUGCCUGCCAUUGGCAACAGUGCCAGGGACACAUCAGAGGGGCCCAGCAGAGCUCAAAACAGCCCCUAACCGUUGGGAACUGCCUUGUAGCAGCUCUAAGGGGUCCUAAGUUGUAUAAACCUCUUGAGUCCCCUCGUUUGAGAUUAAUGACUCUUAUAUUGAAAUUUCUAUCAAUAAAAGCUCUCUUUUUGUUCACUUAACUCUCUUGUGCUUGUCAUAAUCAAUCCUAACUAGCUAACUUGAGAAGGCUGCUAGCCUUUCUAACCCCUUUUAACGAUGUAAAGACUACGCCGCACGGGUCAAGAGAAAACCCCGUGACACAAUCACCUAGAUAAAGGCUGCAAAGGAAGACAAGGCAAGGAAGGGGCGACAUCAAAUAGGAAAAACCACAGCCAAGUUUCAUAAAAUUCAAUGUUAAUGGCUGCGUAGGGCCAAGGGGAUAGGUGGUAUCUUGAGGGACCCUUGUGGGGAAGCCAAAAUCACAUUCGCUAAGCCAAUAGGUAUGGCAGACUCUAAUCUUGCAGAGAUUAUAGCAGUAAGAGAAGCAUUGAUCAUUUUCAAUGCAUCAAAAUGGAAGGAUGAAUGUGGACUUGUUAUUGAAAGUGAGUCAAGCAAUGCCGUUAAGUGGAUUCAACAACCUGUUUUAGCUCCAUGAAGGAUUCGAAAGUGGAUGCUACAAAUUGAAAGAUUUAACGAAAAGCUAGCUGGUUGGAUCAUUCAACAUGUGAAAAAGAGGUAAAUCAUACGGCAGAUGCUUUGGCAAAAAAGAGGGGUGGAGCUGAAAUUAGAAUUAUUGCAAAUAUUCUUGUAAAUAUCCUUUCUUUCCUUGUGUGUUGAAUGGUUGCAUGAUGGUUGAGGAGUGCUGGAAAAGAAGGAUGAAGAUUGGUAAAAGAACAUGCUGGAUAUAUUACAUACAUAUCACCCUGUUUCUUGAGGAUAGAUUGGUGAUGAAUAAACCUGAUUAUUGAGGUGGGCAAGACAGGUUUCGUGAUGGGGAUUUUGGUUUUUUUUUUUUUUGAAUUUAAGUGGGUCCUUGAAUUUUGAUAUGAGAUGUUUUUGUAUAUGGGAUAGGAUACUAGAUCCUGUUCUCUGUUAAUUUGUUUUAGUGCAGUGGAGUGGUGAUGAUUGAUGUUCUUGUACAUGAGUAUAUGGGGAGGGGCUUUUGAUGCCUGCAUUGCUUUUUGCUUGUGCAAAAUGAAUGUUUUUUGUCUCGACCUAGGAUGUUUGCUCAAAGGUCUUUUGGGACAGGAUACUUUUGUAUAAGCCAACUUGAAAGGCUCUUUGUAAGGGGUAAAUUUCAUUCCCAGUAUUUAAUGAAAGCUUGCUUAUGAUUUUCCCAAAAAAAAAUCAUGAGAAUGCUAAUAGCUAAACAACAUCAAGAUAUAUUAAAUGUUGUCCUGAACAGAAGACAAUUGAGAGCAAUUGGAGGUGACAUAUGGGUUGUUAUUGAGUUAUUUCGGAUAGGAUCAAUGACUGCCACGUGUUGGCCCAAUUGAGAAACACACGGCCAUUUCAUUCAAUUGAAACUUCUGAUAAUUUAUUUUGGUAGAAAUGGGCAUAACUUUUUAAUCAUUUUUCCCUUUCUUCCGUUUCUUUGGCCUUUCUUAUUUUGCUUUCUUCAUUCUUUGGCUUUUAGAUUUUUUGCUUCUCCCCUCGAUUUCUCCAUCCUCCCUUUUCUUUUACUUUUCCCAUUCCUUUCAUCUUUUUGUCUUCUUUUUUCAUUGCUUUUUUCGUUUUUUACUUUUUUUUGGCUUCCUUAAAUUGUUUUGGUGUUUUUUUCUUUGAUUUGUUUAGUCUUUGAUUUGUUCAACCAUUGUUCUUCUUGGUUUUUUUUUUUACUUUUUUUUGGUUUUGAUUUGUGAUAUGUAUUCUUUUCUCUUUUUUUUUCUUUUUUGCAUUUCGGUUUGGCUGUUGUAUGAAUAUGUCUUGGUUUUGUGACUUCCAUUUUUUCUUCUGUUUUGAUCUGUGGUUUUUGUGUUGCUUUGGUUUGAUUGUGUUAAUUUGCUUUAUGUUUUAGUUUUUCAAGUUGUAUUUUGUUUUCAUGUACUCAUGGUUUGAUUUUUCUUUCUUGCAAGUUCUUUUGUUCGACUUCUGUUUCACUGUUAUUUUUCAAAUUUGAUUUUUCUUUUAUUUAUUCUCUUUUAGUUUUUAUUUAUGUCUUCUCAGUCGAUGCUUUUGUUUUCAAGUUUUUAAGUUGUGCAUGUAAUGUUUUUUUUAUUUGCCUGUUAUUAGAAAAUUAUGUGUCCUGCCUUUUUCUUUUGUUGUUGUUCUAUUAUUGGUUUCAUUCUCGCUUUUGCACCUUUUGCAGCUGACGGUUUUUGUCUUCUUAGAUAUUGCUGUUUCAUUUCCUUGGCUUUUGUUGGUUUUUUGUGUUAUUAGCUUACAUUUUUUUUAGCAUAUCUAUUUUUCUGAUUGUCAUGGUUUUUAUGUUUCUUCUCAUUCCAUCUGUCAAUGAGUUUGCUGAUUCCUUAGCCAAGUUCGGAGUAGGAAGAGAGCAGGAUAUGAUGGUUGUGCUUUGUGAUAACUAAGAAUGACUUGUCCAGGUACAUGGUUAAGAUUUUGCUCUGUUGCUGAUUCCUGAAGUGGCUGCUUUUAUUUGGUUUUUGAUUUUUUUUUUUUGUUUGUUGGUUUGCGUUGACGGGCGAUUCUCUUUGUGUGAUUUUGUCUUUGUCUUUUGAGGGCUGUCUGAUGGUCCUCCUUUGGUUUUGGUGGCUUUGUUGAGGUUUUGAUUUGUUUGUGGGUUCAUUGGUGUCCUGCUGGUAUUUUUUUUUGGGUGGAUUUAUGGAUCUGCAGGUGGUUGUUUUCACGCCAUUUAAUGGGCUGCUUGCUGUGGUUUUCUCUUGGUUUUGUGGCCUUUGAGAAUGUUGAUUUUCGCAUAAUUAUUAUAAGUUAAGAACAAAAAGGAGAAUGAAAAUUGAAAGGGAUUAUAGUGAGCAUUAAGGAGGAGAAAGAGAAAAUAAAAGAAAGGAAGGAGAGCUACUGUGUCGUGGUGCAAGAAGAAGACCAGACAUAUGCUGCAUGGUGAUAGAGCAGCUGUGGUUAAGGAGAGAAAUUCAUAAUAUGGACUAGCAUGGCGAUGUUACAAAUGGAAGAAAGGAUAUUUAGGUUUAGGGUGCUCAAUUUCCAAUUACACUUCUAAACAAGCUUUAUACGAGUAUUUAAUGGAAUCAAGUCUAAGUUUAUCUAUGUUUGAACUUUAUUAAAAUGAAUUCUAGAAUUUUGUUCAGGUUUGUGUGUUUAUCUGGUUAAACGAAUAUAAAUUAGUUUAACUUAAAUCUCUUCAAAAACUAUCUGUCUAAUGUAUUGAUUCACUUACAUUAUUAUCUAUACAGAUUUUAAAUAUUAAUAAUUAACCAAAUACUAACAAUUAUAUCAAAGUAAACUAGAUAUUAACAAAUCUAAUUUCAGAGAUAUAAAACAAAGUACCAUUACAACUUACAAAUGAAAAUUGAGCUGAAUAUAUAUAUUCUUCUUCUGUAAUUACAUCACAUGAACUGCAAAGGCUUAAUUACAUUAUCACACAGCAGCGACUCGGGCGAGGUGGUGGUGGACCAUGGGGACGUUGAGGAUGUGGACCAUGGUGUUGAUGAGGCCCAAACGGUGGUGCAUACGGCUGCGGCGGCCCUGAGUGUGGAUGAUGCGGUCCAUGUGGUGGCCCCGGGUGUGGGUGGUGUGGAGGAUGUUGCAUAUCUUCUUGCACUUACCUACUUAGCUCUUUCUCUUCCCUUCUUAUACUUUGAUGUGCAGCAAACUGUUCGAGAGAACUAACGAACAUAUAUUGUUCACUGCCGAAUAUAUAUACAUGAAAAGACAAAAAUGAAUCACGUUCUGGUUUUUCUAUUUAAGAUAUUUAUUUGUUGGUUUCUAAUGUAUAUUUAUGGUUAUGACUCUCAAUUGAUUUAAGGCCAAAGAGAAUUUUUGUAAUUUUGUUAAUGAAAAAGGAUAAGCCCAUCUGUCUCAAUUCUCAUCAUCUUCUCCCUGUAAAAGUUUCAUCACCGUCCGCGUCGUUGCUCAAGUUUAAACGUGAUCCUUAAUGGCCCACAUGCUGAUAAGAUAAGCUGGAGCUUUUGACUUUUUCUCUCGUAUGGGACACACUUGCUAGAAACAACAUGCAACACACGAGCUGAAUUGCAAUACGAGAAACAAUCUAGGUUGCUAUCAACAUUAUGAUUCCUUCUAAAUUUUAAUAUGCAGCAUCUAAUAUACAAAUUUUGUCACAUUGUUAAUGGGAUUGAUUUCAUUAGAAGUCUGUUAAAAAUACAUUUGACAGCAAUUUAAUUUAAAUGAUGAAAAAAUUUUCAGAUAACUAUAUUUUCAAACAAUUUUUGAUGGAAAGUUUCAUUUGAAUUAAAUAUACAAAAGAAUUGGAAUAUAUUUUUUUAAAAAUUUGCAAAAAAAUUUUUUUAUGAAAUUUUCAAUGAAACUUUAGAAAAUUUGAACAGAAAUUUUGAAUAUGGUAAAGAACAUGUUGACAUCAGACCAAAAUUUAUUUGAAUACUUGUAUAAAAUGAAGAGAAAAAUGACAAACCAUUUGGUUCGGUACUUAAAUUUUUGGAUUAGUGAUUAAUACAAGAGAAACAAUUCUCUUCUUUAUUUUCCUUUAUUUAUGUAUCCACAGAUGCCAAGAUUCAACUUAUAAUUUUUAGGAUAUCGAAAGUGGAUGGCUAUAAUUUGUUAAGCAGCACCGGAUAUAUCAAUAGAGCCUGAAAAUUUCACAUAUUGAAUGGAUACGAGAAGAAUGCAUUGUGCUGAACGGAUAUAUAUAUAUUUGACACUUCAGAAGAGGAGAAUUGGUUAAGGGAACGGGGCCUGAAAUCUCAGUUAAAUGAAUAAUUAAACUGAUCAAGAUUGAAAGUUAUGGCUUCGUUUCUAAUUAAUUGCAAUCCUCUGCUUUUAAUUUUAUAGAAAGUAAAUGUUGAUAUCACAUACUUUGUAAAAUACUUUCUAAUAUUUUACUUAAUCUCCCUGGGCCUGUAUCAGAUACAAGUGCAACCGAUGGAAUUAAGAAGCUCAAAUUAUAAGGUUAAAUUAAGAAGCUCAAAUUAAUUUGUAACAUGCUUUUAUAAUUUUAUCAGAUAUAUCGAAGCAAAAUGGAAAAGAACCCCACGGCUCCAGAAAAGAAUGUUAUGGAAUAUAAGCAGAGCAAAUCUUGUACAUAUACGGUAUUAGUCCAUAUACGUUUAUUUGAUUAACAUAGCAUAACACCCCGUACAAAUUAAGAUCAGGAUUUCACUUUUCACUACUACAAAACAUACAUGAUAUAGCAAACCAGCAUUUUAUUUUAGUAGAACGAUAGCAUUUGUGCAUGCUUAGCAACGUCCGCCAUGGCCGCCAUGCGAGCCACCACCAUGGUGACCAGGACCGCCUGCUGGAGGACCAUGGUGACCCGGACCACCUGCUGGAGGUCCAUGCUGACCCGGACCACCUGCUGGAGGUCCAUGGCCCCCCUCCGGGCCACAACCAUGACCAGGACCGCCUGCUGGAGGUCCAUGUUGGCCCGGACCACCUGGAGGAGGUCCAUGCUGACCGGGACCACCUGCUGGAGGUCCAUGGUGUCCACCGUGGUCGCCGCCCGGGCCACCUACUGGAUGUCCAUCAUGGCCUGGUGGAGGUCCUUGGGGACAGGGAGGAGGCGGAGCCUGAUGCUGAUGAAUCCCUGGUGGUGGAGGUCCGUGAGGAUGAUCGUGCAUCUUAUCUGCUGUUGUAGUUGGUAUCGUUCUCUGCUUUGCUUCUUGCUGGUGCGGUGAAACGGUUUGAGAGGACUAUUGGAUUUAUAGUAGUGCGGUCCUUGUUUUCAUUAUUUUUUGGCCAGAAUGGUCCCAGACUUGCAGAUAAGGUUAUUACCAUGAGAACUUUGGUCGGAGGUUGUUUAAUGCAUACCUUACACGUUGUUGACGUGACCAUUUGUUGGGAUAUUUCCAUUGGUAUGUGGUUGUUAUUCUCCAUUGACAUGAUGAGGCCAACAACCUUAUCUUUCUUAAGUUCUUUCUCAGAAAAUGAUUUUCAUCUCUAAAAUUUUAUUAAGAAUAUAUUUACAGUGUUUCCAUUUAUUCAGAAAAUAAUUAAUCCAUCAUAUUAAGCUGAAUCUGAGUCUUUAAUGCCAGCCCAAAAUGUUUGUCUAGAGCUUUUUUUGCCCACUAAUCACAAACCAAUACAAUGCGUCUAGGACAAGUAUUCAUGAAGUCGUAGCCUUGCAAGCCUGAGGAAACCGCUUAGCCCAAAAACAGCUCCUGUACAUGAGCUUGAAUCCCUCCAAAUUAAUUACUACGUGAUUUUGUUUUGGCCAAGUGUUAUAUUCUAUAUGAUAUCAAAUCCAGAAAACGUGCUAGCUAAUUAAAAAAAAUUGUGACAUUGUUGUCUUGAUGUAUAAACUCAUGACACUAAGAUAUCAAUAUAAAUAGGUAACCACGUGACUCACUUGAUGAAUUCACAGUAACCGGAGCUUCAAUGUCAUGUAUUGUGCUUUUGUAGUUUAUCAAAAUAAGUUCAAGUAUUGCCCAAUGUGGGAGUUGAGUUAAUUAUAGCUUAUUAAGGUUCGAGGAGUAUGUACGUGGUCGGUGAGGCAUAUUCGACUUACCUGCCAUGCCUUUUGCUCAAAUAAUUGAGCAUUUCCACAGACCAAAAUGGAAUAAUAUUCAGCCCUAAAUUAAAAGGAUUGUCAAAGAAAACCAAAAUUACCAAUUAAAAGCAAUGAAACAUCAUAGUUCAUGUAUAGGACAUGAUCAUAACAAAGCAAAAAUAAACAUGCCCACAACGUAAAUAACAUAGAGCAAUAUUUAUUACUGUAGUAGUAAUACUUUUUUAUUACAUCAUAUUUACUCGUCACUUAAGUAAAAAUAAGAUCAGAAAAUAGGACCCUAAACACCAACUGGUUAAAAGAGCACAUCAGUGAGGUAGCACAAACUAUUUAAUCCUACGUACCGCUGGCUACAUAAUUUUACAUAUGCAUUAAGCCAAUAUGAUUAGCAGUGGAGGGAUUAUGGACGCGGUUUGUGUGGCUCAGCAGGACCUGGUGGAGGCGCUCUGGGACCUGGGCCAGGUGGAGGGGCAUGAGGACGAGGAGGUUCAACAUGCGGUGGACCUGGAGGCGGAGCAUGGGGUGGUGGGUGGUGGGGAUGGUGGGGGUCUGGUGGUGGAGGAUUAUGCAUCUUUUUCUUUCAAUAUUCUCCUAUGCUGAUUCUCUUUCAGAUAGUGUGAUGUGGCGUAUACGAAGAGCUUGUGAAUUUAUAGUUGUAAAUACCCCCAGGAUCACUUAAGGUAACUUAAGCGAGAAGGUUUUUCAUCUUUUACAACUACAAGUCAGACCCGCGUUUGGUUUCUGGUAGGUUUCUACCUAAAUUUCAAGGAGUUUUCUGGAAGAUAAAAGUGCCCUGCAGAAACUUCUUUGCAGUGCUGAUGACACAUUUCAGUGUGUUGCAUUUCCCGUAUGCAGUAUCUACAUCUAGUCUAGCUCCUAACAACGAGUGAUAUGAUUAAGAGGAAAUGGGUGCAAUCGUCAUGGACCAUGACCAAAGCUCAUCAUUAGCCCAUUAGCAUCCAACUCCCAUACUAAUUUCCCCCUUUUGGGCCAUAUGACUAGUUUCUUUUCUUUUCUUUUCUACUUCUACUUAGCUUGCACUUUUUUUUCCCUCUUUUCUAGUGUAGCUUAAUAAAAGUAGGCGCAUGUACUUUGUUUUUCCUAUGCUUUGCAUAAAGAUAUAAGUAUUAGAUUCUAAUACUAUAUAUGAUAAGUUUCAAAUAAAUUUUGUUAUUGUUUAGUGAUUUAGAAGAUAUUAUUACAUACUAAAUUUGUAUUGAAAUUGUUAUGAGCAUAUUAAUUUCAACGUAAACAUUUGAACUUGAGGCUGGAAUAAUAAGUCAAAAAAUUAGCAUAGGUAACUUAGUUUAGGGUGGGUCAUAGGUGAGCGAGGCUAGCAAAGAUGGGCUGGGCCGGAAUGCCGGCUGCGCCACACUCUAGUCUCUGGCUGCGAGCGGAUAACGUUUUUGCAACGUAUACUACCGGCGCUGGUACUAGUGUAGUAUGCUUUUUGAGUUUAGACUAGACCGGAGUCUAUUUUCCUAACAAGAAAACGUCAAUACUCCACUGCCAGUCUGCCAGCCAUGGUUUCAUUUUGAAUUCUAAAGUCCAAUGGCUGCCUCAUCCGUUCCCCUUCAUCACGUCGGUGGUUGCUUCAGCUAUCCCCGCCGGGAAAGGGAAUAUCAUCAUGGACGUGGGUGGUCACCAACGCCAAGAGCCAGUUAUCCUUUGAGACCCAUUAAUGCUUCAGUGGAAACUCCUUUUCCACUCUUUCAGCCUCCCCCACUUCAGCAAUCUCCCUCUCAGGUAAAUGCUCAUUGGCUUAUCAAUUGAAUACUUCUGUUCCUUUUUACUUUUGCUUUUGAGUUUUUAAUACCUUCCCUUCCUUUGCUAUUUUUGCCGUGUUCCUCACAGCUGGAGCCUGCCGACCCUGAUUUCUACAAGAUUGGUUAUGUUCGAAGUAUGAGAGCUUAUGGAAUAGAGUUUAAGGAUGGACCUGACGGUUUUGGAGUCUAUGCCUCCAAAGAUGUUGAACCUCUGCGUCGUGCCAGAGUCUGUUUUUACCUUUUACCUUUUUAUCUCUCACUCAUUCUUUCCGUUUAGAUAUAUCAAAUUAACUUCUUUCCAUUCUCAUACUCAUCACUUCCUGCCUGCAUCACCAAUUUCGUGUGUUUUUUAUUUUGUAUUUGCUUCCUAACGAAUGGCAUACUGUAUUCUACUAGUUAUAAUAUUCCAGAAUGAUAUUUUUGUGUUUGGUAACUAAGCUUCUGCACUUGACUGAACAGGUUAUCAUGGAAAUACCUUUAGAAUUGAUGUUGACAAUAAGGCAGAAGCAGCCAUGGAUGUUUUUCCCCGAUAUAGUGCCAAUAGGUCAUCCCAUAUUUGAUAUAAUAAACUCAACCAAUCCUGAGGUAACUGAAAUUUUCCUAGAUUUCGAACACUUAUUUAUCCUCGAAGAAUUAUGCAUUCCUUAUUCAAUUUGGUGAAUGCACUAGCACACUAUUUAAAACUUUUACAAUAACACUAGUCCUUUUGUUCUUUCAUUGUAAUUUAUGGGUAUUUCUCUUGGCAGACCGAUUGGGAUCUGAGAUUGGCAUGCCUUCUUUUGUAUGCAUUUGAUAGGGAUGAUAACUUUUGGCAACUAUAUGGUGACUUCUUACCUAGUGCAGAUGAGUGCACUAGCUUGCUUCUUGCUACAGAGGUGUGACAAAUUGGAAGAUGCGAAGCAACAAUCAUUUCAAUGUUUAUUUUCUUGCUUUUACUUUGUUUUGAGUUCUUCAUUUAAUUUUUUGGCUAAAUUACAUUUUUGGUCUUCAAUAAAAUGAGGGGGGAGGGAGAUAUAAUUUAAUGAGGGCAUAGAAGCAUUGGAUAUGGUAGUUCAACGGCAAAGGAUUUCAAUUGUUGAAUGUCAAAUAUAUGCACACACACACAUACAAUUCAUAAUGUUGUGGAGAACUUUAAUUUUGGACAAACUGUUUGUUAGCCUUGCUUUUCAUAAUUGUAAGAGUCACUUAUUAGGAAGCAACUUGCUGUACUCACAACUUGCUCCAUUCAUGCAGGAUGACCUCUCAGAACUGCAGGAUCCUGGCCUUGCUUCAACUAUGAGAAAACAACAACAAAGAGCAUUAGAAUUUUGGGAAAAGAACUGGGUAUAAGCUACCUGUCUAUCAUAUAUGGAACUAAGAAUUUUCCCUCUCACCAUCCUCUCAUAUGUUUCAAGAAGUUCUUGCUUACUUUAAUGAUAAAUUGUUUGUGUGCUUAACCUCACUCAGCAUUCUGGAGUUCCCCUGAAAAUAAAGCGCCUUGCUCGUGAUGCUGAGAGAUUCAUUUGGGCUGUUAGCAUUGCACAGUCACGGUGCAUUAACAUGCAAGUUAGGAUUGGUGCACUAGUUCAAGAUGCAAAUAUGCUAAUUCCUUAUGCUGGUAAUCUUCCUACAUGAGGCUCCUUGUGAUGUUGUCAAUGUAUUUCUUGUCUGUAAUGGUCAAUCAUAAACUAAUGCAGGGCCUGGUAAGAUUUUACUUAUCCUUUUUUUUUCUUUCAGACCAUUCUGUAAACCAGUAUUCCUUCAUUUAUUGUCCUCUUCUUUGUCCUAAAUGUCUUUGGCCUGUUUUGCAUCAGUUAAUACCUCCCUGCCUUUUCUAAACUUUGACUGCCUUCACGUUUCCUUUAAAUUAUUAUUUAUCUGAGCUGUCUUAUAUCUUAAUAUGCUUUUCAUGUAUUUAUUUGUCAUGGCAGAUAUGCUAAAUCAUUCAUUUCAGCCAAAUUGUUUUCUCCACUGGCGUUUUAAGGAUCGCAUGGUUGAGGUGAUGAUAAAUGCCGGACAGAGGAUCAAAAAAGGAGAUGAGGUAUUGGUAUUCCAUGUUAUCUUUUGAAUUCUAAUUUUGUUGAAUUAUUGGAGUGAAUGGUCUUGGUCCAAGGGGAAUUCUUCACUAACAAGGGAGGUCCAACUACCAUUAUUUGUAGUUUUUUCCCAGAAACAUGAACACACCUGUGCAGAACCUAGUGGAGUCUUUUGCCAGUACUAGCUUAAUUCAUCCAAGUUUAUACUCAAUGAAAUUUGCAACUUUUAGGUGAAUAAUUGGUUGUUAUCUUUUCAGGAUUUUUCACAUUUCUCUCUUCUCUAUGGUUAAUUGGCCAUUGUCAAUAUCAGUCUGUCUCAAAUAUCCUAGACUUUCUUCUUUAUAGAUUUAAAAUUAAAAAUCCGAUUAUGUGAUGCACCUUUUAAAAUCUAAUCAAAUGUGUUGGAGUCUCUUGUGGCUAUUGGAGCUUAUGUAAAUUUUGCUUGAAAUUAUGACUUACUCAGAUUUAAUACCCUUCUUUGGGCCAAAAUAUGCCGCCUUCUUGUUGUCCUUGCUAUAUACCUUGUAAAGCCAUCAACCGAAUUAGGUCCUAACGAUGCUUUUUAUUUACAUUUUGGGGUUUGUAUCCACAAUUCCAUAAAUUUUGGCAGAUGACGAUCAAUUAUCUGAGUGGACAGCAGAAUCAUAUGCUCAUGCAACGAUAUGGCUUCUCUUCAGCUGUGGUAAUUAGCUCCAAUCUUUAAUUUUUGAUCUGAAUAUGUAAAGCUGUUUUAUAUUAACCUGAUUUAACAGAAUCAGGAAAAAAUCUGACGUCCUCGCAAAUAAAGCAAAAAAACAUUCAUCUUGUAAUCAUAUCUAUAAGUCAGUUUUGCAAAAAAUUAACUCAUGAGGCUUGACCAUUGCAGAACCCGUGGGAUUUAAUACCAUUCUCUGGAAAUGCACAUAUUCACUUGGAUUCUUUCUUGUCAGUCUUCAAUAUAUCUGGUCUUCCUGAAGAGUAUUAUCAUAACAGUAUGCGUCAUUUUAACUUUUUAGAACUUUUGGAAUGAGAAUGGUAGUUUUAUAUGCAUAAUUCAGCACCUUAAGCAUUACAAAUUUUUAUCAGGUCAGUUAGCAGAUAAUGGAGAUAACUUUGUCGACGGGGCAGUCAUAGCCACUGCACGAACAUUGCCCACAUGGUCAGAUGGUGAUGUUCCUCCAAUCCCUAGCAUAGAAAGGAAAGCUGUGAAGGAGUUACAGGAGGAAUGUCAGCAGAUGCUUGCACAGUUUCCUACAACUUCUGAGCAAGACCAGAAGUUUCUAGGUGAACAUAUUUCUGUCUUAAAUGGGUGGAAUCAACAGUCCUUAUGCUUGAUCCAUAUUAGAAUGUUCAGAAUUUUAAUUCCUUGAAAAAUAAUGCGUUCAAGUUUUCAUGGUUAAAGUGCGGUUUAAGCUGGCAAUAUGAAAACUUCUGCUAAUAGUUUAUUACCAUUAGAAUUUUAAGAUCUGCUACUUAUCUUCUGCUAAAAUUUAAUUACUAUCAAAAUUGCAGUACUUUAAAUUUGAAAUCUGAAUUAUUAGUUCAAAAAAGCUCUAAAUCUUCCGCCUUUUCAGUUUUUAGGUAUUAUGUUGAUGCCAAUUUUCACUAGCUCUGAGGAUUUAUACGGUUGUUGAAAUUAGAGAAAACUUGUUGUGGAGGCUGGGGAUUGAAAUGGCCUCUAUAAGCAUAAAAAGUGUUUUAACUUUAAAAUAAUGCAUGAUCAUCUUGAACAUGGCUAAAUUUUAUUCGAGUGUUUUUUGGAUAUAUGAUGCUGUCUUCUUCACCCCUUAAUUUUCUACCAACAGAUUCUCUGCCUGAAGCAAGGACGCUUGAAACUGUGAUUAAGUAUGUGAUUUUGACAUAACAUACUUCUUCUCAUGCAUUCAGGUUUUAAUUCUUAAGUACAGACUGAGUUGAAGUCACUCUUAUUCUUACAUAUGCAGGUACAGAUUGCACCGGAAAUUGUUCAUAGAGAAGGUCAUCCAGGCAUUGGACAUCUAUCAAGAGCGAAUAUUGUUUUAAAUGAGUUUCGACUUCAUAGGAUCGCAGACAGUUUUGUUCAAGAGCCGAUGUCAAAAAGCCAAUAAAUUGCUAAUUUAGAAAGAAUGAUGAGUAGUUGGGAAAUUUUGUGAAUGCAGAAAAUAUUAUGUCAAUCUAUCCAAAAGAUAAGGUAUCCAUUUUUCUGUUUCUUCUUGUUCACCCCAUCUUAUCUGUCUGUAUCUUUAGUCAUACUUGGAUCGUUGAUUAUUAAGAAGCGGUAAUGGAAGCAUAAUUGGAUUAACUGGAUAUAUAGUUUCAUCUGAACUUCCUCAUUGGUCCAUUACAGUAAACGGUUGGGAAAGAAUAUUGAUUGCUAACUGGAUUUUCACUAAGUGGUAGAUUUGAUUAAAAGGCAAUUAGCCCCUAGCAAAGAAGCACUCAUCUUUAUUUGUUUAUUGCAUUCCAUCAAUUUUUGUAUAUUCAAAAUAUCAUUUGUCAUUUUAUAAUCACUAGGAUGGUGCCCGUAGCUAUGCUACGAAAAAAAUCACAAAAAAUAUUAAUUAUGUUAAAGUUGAUUUCAAUUUGGUACUUUUAAAAGAGUUUGUAGAGAAAGCAAUAUUGUAUUAGUCAACUGCAUGAAUGUCCGGUUUUUACUGAUAGAGGAAAAAAUAAACUGGUAUUAAUUGAAAAUAAUUAUUUGCUCUGGUUUCAAUUAUCGGAAACUUGCAUCUACAUAUAUGAUUAUAAAACAGUUGAAUAUUAAGAAAUGAGAGAGUAUAUAACAUAUACUAUUGGCAGAUUAAGAUAAACAGUUGUACAAUAUAAGACAAUCGUAUAAUAUAAAGAUUUUAUCAAUAUAAAAUAGUUACUAAUUUAUAAUAAUAUAUCUUUUAUAUAUAAAAUGAAUGGUUAAAGAUUGUCAAAUUUAGUUGAUUUAUUUGUUCAAUGAUGAUAUGUGCUAUGUAUAUUAAGAAAUGAAUAAACCUUAUUGAUUUUUUUAUUUUAUUUAAUGAAUUGAAUGAAUAUUUAUUGAAAUUUAAACAUUCAUGUCUAAAAGAGAUGUCUAAAUACUAUAAAUUCAAGUUCAUGUAGAAUAAGAGAAUAUAAAAAAAAUAAUAAUUGUAUUUGAUAAAUAUUAAAUGAAUCUAUCCUCUAGGUAUUAAAAGUUGAAAAUUAUUGUUUUCAAGUAUUUUUUUUACUGAAAUAAAUAAAAAAAAAACCCUUCAAAUGUAAAAAAACAACGUAACUUUGACAUAAGGUGUAAAAAAAAAAUUAAUUCAAUUGAUAAUGAUAACCAAUUGACCUAAUUAGUUAUUUUAUUUAAAACAGAAUUUAUCCAAAAAAAGACGACAAUCCUAUCAAAGAUUAUUAGAUAUAUAAUAAAAUAUUAAAAAAAUGAACAAAAUAAUAUUAUAUUAUUUUAGCCUUUAAAAAGGUCAAAAUUCCAGAAUUCUCAUCUUCUUCAGCCGUCCAAACCAGUAGNNNNNNNNNNNNNNNNNNNNNNNNNNNNNNNNNNNNNNNNNNNNNNNNNNNNNNNNNNNNNNNNNNNNNNNNNNNNNNNNNNNNNNNNNNNNNNNNNNNNNNNNNNNNNNNNNNNNNNNNNNNNNNNNNNNNNNNNNNNNNNNNNNNNNNNNNNNNNNNNNNNNNNNNNNNNNNNNNNNNNNNNNNNNNNNNNNNNNNNNNNNNNNNNNNNNNNNNNNNNNNNNNNNNNNNNNNNNNNNNNNNNNNNNNNNNNNNNNNNNNNNNNNNNNNNNNNNNNNNNNNNNNNNNNNNNNNNNNNNNNNNNNNNNNNNNNNNNNNNNNNNNNNNNNNNNNNNNNNNNNNNNNNNNNNNNNNNNNNNNNNNNNNNNNNNNNNNNNNNNNNNNNNNNNNNNNNNNNNNNNNNNNNNNNNNNNNNNNNNNNNNNNNNNNNNNNNNNNNNNNNNNNNNNNNNNNNNNNNNNNNNNNNNNNNNNNNNNNNNNNNNNNNNNNNNNNNNNNNNNNNNNNNNNNNNNNNNNNNNNNNNNNNNNNNNNNNNNNNNNNNNNNNNNNNNNNNNNNNNNNNNNNNNNNNNNNNNNNNNNNNNNNNNNNNNNNNNNNNNNNNNNNNNNNNNNNNNNNNNNNNNNNNNNNNNNNNNNNNNNNNNNNNNNNNNNNNNNNNNNNNNNNNNNNNNNNNNUAAUUGAAUGACACUUGUCAUUCAAUUGAAGACUCAAUUGAAAAAAAUUAAAAGAAAUUGAAACAUCUUACUUUUAUAUAUAUUAUAAAAAUCUAUCUUCUAAGCAUUAAAAGUUAGAAAUUAUUGUUUUUAAGUAUUUUUUAUUAAAAUAAAUAAAAGUAGAAAAACAAAAAAAACCCUUCAAAUAUCAAAAACAACUUAUUUUUAACAUAAGGUGUAAAAAAAAUUAACUCAAUAGAAAAAGAAAAGUCAAAAAAAUAAAAAUGAGUUCUAAUUGAAUGACACUUGUCAUUCAAUUGAAAACUCAAUUGAAAAAAAUUAAAAAAAAUUUGAAACAUCUUACUUUUAUAUAUAUUAUAGAUAUAAGAUUAACGUUAAAAGUGAAACAUGCUAUGUGAAAAAUAUUAUUUUAUACUCAUAAGGUGUGUAAAAAUAUUUGCGUGCAAGUCUCUUAUAUAAACUUUCAAGUAUUAGCUUUCAAUAACCUAAUCAUUUCAUUAAGUCACCCCUAUAUCUUAAUACACCUAUGCAUGCUACAAAAUACAAAUUAAAAAAUGACAAGUGUUAAUACUAUAAGACAUAACCUUUGAAUUAUAAUAUGAAAAAAUAAUUUUUCAUAUCUAAACUUUUGAAUAAAGUUAUUUUUUAAUUGUUUCAUAGUUUUUAGAUUUAAAAGUGUUUUUUUAAAUAUCACUUUAUCAAAAACUAUAAUUUUUCAUAUAAAAAAUUACUUAUAAUAAAAUAAUCACAUUAUGUCACAUUAUAUAAUAUAACUUCUCAAUUAACAUAACUUUUCAAUAAUUAAAACUUUUUAUGUUAAAAAAAAUAUAAUGUUUCAUUUACAAUAUCUCAUAUGAAGAGACAUAAUCUAUCAUUUGGAAAAUACACUGAGAAAAUUAUUUAUGUAAUUUACUUAAUUUUUUUUGUUAUAACUAGAAUUAGAACUUUUACAAAGCUCUAUUUUUUUCUGGGUCAAAUUAUACACUGUAUCUAUUAUUUAUCAGUAAAGAUCAAUUCGGAAAAAAGCGGGUGGGGGAAGGGCGUGGCCGUGUGGGGGCCACUUGGGAUUCGGGUGGGUCCACUCUUCUAAUCCAAGGUACAAAUAUAUCCAAAUGAGUUAGGCGUUACAAAAGUGGAAUUCAAUAUUCACGUUUUUUGUGCUUUUGGCUAUUUGGUCCAAGGGACUGUAAAAGAAGAAGAAGACGAGGAACACCGAAGAUUUAUUUUUGUCUGAAUUGUGGAGAGAAGAAGAAAAAGAAGGUAUGGAGAAGAUUUCUUCAUCAUCAACCGAAGGUGGUGGUGGUGGUGGUGGUGCUGCUAAGAUAUCAUCAAUCUUUAUCUAUCCGAUAAAAUCAUGCCGUGGAAUUUCUGUUCCUCAGGCACCCCUCACUCCGACUGGUACUCCUUUCUUUCUUUCACUCACUUCCCUUUUCUAUCUCUUUAGACUUAAAUCCUUAAAUUAUUUCUUCAAGUUCAAGCCUGGGUUUAUUUCUCUUUCUUUUAUCUGCAUGUUCUUCCUGCAUCAGAUGCUGGGAUUGCUUUUAUUUGCAUGCCUUUUCUUUAGCAUUUGCCUCCAAAAAACAAAAAAAAAAAAAACCUAAUACUAUUAACAGUUUCUCCCUGGAAGGAGUUUAUAAAACAAAAAACUAUCAAUAAUUAGCCACCUUGUUAAUUAGAUUGGACACCUGCUUCCAACCUGCGCUUCAUUUACUGACACGAACUGACGUAUUACUCUGCAACUCCUGGGAUUAGCUCAGCUUUAACACUUGCAUGAAGAAUUUUAUUUUAUUUUUUUUGUUUUUUGUUUGUGGUGCUAAACCCAAUUUUUUACCACUAUGAGUCCGAUUUUUCUGUGCGAUCAUUAAGUUAAAGCAAAUGACAUUAGAAUUUAUAACUAAGAAAUAUUGGACAACUAUAGUGGUGAUUAUUAUGAAUCAUUUUUCUGUAAUUUUGGGGAUUGUUCACCAUUUUCUCACUAUCCUUUGAUUUUUUUCAACUUUAUUUACAAGACUACAAGUUGGUCAUUUUCCAAAAACCUUCAGAGUGGAAGCAAAACUUCCAAACACAUUACAAGAAAACUUGUACAAUCUUUGAAAAUAAACAGUCUAGGUAUCUUGAUUGGACUUGUUCACUGGCCUCAACAGUCUGUCAAUCUGUUCAGUUAAUUUUUGGUGUCUUACCUUCAAGCAACGGUAAUUUCAUUCAUAGUAGUUUCGAUGAUGGAUUUACAGGAUUUCGAUGGGAUCGGCAAUGGCUUGUUGUGAAUCAGAAAGGGAGGGCAUAUACUCAAAGGGUUGAACCAAAGCUUGCUCUAGUCGAGGUAGACCUGCCAAAGGAGGCCUUUUUAGAGGGUUGGGAACCUACUAAGACCUCAUAUAUGGGUAAAUCAACUCAUCCUUGUUUAUGCCUCAUUAAUCUAUAACACAACUUAGAUAUUGCAGAUUUUAAGCAAAAUUUUGUUUUUACAAGGCAAUGUUGGUUGUGUUUGAUGUUUCAAAAACCGGUUUCAUCUAUUUUCUUGGCAAACCAACUCAAAUAAGCUUAUCCUUAAUCCUGAACUAUUUGGGGUUGCUUACAUGCAUCUUUUCUCUCCCUUUUGCUCAGGAUGGUGUUAUAGUCAAUGAAAGAUCUAAAGAUAGUGAACCCUUUCUCAUUACUUUAACUGAAUCACUUGUCUGCAACAAAGCAUCUCAAAGCCUAUGUUGCACAAGGACAAACAACCUAAGCCGUCUAAAAAAUUUUCCCCUAAUUAUAGAAGUUUUGGUGUGAGCAACUUGGUAUCAUUGUUAUCUAUGGCAGUUGACCAAUUUUUUUUUAAGAAAAAAACCACAGAUAAUUUCAUAACUUUGAGUAAAUUGUGAACUAGAAUAAAAACCAUCAUUUUCUUUUGACUUCCCAAUUGAAGUGUCAAGUUGUGGUUCCCAUGUUUGUAUAAAGGAUAUUGCAGUGAUGACGCUUUUGUAGAAACUGAUUUCCUUAUAAUAGGUGUGGUUAAUUAUUUGUGAUUGUUAACGUCCUAUGCUGAUUCAUUUUAUUAGUUUGGUUCUAUAUUGAAUUGUUAUGUCUCUUCUCCUUAGCAGUGCAGGGAUGCUAAGAAGGUGUCUUUCUUUUACUAUUAUCUGGUUACUGGUACAUUGUUUUCCUUUGAUUUUUCAUUAGAUUUUCUGUCAUGACCAAAUUCCACUUUCAUUAACAGUAAUAAAAGCUCCUGGAAUGGAUUUGCUCAAGGUUUCACUCAGUAAACCACCAGAAAUAGCAGAUGGUGUUUCAGUAUGGGAGUGGUCUGGCUCUGCAUUGGAUGAGGGUGAUGAGGCUUCAAAAUGGUUUACCAAUUAUCUUGGGAAAUCCAGCAGGCUAGUUCGUUUUAAUGCAGGUUUGUUUCAUUCUGGUAUAUUUCACAGAAUAGGACAUUAGAGUGCACUGAUUGGGUUUGUUAAGGUAAAGUAAAUCAUGUGGAUGGAGAGUUGCUUAUUUUGAAGCUCACUUCUUAAUAAGGGAUAUCAAGGGAAAGCAGAGGAUUUGGGUGGAGAGUAGCUCAUGGUAGCCAAACCUCUCCUCAAAGAUCUAAAGAUCAAAUCCCCUAUCCUAAUUAUUCCAAUUGAUCGAUCAGAAAUAAGAAAGAGGAAAACACUAUACUCUUGGUAGGCAGUACUGAGAUGAAAAUAUUUGCCUUGAAGAGCAAAAAAUAUAUAGAUACUGAUUACAUGUUAGCACAGUGUGCAUAUAAAGAUGCUUUCAAUCAGAAAUUUAUUUGUCCAAUCAUUUGGUUGCAUUAUUAUUUUAUAAAUGCAGCAUCUGAAAGGAGGCCUGUGGAUCCUGUGUAUGCUCGUGGGCAUAACAUAAUGUUUUCUGACCAGUACCCAUUCAUGCUAUUAUCUCAGGUUAGUCAGCUAAAGGAUGUUAAGGGUUUUUUUUUUUAAAUAAUAAAAAUUAUUAUUACUAUUAACAAAGCUCAAAUCGGAUCUUAUAUGUACAAAUUUUUGCAGGAAUCACUGGAUGCGCUGAACAAGCUUCUGAAGGAGCCUGUACCAAUUAAUCGUUUUAGGCCCAAGUAAUUUUCUUUCCAGCCUCGUAUAAUGUCUCUUGUUUUGUUUCUUAAGGAUGUGCUUCUCUGCUUACUGCUGCCAUAUAACAAAUCCCCUCUAGGAUCUAUUCACUGCUUCAGAUUCAAAUCUUAGUAUAUUUCUCUAAUGAAUUUUCCGAUAGAAAACAUGUGUCUGACUCUAAAUUUGAUUACCUCUGUUUUUCUCCUUUUCUGUAUUAUUUAUGACUUAGAUUACAUUGUUUAAUUGCUUGUGACAGCAUCCUUGUUGAUGGUUGUGAACCAUUUUCUGAAGACUUAUGGACAGAGAUUAAAAUAAGCAAAUUCUCAUUUCAAGGUGUGAAGCUUUGCUCCCGCUGUAAGGUAAGAAUCUAUGCAUUCUCCAUUUUCAGCCUAUCUUAUGCAAAUUAAUUUAUCUUGAGAGAAUAAGUUGGUGAUGUCAACUUGUCAAGUGCAAGAUUGUUAUUUGAGUUCACCAUUUCUAUGCAAUUUAUUACCCCCUUAGUAGACCUUAUGUUGAAGACAGUGAGUUCAUUAAUACCUUCGCUGAUUUGUUAUUUAGAGGUAUGCAAACUUACAGAUGGGUGGUUAAUCCAAGGAAUAUUCCAUAGUUUCCAUACAAGAAUGCUUCCACUCUAUAUUUGACUUUGCAUUUUUGCUGUGUGCUAAUAAUUUUGAAGUCAACUUUCAAAAAAAAAAAAUUUUUUGAAGUCAUCAAUUAGAGCUGUGCAGUUAAGCACAUUGUAUCCUCAGACAGUUAAUAAAAGAUGAUUGUGCAUUUAGUAGGUACCUACAAUCAAUCAAGACACUGCAAUUGCUGGCCCCGAGCCAACUGAAACUCUUAAGAAAGUCAGGUCGGAUAAGGUUUUGCGACCGAACCAAAAACAGCAGGGGAAGGUAAGAUGUGAAUUCACAACUUUUCGCUAUAUCCUUCUGUGUGCUGUCCAUGCAAAUGAUAGAUGUAAAGAAUGAUGUUCCACGGUAUGGCAGAUCUAUUUUGGGCAGAACUUGGUUUGCAAGGAAAGUUUUACUGAAGGGAAAGGACCGAUGGUUAAAGUGGGAGAUCCUAUUUUUGUCCUCCAGAAAGUCUCCUCUGCUGCUGAAGCAGCAGCUUGAACGCUGAACACUAUCUUAGACUUCAAUUCUGUUGUCUAAAUAAUAAAAGAAUUGAAUGGUGUUAUCUCUCUUUCCUAGAAUAAUUAAGAGCCAUAACUCCAAAUACAAGACUUGGGACAGGAGAUCUGUAUGUAUUGUUGUUCUAGUCAGUGGUCACCUUUAUUACCCUGCAGUCUCAUCUUCGUGUUAUUGUUAAUGUUAUUAUCGUGUUAAGAUUGAGAUGAUUUUAUCAAUACCAGUGUCUAUGUUUGAUUUUGGUUAAUAUAAAUUAUCUAUUCUAUAUCAUCAAGUCAUUUUUUGUAGGGAAUUACAUUAAUAAUGGAGAGAGCAGCGGAAGCAACUCAAAAUAAAUAAAAAAUUUACAUCACCGCAUGAAACAGUACAAAUAAUUUUGAAAAGAUCAGUAAAAUUUUUAAGUUACUUUCAUUGUUGGAAUAUUUAAAAAACUUGACAAUAAGAAGAUGUCAUUCACACUUCGAUAACCUUAACAUCUAUACCCUAAUAUAAAAGGAAACUUCAAAUAGGCUCCAAAACAGUACUAUGUGUCGGUUUGGUCAUUAAAUAUGUGGAUGCAUGAGAAGGUUUUUAUUAGGUUUGAUUUUUAUGGAUCGCAUGGCUCUGUGGUGAAUUAUUAUAGACGGACUAUUAUGAGAUUUGACCUUGGAGGGACUGCAUUAUUGGUGGCCUGUAUGGGUGGUAAGUCGCAAUUAAUAAGACUUAAAUUAGAAAAGGGGACUUUAAUACCAUACUAGCAGGCAACUUCUCAUCGGUUGCAUUCAUUGCACCUACGUUCCCUCUCUAAGUUCUCUCUCCUCUUAUUCUUUCCUACAUCCUAUUCAUUAUAUUUUAGGGCUUGCUUCAACUUUCAUGCCAUGAGCUUGAAAUUUUUAGUCAAGAUUGUGUGGUGCUAUGGUCUCGAAUACAUAUGAUUAAACAAGUCUUAACGAGAUUUAUUGAAUAUUGGUACAGAAACGUAAAGUAAAUAAAUAAAAAAAAAGAGGCUGAGGAGGAUAAAUAAAUAUUAUUAUUUAAAUGAGACAAAAAUAAAGUAUUUAAGAUCUAAGUACAAAGUAAAUAAAAGCUUUAUCAAUUUUUGUAAUUAAUUAAUAUGUUCAAUGAAAAUGAAAGAAUUUAGGACUUAAUUUGGGUAGUAAUUCGAGUUGAGUUUAAGUACCUUAAUAUUCAACUCAAAAGACUUGUUAAUAUAAUAGAACAUCUAUAUUUGGUAUUUUAACCAUAAUAAAUAAAUAAAAAUAUAUUAAUAUUUUUAUAUAUACACAUACAUGAUAACCUCAAAUCAGGUUCUAUGCUUUUAUUUUUGGAAAUUUUAAAUAGGUGUUUAUUGACAUUGAUUAAGGUAAUAUUUAUAAAUAUAUAUAUAUAUAUAUAUAUAAUAUUAAUGCAGCAUCCUUGUUUGAAUUUGAUGAAGACAAUACAUUAACUACAAAAACCUUUUAAAUUUAAUGUUUUAAUUAUCCUUAACUAACAGGCAUCAUUAACCGGACUCUUGCUCUUCAUUUUAAUAAAUGGGGUUCGGUGCACGCUGCCAAGCAAAACUUAGCCCAUGGAAAGAAACAGCCUAGCUGGAGGAUGAAGGACAGGCUCUUCUGUUUUUGUGCAUGAAUAACAGAAAGGGCAGCAUCAGCCAUCAGGGGAAUAAAUUGGCCAAUAGAAAUUGUGUGGUUUAGUGAACAAAACUCAUCAUUUUCAUGGGUUUGGCCUCCUAAAGGUGUACAUAUAUACUCUUGGUUGUCUCUUUUCAGCUUUUUCUAUGAAGAAUAUAUAUAUUUUGUGUGUGUGUGUGUUCGAGAAAGACAAAGGGUUUUCAAUAGUCUCCAUCCAACAUGGAAUUCCAGAGGCUUACUUAGCCUAACACCAAUUAAAAUCAUUUGGCUAGCCUAGGCAAGGCUGAUAAAGCUAGAUAUCAUUCAAGAAUACUGAAAAAUUUUGUGAUCUUGGGACUGUGAGCUUUGAUUAUAGUGGGGUCUCAACAUUUCUACGCGAACAGGUCUACUUCCCAUCAGAUCCACACUUCCUUUCACUCUUUUUAAAUUCGGUGGAGUCAACGAUAUAUGUUUUGUAUCUUAUAUUAAUAAGAGAUGAGAUGAAUUUUAAGUUUAUAAGCAAGAGUUUUUAUGUAAUAUGUUUUUUAAAUUGAAAAUGUGAAUUUAUACCAAAUAAUAUCAAAAUUUAUUUAAUUUUUUUUAUUAAAAUGAGACUUCUUCAUUGAUAUAAAACUCUUAUUAGAAAUAUCAAGGUUAAAAAUAUUGUACAAUUGAGUAAUAUAAAAUAUCAUACAUUUCACGUCAGUAAAAGAAAUGAAAACCUUCAUCAUCUAAUAUAAAUAUUUUUUAAAUUAAAAAUAUGAAUUCAUGACAUAUGAACUAAGUCGGUCUAUGACGCACAAUGCCCUACUAAGAAUUCUUAGCUGUAGAAAACAACUGCUAACUUGUUUGAAUUGAAUUAAGAUUGGACAACAAGAAAGAAAUUAGAUAAUUGAAAAUUUUUGUAAUAGUUAAAAGUCGGAAUAGCAACAUCAUCACCAAACGAAAGUGAAGUUGAAAAACUCAAUCAACCUACCAAAACAAGUACCUCCUUGACCAAGUAACCAAGUCUCAGCUGCUGCACUACAUCAUAGUUUUCACUUAAAUGUUAAUAAUCCAUUGUCAAAAUCAAAAGGAGGGAGUAGAGCAAUAACAUAUUUGUAUAAUUGCCAAACUAAUGGUUUGCCUUUUAUUUGUGUCCACCACUUUCAAGCCUCACUGCAUAAUGUCACAUGCAUUGCCCGCAAAGUGGGUUCUCACUGCUGCUGCUGCUGCAUGUCCACCACAAAAGGGGGAAUAUAUCUAAUACUAAAAUAAUCAGAAUUAAUUGCUUCCUUUAUGUAUAGCAAAAUAAAAUGGUUGUUUUUGUUAUAAAAAGAGAAUAUUAUUAAUGGAAUGAAAGAUAUUGCUCCAACAUCAUCUUACUAUUAUUUUUUUUUUUUGAAAAGCACUAUUAUUAUUAUUAUUAUUUCCAAAUAACAUGUCAAUUUCCUUUAUAAUUAAUUUGUGAAAAUCAGUUUGCAAAAAUUCAUUGUUUUAGAAAAGAGAUACAUAUUACAUAAUCUCAUUGAUAUCUUUUUUUUUAAAAAUAGAAAUAAAAAAUUUAAUAUUUUAUUUUUCAUCUCUAAAAAAAAUCAUAAACUCCAGAAUUCAACUCCCUUGACUUCUAUAAUCUUGUCCUAUGUUUUUUUUUUUUAAAAUAUAUAUAUAUAUAAGUAAUUAACUUUGUCAUAAUUUUAUUUUAUUUUUUAAAUCAUGUGAGAUUCAUGACAUUCUCUUUUACUCAAUUAUAUAAUAUUCUCAUUAUAUUAAUUUUUUCACUUGUAAAGGAGAGAGAUUCACGAGCCAAGCAUGAUUUCUCUCGUAGGAGUUUUUAUUAAUAAAAAUUUAAUAAAUUUUAAUAUCAUUUAUCACGAGUUUAUAUUUUCAAUUCAAUAUAUAUAUAUAUAUAUAAAAGAAGAAAUGUCUCCAAUUUUAACUUUUAGCAUGUCUUCAAUUUUAACUUUAAUAUUAACCGAAAUGUGUUCAAGUUUAACUUUAAUACCUAUCUCAUUUCUGAUUGAAAUUUAUAGGUAGGAAAAAUAGUAAAAAAAUUUUAAUUAUCACUUUUGUUUUGACGUUAAUCAAAUCAUAACUAUUAUUUAACCGAAAAAGUGAAACUAUAAUUAUUGAAAGUCUUUUCUAUUUGGAAUUUUGGAGCGCUGGACAGUUGGUGACUCAGCAAAAAGCAUAAAAAUAAAAGAAAUCAAAUGAAAUUAUUAGGACAUGAUUUAAACUUUGAAGUUUGAACCCCACCAAAGAGAAAAGAGGGCCUAUAACAAUUCCCAUGAGUGCACUGUCACUGUAUAAAACCAAACUCCCAAAACACAAAACUCACUCGUUGUGUCUUCUGUCUGAACAGGGUUUCCCUUUUUUCGUUCCCCCAAUCACACGUAAGUCCGCAAAAUAAAUUCAUUUCCAAAUAAGUAAUUAAAAAAAAGACCUUAAGAGUUGGGUCUUCUUCAAUUAUCAACUUCAUAAUACUUUGCGAAAAAGACAAAGACCCACUACUUACCAGAAAAACUCUUAUUUUCUCUCAAAAGCAUUUGGAAAGAAGAAGAAGAAGAAGAAGGCUUAAAAAAGAAGGGGUUCAAAUGGGUUCGAGUAGCAGUCGACUGGGGUCGAACCCAUCACGGGGGAGACUUAACCACCGACCCAAAUGGUGUUCCAGGCUCUCCUCUCUCUUCAUCUGCGGUGGCUCUUCUUCUCAAGCCCCUCUUGAGGUAAUUAACUAGCGAAAUUUUGGUCCUUUUGUUUGUUUGGAUGAUUCGAGAUAGGGUAUUUUGGUUGCUGAGUUAUAUACAAAGAUUAUUAUUUUCUGACUUUUUAAUCAUAAAGUCAAUGCCCCAUUUCUUGCUUUUUCUUAAUUUUUUUUUAUUUUUAAUAAACUUCUGGCGAUCUGGGGUUUCCUUAAUUCAUUCCUAAAAUACUUCUUUGUGGUAUAUUUGUUUUUUUUAUAUAUUAUUUCUUCAUCUUUUUGAUUUAAUACAGGCUUGAAAUAUCAUGUUUUUUGAUUUUGUUUGUCCUCUCAAAAUCCUCUGGUUCAAAUCAAGUCAGGAUAGAGAAAGCUUUUAAGGUCUUCGUUUAGAAAUUUUUUGUAAAUUAUUGAUUUUUAUGUUUCUCAAUUAACCACGUUACGGGUUCCUCUAUUAACUUUUUUUCCUUGAUCAUUUUUAGCAUUUAAUUGUCUGAAAUAUAACGUUCUCUGUUUAAAAAUUCCAGAUUUUAAUGGUUGGUUCUUUUUAAAUAGUGCUUUAGUUGAUGUUGUUUUGAUCCUUCUGAAAGACAACGAAUUUUCUUUCUUAUCCUGGUUGUUUGUAUUAAUGCAUUGAGUGUGUGUGUGCGCGCGCGCGCGUGUGUGAAUGAUGCAGUUUGAGAGGGCCUGCCUUUCUUUUUUGGUAUUUUGGACCUGUUUUACUGCCCCACCUGGAGGUUCAAUUAUGUAUUCACCCAUAGCUUUCAUCAUGGUGGGAUGCUUUUAAGGAAAUAUGAAGAAUCUGUAACCUUGCGGGAUUUGGUUCUCGUGCUGUGUCAGACUUUGAUUUGGACUAAAGAAUAUUUACUAGUUCUUGCAGCCCCUUGUCUCAAAAAAUAAGCUCGUCCUGUUGCACUGUUGCAGCAAAUGUGCACAUUCAACUAUCCCCUUUGCUUCAGGCCAAAAAAAACUGUUCCCUUUGCUUGCAAAUUUUUUAAGUUAGUGUAAUGUGCUUACUAGUUACUUGUCAACUGCAUUUAAGUAAUGUUCAAAUUUCUGAAGUAUCUUUUUCUCUGAAUUUUGCUCUUUCAAAACAGGAAUUUCAGUUUCGCUUAUCUUUGCUUGGUUAGUUGUCAGUGUAUCUUUUAUUUGGAGGGAGGAACUGAAAAAGAAGUGCAAUGCUCUUUUGCAGUAUCCUUUGUUGAGUAGAUGGUAGGUUUGUAAAUUAAAACCUUCCUAGCUAAAAUUAGCAACACAUAAUAUUGGAGAUAGGCAUUAAUUUACCAAGUAUUACUUGUUUAAAUUGUUUUCCAGUUGAUUUUUGUACCUUUUCUAUUAGCAAUACAUCUUUUGUAGUUGGUUAAGUUCAUUUUUAGUUAAAAUGCCAUGAAGGAGCUUAACUCUUUAGCUUUCCUCUCGGUUCCAAGAUGUAGACAGGAGGCAGUACAGAAUCUUCUUUCUGGCAGUGGGUUGAGCAUCUCAUAAUUGUUGCUCCAAACCUGGGGCCACCAAGAGAACAAUAUGAAGUCUUCAUUGAGGAUGCAAGAGUCAAGUGAACUCUAAAUUCCGUUAGCACCAGCAAAUGUCUUGUGGAAUUGCAUGUUCAUGAACACGUUUAUGUCUUGGAAGUUAUCUUUCUUUUUUCUUUAUUUUUAUUUUUUAUUUUUGGUUUUUAGAUUGUAAACUAAGCAUUUUACAUGCAAGCUCUAGAAUAUGCAGCAGGAAGUGAUACAAUGACAUUCUUUUGAUGUAGAUGGAAGAUUAUCCAGCUGAAAUUCUGGUGAAGUCUGCAGAACACUGUGGUCCAGUUGGCAACAUGGUCCAAAGUCCCCUGGAGGAAUCUACUUCGAUCUGCAGUAUGGAAACAAGGUUCAGCAGCACAGGUACUGAAACUGGAAUUUCAGCUGAAAGCAGUUCUGCAGCCAGUGGUGAUCCAUCUAUUGAAGGUGGUUCAAGAGAUCUAGAAACAAGUAAUUGUAGGACAUGCUUGAUUGAAAGUACGGAGUUAGUUGCUCCUCAGGUAAGUGCUGAUUAUAGUUGUGGUGAAUCUCAUAGGGAUAGUAGUACUUCAGCUAGCACUUCCUUUAAAGAACAACAAUCUUCAGACCCUAUCUCAGUAAAUCUUUCGACUAAUGAGGAUGCAGUCAGUGGCUUUGAAAAUGCAAACAAGGGUGCAUCUCAGAUCCAUCCUGAGGCAAGUAUUUUGUCUCCUCAAGGGCUUGGAGAUUCACAUUUGCAUGGGAUACCUGUUGAGAAUCAGUUAAGUGAAGUAACAACAGUCCAUAACUCUGAUCCUGAUCCUGCUCCUCAUGCCUCUGAACCGGUGACUUUUCACUCACCAGGAGGUGAAUCCAUCAGAGAGGCAAUACCUUCAGGUUUAGGUUUUCUCGUAUCCAAUAGGGAACCAGGCCGGGGAGAUGGAAGUGUGCUUCAUGUUGACGUUGUGAGUAUCUCUUCCAAUAUUUUAUCUGGUGGCAGUGCUGAUACAAGUAAUCGUGAAGCCAGGAGGAAUAGUAGAAGAUUGUUUUGGGAUGCAUUUUCAAGACGCAGCUCUAGAAGACUUAAUGAUUCCUCAUCCAUUUUUCUUUCAACGGAUGAUAGUGAUGAUACAGGAUUUCAUGACAGAUGGCUUCUUGAUUUUAGUGGUGAUUUCUUUUAUGAUGGGGCUGGAGGUGAUUCCGGCUACCUCAGCAGUAGAAUUCACAGCUUGAAUGAACGAAGACGACACUCGAGAUCAGAGGUAUUUAUUUGCAAAGCACUUUGAAUAUUGAAGUUUAUACUGCUUGUUUUUAGUAGAUAGAGAUAUAUCAAAACUUGCUUUCAGAAACUAGAUUUAUUUUAAAAAUUUGUUUUGUCUCCAUUAUUCCUGGAUUGGGGCUUAUGGUCCACUGUAUUUUUGUUGGAAUAUCUUUUGUAUCUGGUUAUGUAUUUGAUCAUUGCAAUCAUGUGACAACAUUUAUCAAGAUCUCUUUCGCUAUAUAUAUUCAAUUUGUCAUCCUGUUCCCUCGUGUACCUUCUAUGAACUAUCCCAUUUGACUCUUUUUCAGAUCUGGGAAAGGCUGCGUGGUGGCCAUGAUGAAAAUAGUCGGCGAACGACAUUUUGUCCAUCUGGACUCCACCCUGAUGGCACAUGCUCAUGUGAUUCUCUCUUGAUGACUGAUGAGUCUAGUGCCCGUGCAAGCAUAUCACGAAUAGUCAUGCUUGCUGAGGCUCUAUUUGAGGUAGUUUUCCUUUACCAACUUGCAUGUUCUGCCUAUCUUAUGCCAACUCAUCAUGUUAAUGUGAUUUUGUUUUACUGUGCCUUUGUUCCAUGAGAAGUUGAUCUUGUAUUGCAUUUUGUGCCAAAUUAUAAAGUUACUUGUUGAUAAUGGUCAUGGUAGAUUUUGUCAACGUGGAAGAAUGAAUCAGUAUCAGGACUUUUAAGAUGUUAUAGAUGGGUUGUGGGUGUUAAAAAUACUUUGUUUUCCCCAUUUCUAGUAUACCUUUGCAUGUGAGAUGUUGGAUCUUUUUCUUAUUCAGAAAGAUUUUUUGUAGCAUUUCUAGUAUAAUGGGGUGACUCUGUGUAUGUGAGGCAAGUGAGACUGCAACCUUUGUGUUAGUACAAUGGAAUGUAGUAAUGGUUAACAUUUCUGCUCAUGGUGCAUUGAUAUUGAUAAACACCUAUUCAGCUCCACAAGUUUCACCCAUUUCUUCAUUCUGUCAAAAUGAACGUUUGUAGGUUUUGGAUGAAAUUCAUCGUCAACCAGUAUCACUUUCCCUAUCUAUGGUGUCACUCCCGGCCCCCGAAUCUGUAGUUGAUUCUUUCCCUCUUAGAAGUCACAAAAAAUUGGAUGCAGCUGAGGGCGGGGAUGCUGUUGAACAGUAAGUUGUUUCUUAAUACUUGAAGAAAGGAUGUGUAUCAAUUUGCUCCUGAAAGAGCAUAGGGAGAAGAGUGCGUAUGAAUUUGCUUCUGGAAGAGUGUAUGGAAAGGAGUGAUUCUAUUUACUAUUUGUGUUUCUCUACUUAUUGUAUAUAGAAUAUGCUAUUAAUGUUAUCAUUGCUACUACUAAUCUUAUAUGUAGGUGUUAUAUAUGCCUGGCUGAAUAUGAGGAAGAGGAUAAAAUAAGAGCUCUGCCUUGCCAGCACGAGUUUCACAUGUCUUGUGUGGAUAAAUGGCUUAAAGAGAUACAUGGGUAUCAUUGCUACUAUAUGCUUUCCCUGUCGACCUGCCUUUUUUUCAUCUUCUGUUUUGGAAACUGACCUCACUGUCUCUUAUCUCUGGUUUACAGGGUGUGCCCACUUUGCAGAGGUGAUGUUCGUCAGGGUGUGGAGUCCUCUGUCUCAAACUCGGAGAUUCCCUCUCUUUGAUAAAAUUGUACAUAUGAAAAUACUAAAUAGUAAUGGCUUCUUAUACAAAUGUUAAAAAUGUUGUAUCAACAGUAUUUACCAUGUUGUAUUUCCUAUAUGCCAUCGUGUAGCAUCUUUUCCUCAUGAUGCGAGUCCACGGGAUUAUUACAUAUAGCAAAUUGAGGAAAAUGGGAUUUUUCCGGCUUUGCAUUUUCCUCUGAUGGCUACAUCUUUAGCUUAACCAACAUGGGAGGACUAAUUCAUCAAGCCUAUGUGCACAGAUUGACCGAGGCAUGCUGCUGUUAAUUUGUGUUGUUAGAUAUCCAUAGAUGCUUGUUAUGGUACGAAUGUCAGUAAACAUUUAAAAGUUAACUAAUAAACAUAAAUGCUUACCCUAGUUUCCCUUGCAUGGUCUUUUAUCGUUUGAUUGAAUAUUAUUAUUUUUGUAGUACAAAUUUCCUCAUAAAAUUGCAGCUUGAAUUAUCCAAAAUCUUUGGGUGCAUUGAGGAUUACAGAGAUGCAGCAGCUAAAAUGUGUGAAGCAACAAUGCAGCAAGUGACUACGAUAUAUGAUUGUGGUAGUUUUGAGUUGCGAAGCCUGUAAAUCAUAUUACAGAUGGAGAAGACUUGUAGGCUUUUCACCUUUUUUAAGUUACUCUAUUUGCCGUAUAAGUUCUGAUAUGAUAACAAAUCAAACAAAGUUUAGUUCAAUGAUUGUUAAUUCUUCCUUAUAUGGAAGGACUGCAGGUUCAACUCCCUUUUGUUUCGGCUUUUUCAUGUGUCUGAAAAUAAAAAUCUCAUUUAGGGAACACAAUCUUGACUAUAAUUAUUUUGAUUUAACCUUAAAAUUACAUGUUCUAAAAUUAUACAUAUUGUUUUUUAAAUUAAAUUAGAGUUUACUUAUUCAAAAGAAGAGUAACUUUUUCUUUAUUUUGAUGUUUUCUCACUUGAUACUUGAUACUUUAUUUUCCUCACUUAAUACCUGACAUCUUAUUCCGUUGCCAUGUGGAGUUAUAGCGUCUAUAUUUCUCUAAUUUUUAUCCCAUGCUCAAAUUAAUUAAGUUGAAAUUUCAAUUAUAAAAAAAAAAAAAAGAAAAAAAGUGUUUUAAACCCUUUAGACAUUCUAAAAUUUCAAAUUCCAAAGUCAAUAUAUUGAAUAACUUUGUGAAUACCAAAGAAUAUUCAAUACCCAAAAAAAAAAAAAACCAGAGAAUAUUUGAAAAAAUAUCUUAAAAGAUUGCAAAUUUGCAAUGCUGCAAAUAAUUUUGUCCAAACGUACAAAGGAAAACUGAGGGACACAAUCUACACAAAGCUAAUAGAGGCUGUUACAGAAUGUUGCUUGCUUUACCUGAAGAACCGAAAUGCUACAGAUUACUCAGAAGAACAAAGUUCUUCUUCAUAGUUCAUACAUUGCUAUAUCUAAAAUACAUAACAACCAAAACAAUGCUAUUCGAGAAGCAAUUGCAAAGGCCUAACUGAAAAAUAUAGGAUACAGAUAAAAACAGGAUACAACAGCACUUGCUUUUCGAUCUAACCCAGGAAAGAAGAGCCAUUCCUUGGGUUCCAAAAGGGAUUCUGAUCUUGACAGAAUUCAGGUCUCAGCUUGCUGUCAGUGUAAUCAUAGGAGAAAGGAUUAUUUUUGUUAUCAGUGUAACCACUAGUGUGGUUAUUAGCAAAGAGAUUUGGGUGACAGUUUUCAUCAUCUUCAAAAGUAGUCCAUCGCAUUGAGUUAUUAUGAUGCUUCUCUCUGGUUGCGUUUCUCAUGUUCUCCAUCUCUCCUACAUGGUCCUUGAAUUCUUUCUUCACCACAUCCAGUACAACAUCUCCAUAUCGAUCACACCAUGACCUGAAAAAAUUGGCAAGGAGAGAGGACAAUUAGAAAUAGAAACGCUGAUAAUCUGGCUAGAGAUCUAACAAAUCUUUCAAAUCCAAAAGCAAUGUACUAAAAGAAUCAAGGCCUUGUAAUCUAACGGAUUACAGAUUUGGGUAAGCCAAGGGCUGAUACUAUAUUAGGCUCGACUAAAGUGAUCCGUUUCUUGCAUCAAAGACAUAUAUUGCCUAAUUAUACAGGACAGCAUUGUACUCUUUUCGUGUCAUCUUAGAGUUGUAAGCAGCAAUAAUGUAAUAUAAUUCUCCACUGCCCAUAAACACAAAGAGAAUAAACAUAUAUGUAAGCGUUGUAAAGAAAUCAAGCUUUAUCAUCCUUACUUGGGGAAGAACUUUUUGAGGUCAGCCUUGUCCACAGGAAGGGUUGUGGAAAUCGCUUCCAUUUGAUCGUUCCUAGCGCAAUUCCAACAAAAGCAAACUUAGGCAAAUGCGCAAAAUAUUGCUCCAUUUUAAGGUUUGAUGGGAAGAACUCGCUUACGAAAAUUUGAGAUUCGGAUUGGUAGUGGAGAGCUCCAUUUGAAUUCGUGAUAGCUCCUUCUUUAUUUUGUCUCCUAAAACCUGCAAGAGUCACUCAAAAUAGGAUAUUAAAUAUAAGCUCCAGGUUCAAUAUAAGCCAAGACUAGUAUACAAUUAAUAUAUACAUAAGCAACAUUAAGAUGAACCUUGUCAAUGAAGAAAUCAGAUGGAGCUCCAUUUGCAUGCAACUUCUUCUUAAUCUGUUUUGUGUCUGGCCCCUCUCCUAUGGGAGUGGUAACAAGCUGGCAUGACCCCAGGAAAGCUUCACUAUCUGAUCUUUCGUUAAGGGGCAAAGGAGCAGUCUCAUCCUCUAAAUCACUUCUCUUCGAUUUCUUGAAACCAUCAAAACCCCAUUGCUUUUUGGCUGAUUUGGAUGCUUUUUCCUCUGAACGAGGGCCAUAAUCACCACCCCCACCGCCAUGUCCCUCUCUUUGCUCUCUAUGAAACAAAGUUCUAAACGGUUUUCUCUUUGCCUUAUCAGUACCACUACCAUUUUCCUUCAUGGAUUCCGUUGGCAAUAUUUCUUCUUGCAUGAGAAUUGAUUUUGUUUCGUUUUCUUUACCCUUCAAAUGACUAUCCCAAAACGGGUUUUCUUUAGAACCCACCAUAUAGGCUGAGGAAUUUGAAUCUACAUCGAAUAUGCUCUUUUCUGAUCUGUUUUUACUUGGCUUCUGAGAUGAUCCAAAGCCCAAAACUGAAGCUGCUCCUUUGAUCUGCUUCAUUGUGGGGUUGUUCUUUGAUUUGUUCUUGGAAUGCAACAAAUUGUCUCUAUUAGUGCUGCAGUUUUCAUCCUUCAAGUCAAUGACCGACCAUUCUUCUUCUUGAUUCUCUUUAGUGCCUUUGGGGUUCGCAACAAUUACAUCGCUGGCCUCAAUUUCAGCUCCUUGUACUGCUAACCGCUGUAACAAAGGCCUCUUUGAAGAAUGGUACUCCUCCUCUGAUAUGCAUUUUGCAUAAAGCAGUUCCUAGGACAGAGGAAACCAAAGUGGAAACUUAUCAAAUCCAUUUUCACUCGAUGAAUUUUGUUGUGUUAUGCACUAAAAAGUAAAAACCAGUUGAAUAUUAGCUCAAUUGAGUAAAUUAUUCAUCUAAACUAAUGAAAAUUGUUCUUUUUAAUCUACAAAUGUCAGCUUAAUUUUCUAUAUCCAAGUCAAAUAUCCACAACAACUGCAACUUACAAAAACCAACUAAGCUCCUAAACUAAACCAAAAUACUAAAUCCAAAAAAAAAAAAAGAGAAAAAGAUAAAUAAAGUAGGCGUUAAAGACUUACCUGCAAGAAGACCAAUUUAUCUCUCAAAAUAACAGGCUGCUCGAGUUCAGGUGGAGAAGCAAUAAGGGUCUCAAGCAAAUGGGUUCUAAAAGCUGCAACCUCAGCUUCACCCAGAAUCCCUUCUUUGUGUAGACCCAUCAAGUUCAAUAUCUGGUGAAAGGAAUCCUGCUGCCAUUUCAGAUUAUCAGACUGCAGCUUGGAAAGCCUGUGUUCCAAGGCUGGUAACCGCCUUUUCUUGAAUGAGAAAGGGAGAAUUGUCUUGCAAAGAGAAGUGAUGGAGUCAUGGAGAGUGGAGUAGUAUGUGGGUGUAUAACUGUACACCAUUUUCGAUCUUUUGGCUUGUUGAUGAGAGCUUGAAAAUGGGUUGAAGCAAGAUUUGAGACUGAUGGUCUUAGUUGCCAGAGCUUUUGAUUAUUAUUUUUGAAGAAGAUUUCGGGUUAUGUAUUUGAACAAGGUGAGAUUGUUGUUUCAGUUUCGAGAGUUUUGAAUCUUGGGGAGAGCUUAAAACGGUCACUUGAAACUAGCCGUUGAGAGUUGGAAGACAGACGCGAAGCCAAUUAUUUGUUGAUAGAACGCUGUCGUUUUCCUCCAUGUUUAUAGUCAUGAUACCAAGUUUAAAAUUUGUGCAAGAAUAUUUAUUUCCCUUUUUCUUGUCUUGCAAGAACAUAUCUAUUUGUUUACAAUUAUUGUAAGAAUAGUUAUAAAAUCCAAUCCAAAAUCAACUCCAAGAUUUUGGGUUAUUGUAAGGGUAAUUACACAAUGAUAUAUUUAAAUUUUAAACCCAAAACAUGAAGCAUGAUAUGUUCCAAUUUAAAAUAAUUAUUUCUUAAGCACAUACCAAUAUGAUAUUGUUAUUUAAACAUCUUAAAAUAUUAAAAAAUAAUAAUAUAUGGUAACAAUAUUAAAACAUAUUUCUUGUUUUGAAAGAAUAUACUUAUUGAUUUACAAUAUAAUAUUACUCAUUUUAUCGUCAAUUCAUUUGACUUUACUAUAAGUUAAUGAUUAUCUCAAAGUUAUAAAAUUUUAAAAAACACAAAAUAUAGUUAAAUAGGUUAAUAGAUAAAUUGAAAAUUAAAAUAAAAUAUUUUUAUUUGUUUUAUUCAUUUAAUAAGUAAGAUAAAUACUUUAUCUUGCUUAUUUUAUACUUGUUUUUAUUGUUUUUGUACAAAUAAAGGUAUUACAGAUAAAAAUUUAACAUAAUCAGGUCAUUUCUUACUUAUUAUGAUAAAUAUAUUUUGUUAAUUUACAUAUUAUUUAUUUGUUUAUAUAUCAAUUUAUACUUCAACAAGCAUAAUAUUUACUUGGUUAAACUCCACAUAAAUCUCCAGAUCUUUUCUCCCAUAGUAACCUAAAGGUUUUUUUUUUCAUAUAAAACUUUGUGUUUUACCUUUUUUUUUUUCAAAAGUAGUAAUAGUAUUAAAUUGUCAAUUAAUUUUUUAUAAAAAGACAAUAACAUCCUUUGUGUUUUAAUCUUUUUGUUUUUUUUUGUUUGUUUAAUUAAAAAAAGAAUUUAAUAUUUAUUUGUGUUUUUUUCUUUCUAACUUUUCUCUCCCUUUCUCUCCUCAUUUUCUUACUGUCCAAACAAGAAACAUAGGUGACGCUUGCCCGUUACCUGCAAUAAAAUUUAAUGCUCUCCCUCUUACCUCAAUGCCCUUACUAGAUUUCUUCAGUUCCUUUUCUGCUCCGGGUGCAGGUUUAGAGUGUUUCCUUCUUCGAAUUCUAGUUCUUUCAUUGACCCUAUACUGGGGCAAAUCUAAAGUUGAUUUUAUUAUCAGCAUAUUUAAAGAAGAAAAAUUUUAGCCAGAUUCUGACCGUUCAUCUCACCUUUCACCAACAUCUUGACGUUAGAUACAAAACCUUUUUAAUCUUGAAAAGACGUGAAAGCUUUUCAAUGAAUGACUUUCCAUUGUAAAGGGGCUAUUCACUUAGGCAUUAAAGUACACUCCCCUUUAGUGAUCUGCUACUUUGGACCAAAUGCUUUGCUUAGGCAUUAAGAUACACUUUGUUAUAGUGAUAUGUUGCUCUGGACAACGACUAUAUAGAAACACGAAAACCUGGACCCAUCAUGCUAGCAAAUACGGAAGGAGUUCACAUACGCAGCAUGCUUGGAAGUCUUCUUUAAGCUUGUUGACUUUGAACAAGUGGGAUAUUUGGCAUUGAAGUUGAAUUGGUUAAGGUAAAAUAUUAAUGCAACUAAGAGUUUUGACCAAAGUGAUGGCUAACAUUCAUCUUCUUAGACAAUUUUUUUUUUAUGGAUUCUCUUUUUAAGAUUAAGUUUUAAUUUUUUUAAUUAAACAACAAAAAAACAAAAAUAUUAAAACACAAAUGUUGUUAUUGUCUUUUUAUAAAAAAAAUUAACUUACAAUUUAACAUCAUUACUAUUUUUUGGAAAAGAAGUAAAACGUAAGGUUUAAUAUGAGAAAGAAAUAACUCAAGAAGUUAUAGAAGAAAGAUUAUACCACAAGGGGUUGACUUGGAGAUUAUCCUAUUUACUUUGUUCAAGUUCUUAUGUUGGUUAAAUUGGUGAAAACUUGGCUUUUCUUUUCAAUUCAAUUUACCUAAACCCAAGUUUGAUCCUCACGCUUGAUAAAUUUUUGGUAAUUGGAUUAAUUAUUAAUUGUAAAUAUAUAGACAAGUUUAGGGUACGAGUACUCGAUGCUACUCAAAUAUUAAAUAUAAUUAGGUUUGAGAAUUGAGUAUUCGAUGAAUGAUACACCGCACUCUACUUGAACUAGAAAUGGAUAAUAAAUUUGUUAUUUGAACGGGUACUUAAAAAUGGCAUUUCCGUUUCCUUCCCUAGCAGAGGUGUCCAAGGUUGAGCUACUUGCUCAAGCCUGUUAGCUUGACUCGAUCAUAUUUUGGCAGCUUUUGUGGCUCGAUCUCGACUCGUCACAAUUAAAUUAUUUUAUUUAUAAAUAAUUUAAUAUUAUUUAAUUUUAAUUUAAAAAUAUUAAUAUAAAAUAGUAUUUUUAAUAUUUUAAUAAUAAAAUAACAAUAAAAUGAAUAAACCAGACCGAACUUAGACUUAGCUUUUUAAAUUAAAAGUCCAAUGGACCCAAUCCGAUCCACGAUCAUCUCUUUAUAUAUGUAUCAUCGUGACAUUAGUAGUGAUCUAAAAAUGAUUUAAAUGUACUAUUGCAAGUGACAUACAUACCAAUAAAUACUAAUAAACUCUUUGAAAGUUCUCUGUUUCCUUUUUAUUAUUAUUAUUCUGAUUAUUCUUGGUUUAGAGUGGUUCGAAUUAAAUUAAGGAAGUCGGUGUAUUCGUUGAGACUUGCAAAUAUUUUUCAAAUCAUGCUUAUCACUAAUCCUCUCUUGCUCUCCAAUGAAUCAAUAACCAUAAGCAUCAAAAAGAGUAAUGACCAAUUAAUGAAUACAAUUAACGUUUAUUAUAAGAAUUUCGAGUAUGCUUAUUUUUUGAGUUAUAAGAUAUUUAUGAGAAUUAGCUUCAUCUCAUUUAUUUUCCAAACAUGAUUGACGAUUAUUAUUAUGGUGGGGGUGGGCUGCGUAUGUAAAAACAAAGACAUUGCACAUUUCAGUUUCAGGUGAGACCAUCUUCUUUUUCUUUCUUUUAUCUUUCUCUUUGGAAUGGGUGCUCUGGUGGUCCUUAAUCUUUGACAAAACUAAAUUAUCCUCAAUAACACGUAACAUUACAUUACAUUCCACUUUCCACAUUGUUAGGCAUUAGCCUACUUCUUUUCCGCACAACAUAUCAUUUGGGGAUGAGCAAUUGAUUGGUUCGGUUCAUUAUAAUUAAGGAUUAAAUAGAUUAAAUAUUUUUAAAAAAUUAAUCAGAAUUGAUCAAAUUUAGAAAAGAUCGAAUUAACCAAACAUCGAAUUGAUUUGAUCAAUUCGGUUUUGGAUCAAAAGAAUCGAAAUUGUCACUUUUUUCUUUUACAAAUUACAACAUUGAAAUUUAUAAAUUUAUUUAUAAUUAUAAAAUAUACAAAUAAUUUAAACAUAAAAAAUAUAUAUAAUAUUUAUCUUUUCACUCACAUAAUUAUGUCCUUUCACAAAAACCGUCAAACUAACAUUUAAGAGUUUUAACCUCUAAAUUCUAACAUUUAAGAUUCAACAUAACAAAGAUAAUAAAAGUAACAUCUACAAAAAAAAGAACAUCUAACACAAGACAAUCAAUUAUUGCAAAUCAUGAACUUAAUAAUAGAAAAAUAUAUAUUUUAUAUAAAUUUAAAAAAUAUAUAAACUAAUAUUAUAUAUUAAUAUAUAUAAUAUUAAUUUGAUCUUUUAGUCAGUUCAAUUCAAAGAUUUUAAAACUAAAAAUCAGUCAAAUAAAUCAAUUGGACCAAACCGUUUAAUUACUCAAAUUACAUUUAGUUCGAUUGAGUCAAUAAUCCGAUCCAAUUUUACUCAUCCCUAAUAUCAUUUACUCUGUGAUAUGACAAAAUGGAUGCUAUUGUCAUGGUCAAUAUUUACUUAAAAUUGAAAAAUUAACAAAAGAAAAUGAGAUUCAAAUCCGAUUUUAUGAAUAAGGAGAUACAUGUUAAUGUUUUAAUUUGAUAAUGUUCACAUUCUUAUCUUAUAGUAUGUUCUUAACGAAUCGAGUAGGUAGGCUUCUUUGUGAAUCAGGUGUGAUCACAAUUCAUGGUCCGUCCAUAUAAGGACGAAUAAUUCAAGCUAAUAGUGGAUGGAAAUCGUUUUCAUAGGAAUCCUGUACAAAUCGAUAAGCAUCACUAAUACUCAUAACCAUGCUAUUGACGCAUAUGAUUAUAUGAAUGGAACAGGUUGCCCAAAUCACAUUUAAUUUAAGUUCACACAGGGGCGGUUCAACAUUUUUAAAGGCGUAAAGUGAUUAAACAUUUAAAUGAGACCCUUACUGAGUAAAAAAUAAAUAAAUAAAUAAAUGAAGCUCUUUUUAUUGAAAUUAAAAAAAAAUUACCAUUAGUUGGAAAUCAUUGAAAGUAUAUUACAUUCAUUGAAAAUAAAAAAAUAUAAUUGAGAAUUAUUAAUAUUAUGAGAAUUGAAAAAUAAUAAAAAAUAAAAAAUUAUUAGGCAUAAUUGAAAAAGUGAGAGCACAUGUAAUUUUAUUAAUUAUUUUAACUUUCACAAGAUUGAGAAAGUGAGAUAAAUAGUUAAGAAUUAAUAGAAAGUAGGAAAUGAAAGAAAAUAAAUAUUUAAUAGAUACUUAAUUUAAAAAAUAUUUUGUUAAUUAUUUUAAUUUUUAUAUAUAUUUAAUAUAAUUAAUUAUAUUAUAUAAAAUUAUGAGACCUAAAGUAAGGACUUUGCUGGCUUUAUGCUAAAGCUGGCCCUGAGUCCACACCUGCCUAAUUGUUUCCCCUUUUUCUUUUUCUUUUCAGCCUUUUCACCAUGAGCUCCAACCCUUUCAUUAUCAAUGCAAAAAUGUCGAUUUAUCCGUCAGUUAGCUGCACUAUUUAGUUAUUUACAAAAAAUGUAAACAUAAUUAAUAUAAUUUUAUGAACAUUUUAUUUUUAUUAGUAGUAGGACAGACAGUCAAAACUGAUUGAAUUCUUUAUCAUUCUCGUAAAGAUUUGGUUGGCAUUUGAUGCAUCUUAGUGAGCAGAACAUGACUUUAUAUAGUCCACUCCAACAAAUGGAAAUUGGCCUACUUUUUACGAAAACUAAUUCUUAAUUAUUUAUAUCAGCUUUGGUUUUUGUAUAAUUUAUUGUUUUAAUAUGACUGGGUGAAAAUGAUUUUGUAAGUCCAUAUGUUGACAUCAUACGAGGGCUACAAUUUAUCAUUCAAUAACAAUGAUAAAACAUUUCAUAACCCAAAAAGAAAUUCAGAUGCAAGAAGAGUAAUUCAUUAAUUAUAACAUCUCAACUUUUUAAUUUUUUUUUAAAUAACUCAACCUUAGAUUUUACAAAGUUGUUGGCCCACUGUGAUUAGAGUUGGAGGUAGACAAGAUUAGGUGCAUUAUUUAAGUUGAAUUUCAAAGGUGGGGCAAGAGAAUGAAUGGACAUUGAUGUGCAUGUUCAGUAAAAGAAUCACUUUACCAUGACGAAAUGCCCCAUUCACCUCGAAUUUUAUUAAGACUUCUUCUAUCAGCUGCAACAAAAGUAUAAUAAGGGGGCAGUACUUUAAUUAACAGUAAAAUAUAAUGAUAUUUUUUUAUCAUAAUUAUAUGGGUUAAUUAGUUUUCAUAAUAAAUAAUCUAUCCAAAAAAGAUAUUUUCAUUAGACAUAUAAGUCAUGUCAUUAAUCAACUGACAAUCUUUUUAUUAAUUUGAUGAUAUGAUAAUAUUUUUAAAAUAAUUUUACUUUUUAUUAAUUUUAAAAAUUAUUACCAUAUAAAUUAAAUUUUUUAUUUUUUUAAUUUUUUCAAAAAAAAAAACUCUCAAUCUGACCACCUUGCAAUUGGUGGUGCUCCCCGAUCAAGAGAGCACCAGAUUUUGUGCUCCUGUUCGUGCUCCCUUGAGGAGCAUCGUCUUCCCAAAGGGAGCAUUGAUCUAGUGCUUCUUGUGGGGUAGGGGAGCACCAGAUCUAGUUCUCCAUAAGGGAGCACGAGAUCUGGGGUGCAAGACUAGAUCUCGUGCUCCAUUGGAGAGAUUCGGUUAGAUCUGGCAUUCCAAGGUCAAAUUCGAUCGUAAGGUGACCGAUCGAUAUAAGGUAGUAUCAUUAGUCGACCUCAGAAAAAGGAGAAGAGUGAAAAAAAGGAAAAAGAGCAUUUUAAACAUUUUAUAUUUAGGUAUUAACACCAUUUAUAUAUUUGGGACAGACUGUUUAUUUUGAAAACUAAUGAACCUACAUAUAAUUAUAAUCAAAAGAUGAAAAUAUCAAUAUAUUUUCCUUUUUAAUCAAUUAUAACCCUCUCUCUGCCAAGAGAUGAUUAGGUAGUUCAUUUAAAUUUUCAACAUGCAUAAUAUAUAUGUUUGAGUUCCUAAUAAGUUGAAUUUCCCCUUUGAUAGAGGAAAAAAGAAAUGUUGCUAAACAAAUAUAUUUGAUUGUAUUAUAUAAUCUUUAUGACAGUAUUUUGGGUAAAAAAAUGUUGUUAAAGUAAUUUCAUAUAUUAACGAAAACUAGAUUUCUAUACAAUAAAACAUUUAUAAACUAAUAUUUUGGGAUCAUGAAAAUUUAUUAAUUAAUCAAUAAAUUAAUAAUUUAUUAAUUUGUAUAUUAAUUAAUAAAAAAUAAAACUAUUGAGAUAUUCUUUAUUUAUCUUUUCAAAAUACUGAAUUUAAUAUAUGUAUUGUGUAUUGUGAUUAUACGAAUAUUGCCUAAUUAUUGAAUUACGAAUUAUCAUUAUUUUAUGUAUUUGUUUAAUCAAAACAAUGUCUAUGAAUGUAAUUAGUUUUAUUAAAUAGAAGUAACGAAUCUAGCCAUUUUUGUAACAAACUAUAAUUACAUUCGAUAUAUACUUAAUUAGUAUACUUCAUGAACAUUAAGUCAAACAAAAACAUCUAUCAAAAGAACAUACAAUACCACAUACAGUAAAACUAAAUACAACAACUUCUUGAGAUGUAAAAAAAUCAAUAAUGACGAAUGAAAUAUGUAAAACAUUGUGUGAGUACAUCAAAUAAGAUCAAGAUGUACUUAAAGCAAAAAUUACAUUGCAUAAUUUCUCUUAUAAUAUGAGAACACUACAUUAGAGUUUUUUUAAUAUAGUAAGAAAAGUUAGAGAUGAGGUAUAAUGAGACAUCAAUUUCAAGAAGAAACAAAUAAUAUUAGAGUCAUAUUUUAUAAAAAAAUCUCUUAAUUGAGUAAUGUAUAUAUAUAAUUUUGAUGUAUAAAGAGAUUAUUAAUUUAUAUAUAUCAAGUGAGACCUAUGUGUUUUCUUUUAAAUGUAUUAUUUUAUAAAUUUAAUGAAUUAUUAAUUUACUACGUUGAUCUUAAUCGAAACCGGUUAAAAAUAUUAUUUAAUCUAAAUUAUUAAUUUAUCGAAUAUUAAUUUAUCAAAAUUUUACUGUAAUUGAACUCGUAAUUAUGGAAAUUCUCAUAUAUUCAACUACUAACUUCGAUAAUCUUCCAAGAAAUUUUUGGUGAUUACUAAGAUGAUAUUCCAUAAUCAACCGUGUACAUUGUGAUUUUGCUUUUUCUUUUCCUUGCCAAAAAAAUAUAAUCAAUUCUCUGGUACGGCUAUGAGGGAAAGCAACUUGCUUUGUUUUAUGUGUGCGUUGCCUUAACAUGGAGGAAACUGAUAAAAGUGUAGCAAAUGGAAAUAUAGGGGUACAAGAUACUAUACCAAGUAUAUACUACAACUCUUCCAAGGAAAAGGGUGAUUAUGGAUGUGUUUUUUAUAUAUAUAUAUAUAUAAAGGAAAUAUAUUAAUUUAUAUAUAAAGGAAAUAUAUUAAUUUAAAUCAAUGAGUCGGCGGAUGUUUUAUAGUAUCAUUGUUUUGUUUUUAUUUCAUUUAAUAGAAGAAUGUUUUAACAUUAUGUUGUUAAUAUAUUUCUGCAUAAAUUAAUAAAAAAAAUUUAACUUGUUGGAUUAUUGAGGUGUUGUAUUGCCUUUUAAAUUUGAUUAAAAACACUGGCUAUUUAUCUACAAAUGUAUCUGAAGAAAGUUGAAAUUAGGAAUUGGUUAGAACUUUCGUAGCAGGACCUUAACAAAAGCCUUACUACUUCCUAGAAAUACCUUGCUACCUUGAUUGUUGAAUCAUGAUAUAAGCACUUCUUAGCAUUUAGAACCAAAAUACUACUACUAUCAAGAAUUCUGUGAUCAAGAAUGCUAGAAUUAGAAACAUCAAAAGAAAUUUUUAAUUUCACAUAUGAAAACAAGCUACUUCCUGAUUCAUGGGUAAUCAUUCAUCACUAACCCUACAACAAUCCUUUGGCUUUCUGAUAAAAGAGAAAGAAAUAACCUUUUUUUCAAGAUAGGAUGCCCAUUCUACAACAUGGGCAAUGAGCAUUAUUCUCUACCCAUGGGAUCAGGCACCUCGAAUGAAACCGAUGUGCGCAUGGCAGAUGAACCAAGGUCUCACCAGCCUUGAACCGUUCCAAGCAAAUGGCGCACUCCUCCUGAUCUGAAGCUUUCCAACUCAACUUGGCCCAACUAAACCUCUUUGUGCCACUCUUCUUUGGUCCAAACACUUCCUUGUGCAACUCCCCUUGAACCAUAUAUCUUCCAUCAACGCACCUCGAACUUUCUUUGCUAUUUUGCCUGAUUUCAAUGCCCAAAACAGGGGAAUAAGGGCAAAACUAAAAACUAAUUAAGCUGUAUGUUAGCAAGUCACAUAGCAGAUCUGCUAACAUGAGCCUGAUAUAAAUAUUCUGUUGUUUAGUACCUUUUGGGUUCUGAUUUUCUUUGUGAUCUCAGCCUCUCAUCUAAUCUUUCCUUAGCUUCUCUUGCUACCUCUCCCAGCUUCUCAUCUUGAUUGGCCUGAUUUAAUACGCUCCUUUGCUUUAUUUUUUCCAAGUAAAACCAAGUCAGUCCCAAUUAUAAUCUCCACCAUAUAUAUGGACCAAAAAUUACUGUAUAAUCAGGAAGAAGAAGAAGAAGAAGAAGUACCUGUGAAGAAACAGAGCUAUGAUGAGUUUCAUGGUUGCUUGUAUACAAACAAAAAGAGGACCUCCUUGUCCAGCCAAUUGGUACCGUGCUUGGUGAAUCAGAUGCGCCUCCGCUUUGAUGGAACCGUCUUCUUCUGGCACAUUCAACACCAGGAAGCAUGCCGGCCAUUGAUGAAAGAUAUGAAUUCUGAAAGAGACUGUUAAUUAAGAUCAGUGUCUUUUAUUUGUUAUAUUAAGGCUUCGGGCAUGGUCUACUGUAAACUGAUUUGUCUGCCGAUAUGAAGCUACCUGAAAGGAGGAAAUGAGUGGUUAUAAAGAGGAAAUACCUGUAUAAAUAAUUGCAAGAAGAAAGGGUACCAAAAAGGGGUUAUGAUUAAAAAGUGAAUCAAUCUCUAAAACAAAGAGGAAAACAGUUGUUACCUCAUAUAUAUUACUAGUGGGAGACAAAAGCGGGUCCGUGCCAUUGAUUGUCGAAGAAACAAUCUUUCUCAAUCACCCUUCAUUUGAGAGAUAGAAGAAGUAUGAGUCAUGUUUCUGUGUAAGAGCUCAAAAUAUACCCAACAGAUUAAAAUAUUAAGACCGAAAAGACUGUUGGAAAAAAUAAGGAAGGGACGAGGAAGGAGGCAAGGGAGCUUCACGGCAACUUACCGUCUACCAGCCGCCCACCAGACGACAGCACUUGUGUAGAAGGGUGAGCCACGUGACUAACCCAAUUCCCACUUUUCUGUAAUUGUAAAUGGAAUAACUUUUUCCUUCUCAAAAUUUGUUUUUCUUUAGACAUUUAUUAAAACCUUAUUCAAUAACCACGUCAUUUAAAUAACUAGGCAAUAUUUAACAUUUUCAAAUUUUUAUUUCAAGACAUAUGCUUUAUUUUAGUUAAGUUAUUUGUUAUUUUAUAGAAUAAAAACGAACAUAGAAUAGUUAGAUCACAAAAAUAGUAGUGAAAGUAGUCUGAAAUAGACUGUAAGGUUCAUGGGUGUCACUAGUAUAUUAUAAUGAAUUUGACUAAAUUAUUCAUAUAUAAUUAAAAAAAAUUUCACUUAAGUUUUUUUUCUUAGUACAAGCAUUUUUCUUUUUCUUUUUUCGUUUUCGGGAAACAUGUGAAUCAUUACUAAGUGUCAUUGAUCUCCACUACUUCAUCAAAUCAAAAUAUCCAUUCACUGCCUAACAUAUGUAGUGAGCUAACAUGUUAUUUUCAUGAUAAACAUGUUCUUACAUAAUCAACUUAUUCUUUCCAUGAUGAAUAUGCUCUUCUAUAAUACACUUGUUCUUCCCAUGAUAAUUAUGUUCUCCCCAUAUGUGCUCUUUUCAUGACAUCGAAUAAAUACUUUCUAGUUAACCGCAUACACUUUGUAUAUAUAAGAACCUCGGCAAUUCAUCAAGGGCAUUAAGAAAUUCAAUAGAUUCUUUCUCGAUUGAAGUACAUAUGAAGUCUUUGUAUUAUAACAAUUUUGUUUAAUUUAAUCUUUCUACAAUUUUUUUUUAAUUUAUCCCCCUCACUCAGCUAAUUUAGAUAGAAUUACUCAUAAUGACUAAAUUACACCAAAUACUAAAUAAAGAGAAUUCACCACCUACCUAAAAUAUCAAAAAUACAUAAAUUUUAAAUUAAAUAGUACCCGAAAACAGCUCAUACUCUUAAUUCUUUUUAUCUAAAACGCAGAAACAGCCAACAAAUUGAUGGAAGAGAAUCCCACCAACCACCACGGAGGUAUCAUGAUUGAGCUCUGUAACGACUGUGAAAAGAAAAAGAAAAGAAAAGAGAUGAGAUGCACCACCCCCACCCCCUCACUGCAAUAUUUUUUUAUUAUUGCAUGAUAUCUCGGCAAUGAUCCGACUCGUGCAGGAAAGAGAGGAUGAUGAAAGAAAAGGCGAAGUUGUCAAGUGACAAGGAUAGUGAAGAUUGAGGCAGGAAAAACCAUGUAACCCUGGAUUAUAUACUUUAUUGGGUCUUUUUAUUCUCCAGCAUUAUUUUAUAGAAUAGUGCAUUAAUUUGCCCAUAAUCUCAUAAUAAUCCUUUUGAUAAUUGGGCCAGAAGGGAUUCCAACUGAUAAAAAUUUUUAUUUGGAUCAGACAACAGCUGCUGCCCUGCUCAUCACUUUGUCUACAUUCUUUUGAUUCAUUUACCCACAAUACGUGAUCUGGUUUGUGUGAAAUGCUUUUGAAUAAACAACUUAAUAUUGGAGACAUAUAAUAAUUAUAUAAAAAAAACCCAACCUUAGCUUAAUAGUUUUUAUCCUCGCGAAAAGCUAAGAUUUAACAUUUAAAUUCACCUUCACCCUUACCUUGUGAGUUAAAAUAUAAGCAAAAAAAAUAAGGUUUUGAUAUUUGUAAAUAUUAAAUUCAAAUCCCAUAUUAUAUAAAUUUAGUAUAAUUUUAUAUUGAUUUGUAUUAAUUAGUUUAUUUAUCCACUAAUUUAACUUUAUAUUAGUUUGUUAGUUAGUUGGUUUAUUCAUUGAUUUUUUUAGUAAAUAUAACAUAUAAUAAUAUAUAUGAAAAUUAUGUGAUUUUAUUUAAAAUUUUUGUUUGUAUUUAUAAUUUCAUAAAUAAAUAAAUAAAUAAAAAAGCCUUGGAGUUACUGUCGAGCUGCAAAUAAUUUUUAUGGGUGCUCCUUAUGGGUUUAGACUGGGUUCUAAAAAACAAUAUGUUAACAACUAGAACCAAACCCAAAUAUUUGUCAAUGCACAACUGGUGCUGGUUGACUGCCUGCCAAUAAUUUCUGGGCUUGGUUUCAGCCGACCCAUAUCCUUCGCAAAAACAAAGAAAAGCACAAAGAUAAUUUAUUAUAUGUAAAAUGAUAUGUAUAUCAAUUACAGUACUUAAUAAAAUUUUCUUCAUUCGAAUUUUGUAAAUUAUUUAUAGUUUUUAUUAUUACUUUUUUAUCUUAUGUCUUCAUAAUUAUUUUAAUUAUGUUUACAAGGUGGAUUAAUUUUAAAUCAUUAUUUUCAAACCUUUUGUUCUCAUCCCUUUCUUCAUUUCUCGAUCUGGUGCUGUCAUCAACCUUGUCCAUUCCGACAACAACGGCUCCUCCCUUUGUUCUCUUCCCUUUUCGUUUUGCUGCCAAUUUUCACUCUUUUUAAAAAAUCUUAACGUCCCUUUGAUUUUUUUCUCUCUCCACCAUCGAUCCCACCAUGAAAAAAAAAAAAAGCUAGGAGGGCUUGAUUGAGGCGUAGGCCCUCAAUUGGAACAACAUCAAAAACUUUAUUUUUAUAUAUAGUAAUAAAUAUGAAGCAGAAAUGUAGCAUGCAAACAAGAUUCGAACUUCAAACUUUUAUCAUUUCAUAUUUUUUAUUGUUAAGAAAAGUUACAUUAACGUUAAUAAAUAAGAUUUAUAGUUAUUGAUAAUCAAAGAAUUAUUUUUUUAAAAUUAAAUGAUCAAAAUAGACAAUCUCCUUUCAAAAAAAUUUUCUUGUUUUAUAUCAAAAUAUAAAUAUUUUUACUCUUAAAAAUGAAAAGAAAAUAAUAACAAUCUCUAUAAGGUCACAGCCAAAACCCUCACCAACUAGAUGGAAAUUGGUGAUUAGUAAGGUUAUCAACAAGAACCACUUUGCUUUUGUUGCUAAUAGAUAGCUUCUUGAUUGCUAUCUUACUGCAAGUAAGGCCAUUGAUUACAUUAGAAAAGAAGCAAGCAGCAGACUAUUAUUAAAGGUGGAUUUUGAAAAGGCGUAUGAUUCCAUUGAUUGGGAGUUCUUCUGUCUAAUUUUGGGAAAAAUGAAAUUUGAUAGUCGAUAGAGAAAAUGGGUUAAAGUGUAUCUUUCCUCAACAUCUAUAUCGGUGUUGGUCAAUGGUAACCCUACAAAUCAAUUCUAAAUGUGACAAGGACUACACCAAGAUUGUUUGCUUUCGCCCUUCUUAUUUAAUUGUGUUGUAGAAGCUUUUAGUGUGCUUAUGCACAAAGCUGUCAACAUGGGUCUAUGUCAGGGAGUGGAAGUUGGUAGAAGACGGAUGGUUGUCUCUCAUUUGUAAUUUUGCAUUUGCAGUUCGCAAAUGACAUGUUAAUCUUAUGUAAACUUGAUCUAAAUAGUUUAAUUAAUGCUAAAAUUUUACUGAGGUGUUUUCAGAUAGUUUUCAAACUAAAGAUUAAUUUCCAGAAGAGUUACUUGUUUGGGUUUAGUCUUGAUCAUGAAACUAUUGUGGAAUGGGUGAGGAAGAUUGUUAGUAAAGUGAACAAAUGCCCUACAACUUUCUUGGGUUUACGUCGUAACACAUCAAUGAACUCGAUUAAGAUGUGGAAGUCAAUUGUUGAGAAAGUUGAGGCAAGACUUCCUAUUUGGAAGGCAAAGUCCCUAUCUCUUGGUGAAAGAAUAACUUUGUUAAGAGCUAUCCUUAAUAAUCUAUCAGUCUUCUUUAUUUUGAUGUUUGCAAAGCCAACUGGAGUAAAAAAAAAUCCUUGACAAAUUACAAAGACAAUUUCUAUGGGGUGAAACCAUUGAGAGAAAACAAAUACAUUAUGUUAGUUGAGAAUCAACUUGUCUUUAUCGUGACUUGGGUGGAAUUGACCUUGUCGACCUCCAUGUGAGGAAUAGAGCUCUUCUCAAUAAAUGGCUCUAGUGGUUCAACAAUGAAACUUGGUGUCUUUGGAGUGAGUUGAUAGAGGAUAAGACAGAUUGUGACCUUAAUACAUUACUACCAUCAAGUGCCAAACAAGAAGAUCUUCCAAUGUGUGGAAAAACAUUGUCAAGCCUCUUAACGAUAAUUCUAACAUGGUGAGAAUUACUUGUGAUGGAAUAGGAAUUUUGUUUGUAAUGGCAAGAGGAUUAAUUUUUUGAAGGAGCAAUAGAUACCAGGGGUAGUGCUUAAUCAAUUCCCAAGAAUCUUUGCUUUGGCGACUGAUAAAAACGGUGUGAUCGAUGACUUUGGUAAGUGGGACAAUCAACGGUCGAGUGGGCCACUGAUCUAAGGAGAAAUGUGCUUGGAUGGGAAGAUGAACAGUGGGAGGCUUUUAUGUGCCUACUUCUAAAUCAAGAGUUAGAUUAGGAACCAGAGCAUUUAGCUCAUUGGUUGGUACAUGAACCCUUGUUUAAAGAGCAGGAUUUAAAUUUCCCUCAGCACAAUUAUAUAAAAAAAAUUAGAAAAAAAAAAGAGUUAAAUCAGGAGUUUCAAGACAAGAUGAUUUGGAAGCAUAACAUAAGUGGCAACUACAGCACAAAAUCCUUUAUGUUGAACUGUAUUAAUGUGAAACAUUCUAGUUCUGAGGUGUGGAGACGGAUUUGGGAAGGUUUGACGUCCCAUAAAGUGGAAGCAUUUUGUUGGCAAUUGCUCAAAUGAAGAUACACCUGAACAUUUGACUCAUUAGUUGAUGCAUAAUCCUUCUACUUAAAGAGUAAGGUUUGAAUCCCCCUUCUCUCAAUUACAAAAAGGAAAAAAACUACUCAAGGGAAGAUUAGCAAUGAGAAAAGAGUUGGCACGUAGAAGUAUCAUUAGACAAGAGGCUACGUACCGCUUGCUGUGCAAAAUAGGUAAUGAAACUCUAAAUCACUUAUUUUUCUCUUGUCUUGAAACAUGGAAAUUAUGACACUAGUGUUGUGAUUACAGGAAUGUUAAAUAGGUAUUGUAAUUAUUGGAAUGUCAAAUGGGUAUUACAUGAGGACCCUGUUAUGUGCUUUCAAGCUUGGAAUGAGAUGAGUAACCAGAUGGAAAAUGGGAAGGUGUUUAGAAUGGUUUUUUACACUAUUGCGUGGUCCAUCUAGUUAGCUCGAAAUGAUGUUGUGUUCUAAGGCAAAGUGUGGAGCAACUUCAACACCUUUGACACAAUUAAGUUGAGGUUGGGAUGGUGGGUAAAACUCAAAUGGCCAAACUUUAACCCAUAUUUGUUAGAUGUGAUUAGAAGUCUGAAUCUUGGCUUGAGCCUUGAAAAUAAUAAGUAGAUAAAGAGUAUAAUAGCUUAGAAAGAACCACCCCCGAGAAGCCUUAAGUUUAAUGUCGAUGCAGUUGCAAGUGAAUGCCCUGGCAAAGUAGGGAUAAGGGCCCUAGGGGAUGAGAAUGAGAACAUCCGUUUAUUAUUUUCAAUUUCAAUGGGUGUCAUCAAUUCUAAUAGAGCUAAGCUGAGCGCCCUCCGGAAGGGUUUUCAAGUGAUGGUUGCAUCAAAGUGGCCCAACUCCCAUGGGGUUGUUUUUUAGAGUUAUUCCUCCAACGUUGUCUCAUGGGUGCUGAACCCUCACAAUACUCCAUGGAAACUUAAGAAAACCAUCAUGAAGAUUGAAGGGCUAAAAUCCAAGCAAUCUAAAUAGGGUAUAAGUAAGAUCUCUUGGUCUACAAAUGAAAUCACAAAUAGCUUGGCUAAAACGAGCAUACGUAAACAAGGUGAUCUAAUGUGGACUAUUGGCAAUGUGAGUGCGAGCCAAGUAUCAGAUGAAAACUAAUUAUGAGUUCCUAAAGUGAUGUACAAUUUGAAAUAUCAUAGGGCGUAUAGUUGGGAGGGGUAGCUGACAAAGCGAUCUGACCUUUACUGCAAAAUUAUUUUUGUUUACUUGUAGUUUUGAGAUCAUAGGCAAAGGCUACCUAGGCCACCCUUUGUGUGUUCUUUUGUAGCUAUCAUCGUUAAUACAAGAUCACUGCCUUUCAAAAAAAACUUAACUUACCAAUAUAUAUGAGCUUGUUAUAAUAUUUCGAACUCAUCACAUUUGCUUAACUAAAAAAUAUCAUUGAUAAAACUCAAAUCAAUUUUCAAACAAAAAAAAAUUAAAAAAAAAGGCAUGAAUGGAGUGCCCAAAGAAUUUCCAAAAUCACAAAAAGCAUUAACCUCCACUAUUUAUUAUCUAAAUUUACUGAAAGCACCCAUCCCUUCAGUCGCGGAGGUUCAGGUUUCUCAGUUGAAAUGAUAACCAACCAUUUUCUCAUUUCCGUACCAUUCGCGUCCUUUUUUUUUUGUAAUUUUGCCAAAUCCCUUCACUCUAUAUUUUAUUAUUCCCUCUCCUUCACUCAUUCGCAAAAUAACUCCCAACAAAAAAAAACCCAAAACCUUUUCUUUCUCUUUUUUUUUAUUUUUCAAAAGAGAAAAAGAAAAAAAAAGGUAAGGCAAUGAGCAGCGAAACAAAUCCAACCUCUCCAAUUUCUCCAUCAUCUCUAAAACAAAAGCUAAAGUCUUCUAUUCGUCUCCCAUGGCUCUGCCACCACAGCCGCCAAGACAGGGCUCUAAAUGCCUCAGCCACUCCUCUUCCAACCCCUACUCCAAGCCCUACGGCUAAUAACAACCACAACAAGCCAAGGCUAAGCAAGACAUUGUCUCCUACGUAUCUGAAGUCCCCGGAGUUUAGAGACAAGUGUCGUAGCUUGAUUAACCGCAUUGGACACGGUCCUGGUCACCGCCAUAGCCAUAGCCACAGCCACAGUUAUGGUUAUCAUGGCCAUGGCCACGGGAGACGACACUCGGCGGAUUUUCGAUAUGAUCCGUCUAGUUACGCAUUGAAUUUUGAUGAAGGAUUCAAUGAUAGCCAACUUGAUGAGUUCCCUUCGAGAAAUUUUUCUACUAGGUUGCCAGCUUCUCCUUCUACUACUACUUCUAGAGAAAUCACUGCUUAUACUUGAAAAAUAAGAUUUUGGCUUUCUGUUGAAUUUGCAUGGAAAAAUGAUGGCUUGAUGAGGAUAUAGUGGUAGGUUUUUUUUUUUUUGUUAAAAAAGAAAAUUGCUUGCAAUUGUAUAUAAUUUUUUUUCUUCUCAUUUGUUGAUUAAUCUUUGAUAAAAAGUUACUAUAAAUAAGAUGCAUCCUUAUCUCAAUUAUGUAAAGAAGAUCUUGAAAUUUAUUAAGUUUUAAGUUUCCAAUCCCAUUAUAUAUGAAGUUGAUUAUAUUUUAUGUUAAUUUGUUAAUUUAUUUAUUAAUUUCUUCUAUUAAAUAUAAUAAUCAUCUUAUAUUUAUUGAGAAUUAGAUUAUAAUUUUUAUUCAUGAAUGUAAUCUCAUAAAAAAAAGUUUUUCAUAAAUUUGUGAAGGUAAUUGCUGAAAUUAAUUAAAUAUUUAAUUAUGGAAAAAUAAAGGGAUAUGAAUGUGGCUUCCAUGGAAAAAUGCAUAAAUUCCAAUAUCAUGAGUUCAUGUAAUAACUUAUGUUUGAGAAAGAAUAAGGAGACAAUCUAGAAUUAGUAUCGCAUCACCUUUUUUAAUAUAUAUAUAUAUAUAUAUAUAUAUAUAUAUAUAUGUGUGUGUGUGUGUNGCUUUUUUAUUAUUUUUUAUCCCUUUUUAAUAUAUAUAUAUAUAUAUAUAUAUAUAUAUAUAUAUGUGUGUGUGUGUGCGUAUGUGUGAAAUUAUCUUAUAAACUUAUUAAUGUUAAAAGUUUUGUUUAGUAAGCUUAAAUUAACUGUUUUCAGAAAAUGAAUUCAGAUGUGCCUAUAUUGUUGAAUUGUUGUGCUUGAUUCUCUAAUUAGUCAUCAAUAAGCAGUGGUGGAAUCAAGAUUUUAAGUUUGAGGGGAUGAAAUUGAAAACUUUAAUAGUUGAGGGGGUGAAAUUAUAAAAUUGAAAAAAGAAUGAGUGAUUGGAGAAUGAAUAUUUGAGAGUGAGAGGUGAUUAAAAGGCAUGGCCAGCAGCCCAGCACACCUAGCUGGUUGCCUAGUGGAAAUUGAAAUAACAAGAAAAGCAGAUUCCAUAUUUUUCUCAACAAAAGCAAUUUGUUUUACUAAAACGGGGAUCUUCUUAUCCAAAUAUGAUUUUGCAAGAAAAGGGAUUGCUCAUUUUGCAUAGGCAAACAUUAUUACCAGCAUCAGCAUUCUGUACCAAGUUACCAUCCUAAUAAUUGUCUCUGAGUACUAAAUUUCAAUAAUGCAAUGAAGGCAAUGAUACGAGUAAACUAUACAACGGAUAUGUGUAAAAUACGUGUCCGAAGGUGGCCCAAGGCUUCAACCUUUAGAUUGAAUUUAAGACACAAGAAAUUAUAUUGAUGAUAUACAUGGGUUUAUAUGCUCCAAAAAAUGUAACGUUUUAAUUGGCCUUCGCCUUAUCUUGUAUUGGCAAGUACCCUAGGAUUUUACCCAAAAGUCACUCAUCUACUUGCAUAGGUUCUAUCACUCAACUCAAAUUAGCUAUAAGUAUAUAAAGGACAUGUGUCCAACUUUCUUAUUUGUGAAUCAACAAUGCAUGUACUAGAUAUGAGAUUUAUAGAAAUAGUCUUUCAUCUCAAUUAUUUCCUUACCCCACUAUUCCAAGGAUAAUGCAUUGGGAAUGUUACACUGCGUGCAUCGAUAAUUCGCGAUUGAAUUGCUAUUGAACUCUUAUACACAUGGUUUUCAAAUGAAGAGAUUAUUCUUUAAACUUAAAGAAUCAAAUCUCUUAAUUGACGUCGAUGAGAUAGAAUUGGUUUCAAUCAACACUAUCUCCAAUCGGUAAUAGUUUCAUACUUCUCAUAGUGCUAGCAAUUUUAUCGCUUGAUACAAGUUUAGUAAAAGGGUUCGCUAACAUUUAACAUGUAAGAAAAUAUUCAAAAUAAACCUUAGCUUUCUUUACAAUAAUUCUCAAAUCUCACAUGAUUAUAUCUCCAAGCAAUAUGCUUGUUAUUAUUUGAAAAUCUCUCAUUUUUAGUGUUGUAAAUUACAGCUUGAUUCUCACAAUGCAAAGUGAUUGGUCAAUUUGUAAGAGUAACAAAACAAUUGUUAGUUGAGGAAGGGUGGCUCACAAAUUUUUCCCCAAGUGGAACAUAUCAAGUUGCAUUUCGAAUCUGUCAGUAGCUCGAUAGGGUUGCUACCGGUUGACAUCCCUCUUAAGGCUCGUAUGUUUCUUGUCAUGUCUCUAGAUCCAUUCAUGAAGGAAGGUUCUGUUUUUUAACUUCAAGAUCCAUAAUACCAAUUCCCCCACAAUUUCUAUAUUUACACACCUUGUUCUACUCAAUAUAAUGAACUUUUUUGCUUUGCCCUAGCCUCACACUAAAGAAACAUCAUUUGAAUUUUUUUUCAAGUUCUUUUUUAAUUCCUAUGAGAAUUUAGAACAAAAAUAUGAAGAAAUAGGGAGAUUUACUAGAAACGACCCCAAUAAUGUCACUACCCCCACUCGAAAACAACUUAGCUUUCCACCCAGCUAAUUUUACCUCAUACCUCUUGACAACUACCGAUUUCCAAAUCUUUAGGGAGAGUUGAUUUGUCCCCAGUGGGAGACCCAGGUAUGUAUUUGGAAUGUUUCCCACUCUAGAGAUCAAAUCAACCCAAACACCAACCAGUUGCUUAUCAAUUCUAAUCCCAAAGAGAUUACUCUUCUUGAAGUUGAUCUUGAAGCUCAAAAUGACCCAGAAACAUCUUAAAAUUCUAAUCACAUUCUUCAAACUUUAAGGCUUAGGAUAGUGGAAGAUCAUAGUGUCAUUUGUAUACUGUAAACGCAAAAUUUUCAACCCUUAAUCCCUAUUGAGACACCCUUGCAUAAAUCAACCUUCUUUGCCUUGUACAUGCUACCACUAAAAACAUCUGUUACAAUCUUGAACAGAAAUGGUGACAAGGGUAGCAUUAUCUUAAUCCCCUCUGCAUUUUAAGUUGCCUUGAUUAAUAUUAAACCUUUAUGCAUUUUGUUUAUUCUUUCUUUUUCUUUCUUACAAAUAACACACACAUAUAUACUAUUAUAUAAAUGUAUUAUAAAAUUAUUAUUAUUAUUAUUAUUGUUAUUAUUAUUAUUAAGAGAUAUAUAUAUCUAAUAUACAACACCAAUAGUAUAAAUCAUCAAUAAGAGAUUACAUCAAAUUUCAACCAAAAAAAAAAAACAAAAACCUAAUUAAGUGAGUAAUGGUUCACCAUAGGACCUUAAGAGCAAGAUUUGCUCUUCCCCGCAACCUAAGGUCUAUGUUGCUCUAUUUUUAUUUUUUAUUUUUUGAAAUAUUCGUGUUCUAUACAUAUUUGACAUACAUAAAUAUGGAGUUCCAACAUUUAAAUAUGAAAAAAAUAGAAAAAGUUGAACAUAUUCCACAUGAAACGCAUAUUCAUGUCCUUAAACUCACCCAAAAUCCAAAGCCGAGUAACAUAGCCCAAGGCAGCAAUGCCCAUGCCCCUUCUUCCCCUGAUUGAGAAAACAGGGAAUUCAAUAUUCACAAAAUCUUGACAACUAUUUCACGAAAAACAUUUCAACAGCUAUAGCAAAAUUUUUAUAAAUUAAUAAUUUUUAUUAAAUAAUAUUUUUAGUCAGUUUCAAUUUGAAAUUAACGUAAUAAAUUAAUAAUUCGUUAAAUUUAUAAGAUAAUAUAUUUUUAAAAAAACACAUAUAUCUCACUUGAUAUAUAAAUUAAUAAUCUCUUCAUAAAUCAAAAUUAUAUAUAUGCAUAACUCAAUUAGAAUAUCUUUGUAACAUAUGAUUCUAGUGUUAUUUGUUUUUUCUUGAAAUUGAUAUCUUCUUAGAACUUAUCUCUAACUUUUUUUAGUACAUUAAGAAGCUCUGAUAUAGUAUUCUCAUAUUACAAGAAAAAAUUAUAUAAUGUAAUUGUUGCUUUAAGCAUAUUCUUGUGAGAGACAAGCUCCACUACAAAACUAUAGCCUUCAACUUCAUUUUUUUUUUCAACUUUCAUGACGUUCUAAAUAAUUUACUCAUCAUGAAUAUUAAUAAUUUGUAAUUCGAUAAUUAGUUAAUAUUUGUAUAAUCACAAUAACAAUACAUGUAUUAAGUUUAAUAUUUUAAAAAAAUACCUUAAUAAAUUAAUUUUUAUUAAUUAAUAUAUAAAUUAAUAAAUUAUUAAUUUAUCGAUUAAAUAAUAUCUGAAUUAAUUAAUAAAUUUUUCUGAUCCCAAUCAUAUUAAUUUUUUUAUCAACUUCUGCAUUUUCCCAGGCCCAUCUGGUUUUAGGGAAAAUAAAAAAGGCUAAUUAGGCUUAGAAGCAAACAAAAAAUGGUCACGUAGAUUUGAUAACACAAAGAUUCACAACAGCAAGACCGUAAAAAAAAGGUGUGGAGUACAAGAAUCUAUAAGAUACCACCUUCCUCGGAUAGACCGAUCUUGUCAACGUCUCUAAAAGAUUCUCCCAUAUUGUCAAAGGUGUGGUGAAUGGUGAUUGGCUUCGCUUGGUGGUGCUGCUGUUUAACAAACAGACGCAUAAUUUUCUCGCGCAUGUGGAUACAGCGGUUUCGUUCAUCAGCUCUCCCAAAUCUAUGCAUACCCCACUCAAAAUAUAGAUUAAGGUAUGUCUCUUCCCAGUUUUCUAUAUUACAUCAGAAAGAAAAUCAAAGGCAUAAACAGUCAGUGAACAUGUUCUCUCAAGGGAUAGAAUGUGGAUAUUUAUUUUAGACGGUGAGAACAAUCGGAAGAUGGACCCAGUUUCUAAGCAGUGGGGGAGAGUACGCAGCGAUGGACCACAUAUUCAACUGGGAUUCGUUUGAAUAAAAGUACAAAGCAACAGUUACAAUUUUGUUUUCUGACUUACAUCUGAAUUAAUAAAUGACAAGUCGGUUCAGUUUUUUAGUGUUUGUCUCUCAAUAACAAGUUGUCUUUAAUUCAAAUCAAACCAGUGGGCUCUCACGUUGUAUUAGUCCUUAAUUAUAUUAUUGUUUGGAGGAUUUAAUAGCCUAUUUAACUCCAAGUUUUCAAGUGCCAAAUAGAAUGUAUUAAAAAUUUGCUUCAAAAUAAAUUAAAUAUGAAUAAAGUAUAACCAAUCUCAAAUAUAUAAAUAAAAAGACUAUUGUUAGGAUAGGAUAUGCAAACCCACUUGAGAGAUUGAUUUAACAAAUUUUGAAUUUGAACAUCUCCCAACGUCAAACUCGUGAUUUUUUUUUUUAAAGUGAAAGAUAAUCAUAGAGCAAAUAUAAGCCUAAUUCCCAUUCCCAAAAUGAACUCUAAUAAUAUAAGAUUUAAACCAAGUCUAAUAAUAUAAAGAUAAUUUUAAUUAUUCAUGAACUCAAAUUUUAAAACCAAGUCUCAAUAUGUAUAAUGAUAUAAGAUUUAAUUAUUUAUGAACUUUAAUUUUACACUUUUGAAGUUGGGAUUAUAGUAAGACCAAGUGUCAAUACGUAUAACAAUAUGAGAUUUAAUUAUUCAUCAAGUCUAACUUUGUCCUUAUUUAAUGAAAUUGAACCGCUUAAGAGUUAUCUAAAGGAUUGUUAUCUAAAAAUUUAUAUUCUAGUGACAGCAAUAGAUAAAAAUUAAUUUAAAAUAGUAUUUUAAAAUUUAAUCAAAAUGAAUGUCCAUUUUAUUAAUAAAAAAAUUUGUUAAGAUUGGUACUUAUAUAUAUAUAUAUAUGUAUUAUAGAAUAAUUAUUAUAGAAUAACUUAUUAUACACAUAUGAUGCUUUGAUAGUACAUAGUAGAUAAAUACCAUACUGGUUUUUCUUGUUAGUGCUGAAUUAAGCUAACCCCAACUAGAAGCAAAAAAUUGCCAUUAAACGAGAAAAGGGGUUCGAAUUUAUAAAUCAAAAUAAAAUAAAAAUUACAAAGAAGCAAGGACCAAUGGUGACGUAGGAAGUGGAUUAUAGGAUUGACAAAGUAACCAAUAGAUGAGAAUGACCAAUCUCUAUCACAAAGUGUCUAGUCGUUCCAACCGAAAAGACAACAUAAACGUGUUGGGGUUCCUAUCUUUUCGCUGAGUUGAUCAAUUUUGGGAAACCACCUUAUGUCCUACCAAAUAGGCUUUAACGACUCGUCAACUCGUUGGUUGUUGCGAACAUGUUUCUAGGCAUCCUAAGUGGAUAAGAUGAUGUCUCCAUAAAUUUCUAGUGUAUGAGUACUUUGAAGUUUUUACCAAAUUGGACAAAAUUAUUUCAAAUUCUCGUGAGAGAUGAAAAUUUUGGAAGAAUAACUUCUAAGUUCAAAUAUUCAUUGAUGAUAGAUUUGUAAUUCAUUGGGGAUAGAAUCAGAGGUAGAUUUAAGAUUUUAUAUAAAAAAUAAUUAUAUAAAAUUAUAAAUUUAUAUAUUUUAAAUUAUAUAUAAUAUAAAAAAGGCAUUAAUGUUUUUAAUUUUUAAUUUUUAAUUAUAAUUACAUGUAAAUUCAUUCAUUUUUAAAAUUAACCUUUCAUUCCAAAGUAUAAAUGGUGUUAAUGUUUAAAUGUGAAAUAUUUAAAAUAUUUUUUUUCCUUUUCUCUCAAACCGACUUGUGUAAGGGAGCACCUAGCGAUUGGAUCUGACUAUGGAAUGUUAGAUCUAGUUGAAUCUCCCUAAACUCCUUUAGGGAGCACUGUGCGUUCCUUGGGGAUCUAGCGUUGUCAGUCGCAAGUGACAAGUAGAAAGAUUUUUUUAAAAAAAUAAAAAAUAAAAAAAAUUAUAAUUUGUAAAAUGAUAAUUUUUAAAAUUAAUGAAAUGUUAAAUUAUUUUAAAAAUAUUACCAUAUCAUCAAACUAAUAGAAAUAUUAACAGUUAACUAAUAGUAUGACUUAUAUAUCCAAUAAAAUAUUUUAUAAGAGAAAAUAUUUAUUUUGAAAACUAAUACUUACAUAAGAUUAUAAUCAAAAGUUGAUAGAGUUAAUAUAUUUUAACCUAAUAAAAUGAUUAAAAACUAAGAGCUGACAAUGGCUACUCCCAUUACACCUUGACUCCGCCACUAAGUGAAACUCUGAAAAAUACUAUGGAAGUCAUAAUAGAGCACCAUCAUUGUUUUUUUCCAUCUGUGUGUAGUAAAAAUCUCCUUCUUUAGAUGACAAACAAUCAUCAAAACACAUAAGAAAGUUCAAUAUCGAUAUUUAAUACUAUACAUACGAUUGCUUCCAUAAUUUACUCAAAGUGUCAAAAAACUUCAAGUCACGUUACAUAUUUGUAAUUGUAUAAGAGAUUUAAAAUUAUAAAACAUUACUGUACUUGUCGCUGACAUGGGUAUAUGUUUCCAUUGCUUAAGGGCGAAGUCGUCGGAGGGCUGGAGAGUGGCCUUGCUCCCCUUGGCUCUUGAAAUGUUGGUUUAGUUUACACAUAGCAUUUCUCAAGUAAAUGGGAAAUUUUUGAAUUUGACCUCUCAAGAAUUCACAACAUGGCCUCUCUUUUACAAACUUUGUUAUUGAGAUGAUAAAUUCUAUAUUCGUUAAUGUACAUUUUAAGUUUUAAUUUUAAUUAUUGAUCUAAUUUCUUUUGACUUUUCUUAUGUAAGUAUUAUUGUAGUUGAUUUUUAACUCUUUAAAUCACCAUUUAUCUUUUCAAUUAAUUUAAAAAUAUCUUGACAAUCAUCAAGAGUAAUAAAAGAAAAUAAAAAAAGUUAUAUUUUGUAUAUAAAAUCAAUUAUGCAUACAACUUUUCUGUCCUUAGUUUUUUCUCUCCUAUUUUAUUUUUUAUAUAUCAACCUAUAUAUUUGUUUUCACAAGAUUUGCAACUUCAACUCUAUUUUUAGUAAAAAAUAUUAAUAAAUCUAUAAAUUUUAUAUAAUCAUUAAUUAAGCAAUAUUGUUUUGUUUAAAUAUAAAAAGAUAUUAAUUCUGUUUAUGCCUUAAUUAAUUGAUUUUUUAUUUGAAUUUAAUAUGAUUUGUACUAUUUUUUAAUUAUCAAUGAAAUUUUAUUAUAUGUUUACUCUUAUUUAAAUUACAAUUUAACAUACUAUUCUUAUCUUGACCCACCCAAAUAAAAAAAAUCUUGACUUAUUUAAACAAUUUUCACUAUUUCAUUGUUAAUGUUGUUAAUAAUGAAUAAGGAAGAUUGGAUGCCUUAAGGCUUAAGAAAAUAGGAUUACUUUCCAUGCUCUUUAAACAAAUAUGGGAUAAACUAAACGAAAAGGAAAAAGGGUCAUUCAACUCAAAACCCUGUGAGCUUUAAUGACAAGAAAUUAUCCUGUAAAUUGCUAUGAUGCUUGCUUUCGGUGAUAACAGUUACAGUCAAACCAACUAACACAAAAGGGUAAAAAUCUCGACGACUCAUUUGGUCUUUGACGUUUUGCUUAAACAAUCUGGAUUUUUGGUAAAGAAUAUGUGCAUUUUUCUUUAUCAGAUUUUAUUUAUCAUAAAAGACAAAGACAAAAAAGUGCACCAGAUCAUUAAACUUUUCACCAAUAAAGUCAAGAAACCUUAUCUUAUUCAAAACGCUUUCUUUGCAUGUUAUUAUUAUACCUUUUUUCUUUUUAUCAAAUAAUUUAAUUAACGCGGUUUCCCCACGGAAUAUAAGCUUUUACGUUUGAAUUUUUUUUUUAAAAUUUCCAAUAUAAACUUUUUUCUACACUUGUUUUUUUGUCUUUGCUGCGCUACUUUUCUUUGCCCAUGAUUUCAUCCUGUUUACUUAAUUAUUCUAUUGUUAACUAAACCAGAUUAAUGAUUUAAUCUAAAAGUUUUACAAGCGUUUAACAAAUAAUAUUACCUAAAAGGAUCUUCAACUAACAACCGUCCACCCAAAAAAAAUUAUAUGUAACUAUCUGCCUACACCAUAAUGAAUGGCUUUAUACUCCAAACAAUUGAAAAAUUGGUUGUUCUUGCAUCCCCCAACAUCUCCUUUGCGUUUAUUUGUUUGACAAAUCACAAGCUUUUGCAUGUUUUUACACUUGUUGAUUCAAAGGGAAAGCCUUUUAUUUUUUCCAUUUUACAAAGGGGAAGUGGGCCUAUUUAUUUUACAUUUUUUUUUAUAUUUAAAAAGAGGAUUUGAAUCUUAUUUUUAAAAGAGGAUAUGUAUUAACUAUUAAAUCAAAUGUUUUAAUAUUUAUCUAUAUCAUAUUUAUUUAUUUAUUAUUACUCGUUAAUUGGGAGAUGAAAGUUAGGUACAGUACCUUCAUUAGAUUUGAGAGAUAAGGUUUUCCACUCAUAUCUAGAUAAGUUCAAUUUAUCAGUCCUUAAUAUUGACAAAUAAUAAAAUGAUUUGCGAAUAUUUGUAUUCAUUAAAGAUUUACUUAUAGCACCCUUGCAACAUCAACAUUUCAAUUUUUUGGAAGACCAACCUCGUGAAAAAUAAAAUUAAUAAAAAAAGAGUAGAUUGUGAAAAAGGGGAAAAUUUGAAAAAAAAAGAAAUUGAAAUAUUUUUUAUGACAUAAUAACUAAAAAAGUUUUGAAAGUAUUUUAAAAAAUUUAAAUAAGACCUUAUAUUUUUAUUACUUUUAAUCAAGCUCUUACAUUUUUAUUUUGAGUCAAAUAUGUUUUUAUGAUUAUUGAUUGAUUUAGUUAAAAUGCCAUUUGUUAUUUUAUAAUUUGUGGUGCUGUAUGACAUACUAAUAUAUCAUAAAUGCUGAUAAUGUGACAUGCUAACGUAUCAUAAUUUGUAACAAUGCGACAUGUUAAUUUGGUAUAAUAACAUGAUAAUAUGAUAUUUUUCACUUUUUACAUGAACUCUAUAUUAAUAUUAUGUGGAUAUAAAAUGAUAAGUUAUUUUGAUUAAUGACAACUAAUAAAAACUUGUUUAACUCAAAAUAAAAAUAUAAGAACUAGAUUAAACACAAUAAAAAAAUUAAAAAUUUAUUUAAUUUUUUUGGAUAAUUUAGAAACUUAUUUGACUAUUAUGCUUUUUUUCUUUAUCAUACAAGAAAGAGUAUUGAAAUUCAAACACAUAGAUCUCAACUUCUAAAGGAUUAAUUUUGGUUUGGAGAAGAUUAUUAAUUAUUUCAAAUUUAAUGUAGGUUACUUCCAAGUUUUUUACUAUUAAAAGAUACGUUAGGUUUACAGAAAUUGAAUGGAUUAUUUUAGUUUAGGUCAUUUUCGACUUAUUUAUUGUGCAAUAGAACAACAAUUAGAUUUUAAGCCCAAAAUUAAACAAGAUCAUUUUGGAGUUAAAUUAAUUUAGAAUUGAAUCCUUAUCUUACUGGUAAAUUCUAAAUCUCAUUGACUUGGGGUUUCCAUAUGAAUUGAAUCACAUUUCAACACAUUCAAGUAAAGUAUGUAGGUGACCUUGCAUACUAUCCCACGCAACCAAAAAACUAGAGUUUCCCCUAGUUUGGGUAACAUACUUACAAGAUGCCACUAUAACAGAUCCAAGGGAGAUGGAAGUUGGGACUCAAGUACCCCCGAAUAAGAAAUAAACAGAAUUAUGGGACUCUAAUAAAAAAAAAGGAUUAAGAUUUUCUUCUAUGCCAAAGAAAGAAAAUGCUGGAAAUGCUAAUUUGGUAUUUUAAUUGCUUGGAAAAGCAAAUCGUUUUCUUGAUGGGGCAAAGAAAAAGAUUUGAUAAUGGAUUAUGGGCAAAGAAUAAUUAAAAAAAAAGAGAACAAAAAGAAUUUAGAGAAAGAGCCCACCCAGGUCCAUCUUCUAUUCCUAUAUGUCACCAUCUUCCGUUUUUUGUAGAUCAUCCCAAAAAAUGCAAAUUCUUUUGGAUUUGACUGAAAUUCUGCAUGAAACCAUCCACGUGCCGUCACCCCUUGUCACUCUUCUUUCAUCUCUUUCUUUAAUGCCGCAUAACUUAAGAAAACCUUAAUAUAAAGAUAAAAACACCCAAAAAUAGUCGCUGCCGUUUUCAAUCCCCUUCAGUUUUCUCGAGAAAAUUAAAACCCCACCACCACCCAGAGAAGAAGAAGAAGAAGAAGAAGAAAAAAAGCAAAUCCCAUGAUGAAUUUUAUUUUCAAAACAAAAUAAAAACCAAAAGACCUGAUUCCCAGAGAGAGAGAGGGAGAGAGAGGGGGGGGAGGUAGGAAGCAGAGAGACAAAAAGAGAGUUUGAAAGAAAGAAAAGAUUCAUCGAAAGCGCAAACAAAGCCCUGAAUCAAAGGCGGCCCAGAACCAGCUCCAGCAGCAGCACGGACCCAGUGUCUCUGUCUCUUUUACUUCCAUCUUAAGUCUCUCUCUCUCUCUCUCUCUUCCCGCUUAAAUCUGGCACUCAUUAAUCUGUCUAUAUUUUUUUGUGAGUUUUUUUUUUUAGCUCCGUUCGUUGUUUUAGAAAAGACCCUUUUAUGUAAAAGAAGGUUUAUUGCUGUUUCUUACAGUUAGUAUGUGAAAAUUCUUGUAUGUUUUAAAGAUAGAAACAAAACCCAGAAACCAAAACCCUAGCUUUAUCCCUGCUACACUUGAUUUACACUACAUUUAAGCUGAAAUCCCGUUUCAGCUGAACCCUUUAUUGUAGAUUAUGGCAUUUGAUCAAAACUCAGUACCAAAAGAUCUGAGACCAUUGAAUGUAGCUGGAUUAGCUGAAGAGCCCCGCGUUGGGGCUGCGGUGGCAGCUACUACAAAUGCCAGCUGUAGAAAUGUUGAAGGAUUUUUUCCCAACCCGGCUCGGGAGUCUGGGAGUCCUGGUUCCAUGCCUGUUUUUUAUCCGGCAACAGUGCCUGAUGCCGGUUUUGUAGGCUUAGGGUAUGCGAAUGCAGUGCCCUUGGCUCCAGGUGUCCCCGCAUGGAGGCCUCAGGUGCCUCUGCCGAUGCCUGUUCCUGUACCUGUGCCAGUGGGGCAUCCGAGUAUGAAUCCGGUUGUUGGGUUUGGUUAUAAUCCCAAUUUCAGCAAUAGGGUGGUUGCUAAUGCUGUGGAUGAGGUUAGUAACGAUGUGGUAGCUGGGCAUAAUUUUAGUCCUAGUUUGGGCAAUAGGGGUAGUGGGAAUGGGAGUGAUCAGGUCAGUAAUGAUGCGCUGCCAACAGGUUUUGGACAUAGUUCCGAUAUGGGAAACAGGGGUAGUGGCAAUGGGAGUGAUCAGUUGAGUAAUGAGUUAAUGAGUGGGCUUGGUUAUGAACCAAAUUUGGGACUUAGGAGUAAUGGCAGUGGGGCUGAUCAGGUGAGUGAUGAGGGCGGGGAUGAUUCGGUGUCAGGGAAAAAAGUUAAGUUUUUGUGUAGUUUUGGUGGGAAGAUAUUGCCUAGACCUAGUGAUGGCAUGUUGAGAUAUGUCGGGGGUCAGACAAGGAUUAUUAGUCUUAGGAGAGAUGUGAGCUUUAAUGACUUUGUGCAAAAAAUGGUGGAUGCUUAUGGGCAACCUGUGGUUAUUAAGUACCAGCUUCCUGAUGAGGAUCUUGAUGCAUUGGUGUCCAUUUCAUGCUCAGAUGAUCUUGAUAAUAUGAUGGAUGAGUAUGAGAAAGUGGUUGAAAGGUCUUCAGAUGGUUCGGCUAAAUUAAGGGUAUUUUUGUUUUCGGCUUCUGAACUUGAUGCUUCUGGUAUGGUUCAAUUUGGGGAUUUACAUGACAAUGCGCAGAAAUAUGUUGAGGCAGUUAAUGGAAUUAUGGAUGGAGCUGCUGGUGGCAUCACACGGAAGGAGAGCAUAGCAAGUGUGGCUUCAACGCAGAAUUCUGAUUUUAGUGGGACUGAGGCGGUUGAUAGCAUCGGUGCUGGUCAAGGGGAUGUUAGUGGUCUUCCAUCGGCAAACAUGUUGUCAUCUAGUGGGAAUUCUGCUACUUCUCAUGACACUGCUCCAAAAAUGAUGGCUGUGGAUCCUAAUCCUGCUGGUCAUUUAGGAAUUCCAGUGGUCAAGUCUGGUCCUCCUCAGACAUUGACUUCUCAACCUGAGGUUGAGUUAGAGAGGACGGUGCCCCUUUCCUCGACACAGCAGCAAUUGGGAUAUGAUCUGCAGCAACACUAUGCAUCUACAUAUGUUGAUCCUCGCCAUGAUGGUAUGAAUCGUACUGAUUAUGUGCGUCUUGGGCCUCAAAUGGGAUUCUCAAGUCCUAAGUUGGUGGGAAAUACUGGUUCUGUAUUCAGCCAACAGCAGUUUUCUGAUAAUGCUCCUGGGAUUACCCCUCAUCAGUUCAUUCCUGCUUUGCACAUGACAAUGACUCCCCCCACUUCCCAUGUCAGUAUUCGACCAGCUGUGGUUCAGCCACUGUUGCAACCCCAGCAAACUCCCUUGGAGCGCUAUCAUGAUGAAAACUCAUUUGGAGCAAGGGUAGUUCAGCUUCCAGCUGAUCGGAGCCACAAUGUUUAUCAGGCCCAGAUUCCAGCAAUAGUUGCAGGAGGUUAUGCCUGGCAUCAUAUUCCACAAACUGAGCAUGUUGUCUUCUCAGAUGGAUCAUUUCCUCGGCACCAAGUAACUAUUCCUGAGAAGAUUCCAAGGCUAGAGGACUGCCAUAUGUGUCAAAAGGCAUUGCCUCAUACACAUUCUGAUCCACUGCUACAGGACCAAAGAGAUAGUGGUGUAACACCUAUAGUAAAUACAAAUCCAAGUUAUCAUAGUCUCCGUCCUGAAGAUGCUAUGAGAAUUUCAUCAGUAAACAGAGUUGUGGUGCCUGGACCAUUCGGGGAUGGCAUUGUUGAACAAGGAGCUGGGAUUCGACAGCCUGGUCAACUUGAUCAUCAAUUUGGGGUACUUAAGUCAGAGGCAGUUGGAUUCUCUCAAGGUCUUGAGGCACAAUAUGAACAUGACAGAAAUAUUUCCCCAAAAACAGAUAAUUCUGAUCAUCCUAGGAUUCCAGCAAGCCAGGGUGUGAUGGGUUUGGCAGGUGAGUUGCAAUUACAAUAUGGUUUGCCGACUCAAUACCAGUUUAAACAGGAGGUUCCACAUGUUGGGGCAAUGGGCAUUCAAGUUGCAGAACAGCCAGCGCAUGAAGUCUCUAGACAAUAUAAUGGCAAGCUUCCUGCUGUCCCCAAAGAAGAUAUUAUAGACCCUAACCAUCUGAUGCCAAUUGAUGGGAUGAUGGAGACUCUUCGGGUAAGCAAUGAGCAGAGUAAAUCUCCUGUUGAUAAAACUAGAAAAGGAGAUAUCUUGGAAGAUAGAUCGCCGCAAACAGCAGGGAGAGAGGUGCUUUUGGAUAGUAUCUUUAGCAAACCAUUAGAUUCCAAUGAGAUGGUCAUUUUGGGAAAUGUGGUAGCACAUGCACAGCCAAAAGUUGGAGCCCCAAACUUGGAUUCUGUUGAAGUUCGAUAUGGGAACCCUCCAUUUUCUGGUGUUGAGACAGCACAUAAAUUGGACAAUGUUUCAUGGUUGGAGCAGAAGAUUGUACAAGAUGACACUGAAUCUGUCCCUUUGAAUGGUAACAGUCAAACUUCCUUGUCACCAUCCAACAGAGGUGGAGAUGCUUUGGAUUCCUCCAACUCACUUUUUAGCAAUCAAGAUCCUUGGAAUUUGCGGCAAGAUACUCAUUUUCCUCCUCCUAGACCUAACAAAAUUCAGUCAAAGAGAGAAGGAACUGCUACUAGAGACCCUUUUGGUGAGAACCAGGUAGCAAUUAGCGGGGAAUCUAAUACCCAAUUGGAAGAUGAAGUUUACCAAUCGUUAGGCCAGUUGAACAAGGAUUUUAGUUCAGACCACACACAGUCCACAAAAGGUGAGCUAUUUGGUUAUAGUGAUACUAUAAUAUGUUGUCAUGUAUCAUUUUAUGCCUGUGGAGUAAAUAUUUAUUGUUGUUGCCUUCACUGCCAAAGGCUCAGCCGAGGAACUCAUCAAGAAAGAACUACAAGCUGUUGCUGAGGGAGUAGCUGCUUCUGUUUUUCAGUCAUCUACCCCAUCCAAUCCUGACAUACCAGCAGAGGUCAAUGUGGCUGGUUAUGAAGCCAAUCAAGACACAGAUGUUUCAACUAGCAAUAUCGAAAUGCAGCAUAAAGCUAAACUUGAGGUGUGCAAUCUAAGAUCUCUUCAUUCUCUAUUUGUAUGCUCGGUCCUGUCCCCCUUUCACCCUUGCCUUUUUUUAUUGUGGCUGCAUUCUGCAGAUGCAUUAUUGAGCUGUCUUUCAUGCUAUUUUUAUUAACUCAGGAAAUCAAGACCAAACAGCCAGACAGAACUAAUUUUGGUUUUCGAGUUUCAGAUGGCAUUGCUGGUCGCUUGCAGGUUGAAGCAUUGUUUUUACGUGAUAUUUGUGAUUUUACUAUUAACCUCUAUUGCCCAUUAAUUUAGCUAUAUGUUCGUUUGGCAGAUUAUAAAAAACAGUGACCUUGAAGAGCUGCGAGAGCUGGGUUCAGGCACCUUUGGUACUGUUUAUCAUGGGAAGUGGCGGGGUACUGAUGUUGCAAUUAAACGAAUUAAUGAUAGAUGUUUUGCCGGAAAACCUUCUGAACAAGAACGCAUGGUUUCACACUUUCUUUUCUCUUUGCAAGCUCCUAUUUUCUCCAUAUUAACUUCACUUGCUCACAACUUGUACUGUGGUAAAUGCAUAUGAUCAGAUAGAUGAUUUCUGGAAUGAGGCAAUUAAGCUUGCUGACUUGCAUCAUCCAAAUGUGGUGGCUUUCUAUGGUGUUGUGCUUGAUGGUCCUGGCGGCUCUGUGGCAACAGUGACAGAGUACAUGGUUAAUGGUUCUUUAAGAAAUGCUUUACAGAAGAAUGAGAGGUACUACACAAUUCUAGUUUUGCUAUGCCAUAUAGCCAUUUCCCUAUAAUUGUGUGUAAAUUGUAGGUUUAUCUGAUAAUAAAUAAUUAUUGGAUGACUUGCUGUUGCCAGGAAUCUUGAUAAGCGUAAGCGUCUCUUGAUUGCCAUGGAUGUGGCCUUUGGGAUGGAGUACUUGCAUGGAAAGAAUAUAGUGCACUUUGAUUUGAAGAGUGACAAUUUACUUGUCAAUCUUAGAGAUCCUCAUCGCCCAAUAUGCAAGGUUAGUGCUUGGGCCUGUGUUUUGUUUGCAAUCUCAUUCUAGUGCAAGUUCUAUGGUGGGAAAGCUUUUGAUUAUUUAUCCCAAACAUCUUUGAUCCAAUUGGCAUUUCUUUAGAUUCACUCUGGAUAUUAAUUGGACAUAUAUGUAAAUUUGGUUCCCUGUUGGAGUACGUUAAAUUGGCAUAUUAACAAAGUAUCUUGUCUUGAAUUCUCAUCUUAAGGAGAUUAAUUUCAUAACUGAGUUGACUGAUAUAUGAGAUGUUUAUUUAUCCAAACAAAGAAAAAAGAUAUAUAAGAUAUUCAGGUAUUCUUGGCUGAGGAUUUGGGGAUGGGAUUGGGGUUUGAGGCUUUUAUUGUGGAUUUUCAUAAAUUAUUGUUUGGUGCAAAACAGCAGUCAUUAAUAACAGAAGAACAGAGCAAGCUCUUGUAUUAAUAUUUAUUAACUUGGAAUGAAUAUUUCUGAGCUCUUUAUGAGUAAUCUAUAAUUAGUAGUAGCCUUUUAAUUUCAACCUGCUCUAAAUCUUAACUAAAAGCAUUAGCUGGAUGGACAAGCCUUAAUUGUUCAUUGUAGUAGCAUGCUAAUUGCAUUCCAUGUGCCUUUGGUCAUAUAUAUACUUUUUGGUAUGGGAUUAAUUCUAACAGAAAAAUCUACUUGCUUCAAAAACAAUCUCAUCUAAGUUUUAUACAUUGAUUGGGAUUCAUUAAUAAUUCAGCAUGAACUUUCCGUUGUGGCCAUUUUAUUAGUCCUUGUUUUCCCUUUUUCCCCAGUCCUUUCAUAGUUAUCAACUUCUCUUAAAAAGUAAGCUUCCUUUUCUUUUCUUUUUCAUUUUUUUUUCUUUCUGGUUGGGGAAACACAAGUUGUCUAUUAAUUAGAAAUAAUCUUGCUAGAUAUUUUGGGUCUUUGUUGUCAAUGUCAAUCUACCUUUUUCCACAAAUUAUGCGGCUUCUUUAUCCUAUGCUUUUUCUGCAACUUUCACCCAUGAAUACCUGUUAUAAUUCAAAUAAUCUGGAAUUAUUCUCUCAUGUUUCUGUUUGAUGCAUGUAAAAAUGGCUAUAACCAAGUGGCUGUUAGCUAUCCUCUUCAAUCUGAACUACUUAAAGAAAUCAUUUCCUUGUGGUUUGAUUUUUUGCAGUCACAAAUUACUACUAGCUUUUUUGUUGUUUGUUUGCUUUUGAUUUGCUGCUCUUGAGGAUGAGGAAUUAAAUUUUAAAAUCCAUAUUCCUUUUCAGUUUAAUCAUGCAAUGCAUGCUUACUCUUUUAUAUACUUUAAAUUAUUAAUAAAAUAUGAUUGGUGCAUAAUGAUUGAGUUGAACAGUUGUGAAGUUGACUCUUGUCAAUUUCUAUAUAUCAGUCCAUCAUAUUUGAAACACUCCUUUGUAUUUUCUUCUCAUUUUUUGCAAAAUGAGAAGGAUAAAGGGGAAAUAUAAAUUGAUUUGGUAAUGAAGCACUGAAGAUAAAAGUUGUUCUGCUCACUUUUAAAAGGUUAAUUAGAUGUCAUCUGCAAAACUUAGAACAACUUGCUCUUAUCCAACUUUCUUGUUGAGCUAUAAAUACAAAUAACUGAUUUAUUUGGACUUACAUUGACUCGGAUGUUUCAAAUGAUUUUGAUUGAAAUGUGCAGAGUGCUUAUAUGCAAUCUAUUUAAUCUUGAGUUGAGGACCUCAAUUUUCUCAACAUAAAAUUAUGAAUUCUGGUAUAUUAGUAGUCCUUUAAUCAACUGUUGAUAGGAGGAGGGAGCUUAAUCUGAUGCCAACUAAUUGGUGAUUGCAUGGUACUAUACCCUCUAAGAUAUUGCUGUUAUAGAUUGUUUCUCUUAAAUUCAGACUGAAGGUUAUGUUGCUUUUAUAGAUUGGUUUUAAUGAUUCUUUCAAUUUCAUUCUGAACUGUUUCAGCAGAUUCAGUUUCUCAUGCCUAGUUUUUGGUACCAGGUUGGUGAUUUGGGCCUAUCUAAGGUGAAAUGUCAAACUCUGAUCUCAGGUGGCGUACGUGGAACACUUCCAUGGAUGGCACCAGAACUUCUGAAUGGCAGCAGCAGUCUUGUCUCAGAGAAGGUCUGAUUUUUAGCACAUUUCUGGUGCCCUCUAAUCUCUUAUCAUUUUAUUUUCUUACUUCACUUAUGUCCUACAUAAUCAUGUAAACUUUUUUUGUCUACGUAUAGUUAAUCAUGAGAUUUUUGUUUUGAUAUUUUCUCUAAUUUAGGUUGAUGUGUUCUCAUUUGGUAUUGUGAUGUGGGAGCUUCUCACUGGAGAAGAACCAUACGCAGACUUACACUAUGGGGCUAUUAUAGGUAAUUGCAUUAUAUGUACACUUAUUCAUGGACUCUGUUCUUUCCACUUUGAUAAAUCAUAGUGAUCAUUUGCCUGGAAUUGCUUUCAGGUGGUAUUGUGAGUAAUACACUACGGCCUCCGGUUCCAGAAUCAUGUGACCAGGAAUGGAGAUCAUUGAUGGAGAGAUGCUGGUCAUCAGAGCCAUCAGAGAGACCAAGCUUCAUUGAGAUUGCCAAUGAGUUACGCUCAAUGGCUGCAAAAGUUCCACCUAGAGGACAAAACCCACCAUAAAUGUGCUUGGCUUAAAUCAUCUUCUGUUUCUGGCAGUUGGAGGAAUAGGAUGUAAAUGUGCUUGGCUUGAAUGUAAUACAGGGAACUAAGUUACAAAACCACCCCCCCCCCCCCCCCCCCCCCUAUUNCCCCUAUUUUUGUAGAAAUUAUACUGGCUUGAUUGUGUUAGCUCUUACAAUUCCAUUAUAAGUGAAAAGUGUCCUGAUAUGCAAUUUAUUGGUUAAUUAUGGUGAAAUCGUGCAUAUCCUGUCAAUCUAACAGGGUUGAAUUGUUUCGUAUAUCCAGUUUCAUAGACCUAAAUUUUCUGUUCUCAAGCUUAUAGAUGUGCAACAUGCGGGGAGGGGGAUGGUUUUGCACUAAAACCAAUGAUCUAUGGCAUUGGCCACCUAGUUAGCAGAACAGCAUUUAGUCUAUGACUUGAAACCAGAAUGCUUGCGCCAAUGAUCUGAAGGACAAUCAGCUAGGGACCCUGGCAAGCCGGUUGCUAAUUUAUUAACUUAUAAAUUUAUAAUGUAAUUGAUUUAAAUGGGUUGGAUGUGUUGAAUUAUGUAAGUGAUUGUUAAGCUAAAGACGAUUAAUUCAGCAUGCUAAAAUGGAUCACAAGUAGCUCAGGUUUGGCAGGAUUACCUAACAAUUUUGGAUUAUAAUUAAGCUAAACACUUAAUAGUCAAAACUCAAUUAAUUAAAUUAGCACACUUAUUCAAAAUUCGAAUGCAAUGAAUUUAGUGCUGAUAUUUUUGACCCCAGCAUUAGCAUGAGCAUUUCUUCAGUGACACCUGAUGCCAUUUUCCUCUUUCCAGCCGCGUUAUUUCCAUUGCCGCGUUGCAAUGGGCCGCCAAACGGAGUGGGUCAAAUUCAAGUCCCUAGCUUAUCAUUUUCCGUGUUCCCUACUAAUCACAAACUGUUACGCACCCUAGUGAAUGACCAAUAAAAUUGACCCCUCUAAGCAUUAGAUAGCCAAGAUUCUUCUUCUUCAUACAGGUGGCAUUUUUAUAUUGGGCCUUGAUGAUAAUCUAUCCUACUCAAGGCAUUGCUUACAAGACUCCUUAUUUCCACCUCCCAUGAUAUUUCCUUGCUUGUUUCUCUUCAACUUCCUUGCAUGGCUUCUCUAAUCAAAUUCUUUUGAACUUCCCCUAAACCUCUUAGAACUUCUCCAUAUAAAAGCCUCCUUUCGUCACAAUCCAAAACCAUUAGCCUUAUUUUUCUAUCUUUAAUUUAUAUUUUUCCUUCCCAUGACAAAUUCCGAAGAGAAACCAAUCUUCAUGCACAAGCAUUCACCAUUACAAGGAGAGGAUGUUGAUGACCAUGAAGAGGAAGUUUGGGAUAAAGGAUGUGAUUGGUUUAGUCUCUUCUGCCUCAAAUGGCGGCGAAACGACAUCGAGGAAACUGAUUCCUUAGUGCACCAGAGAGGAGAGCCCACACAGACAUGGUGGAAAAGCAAACUGAAGAAAGUGAAAGAAGUCUCGGAAAAACUUGCAGGGCCAAAGUGGAAGAAUUUUAUAAGGAAGAUGAGUGGAUAUUGCAAUAAGCGUAGGACUCGAAAGAACAGGUUUCAGUAUGAUUCUUAUAGCUAUGCUCUCAACUUUGACGAUGGUGCGGAUAAAGAAGGAGAUGAUUUGCUUCAGGAUUUCUCCGACAGGUUUGUUGCUCCAUUUUCGGACGAGAGACAGCGGGCUGGGUCAGGAAUGUAAUCACACUGGUUUAAUGAUUGGUAUCUCUUUCUCAGCAUAUGCAAAUUAAUGAUACUGAUCAAAAUGUUUGCAUAUAUAUGAUUUCCUUUAUACCCUCUUAAUUGGAAUCCAUGUGAAGUAUAGUUAUAUUCUUUGGCUUAUUUUGAUUCUUGCAAACCUGGAACAUAGUUAACGUAAAUUGAACUGCAAGGUAUGGGCGUUAUGUCAAUUAAUUUGUAUGUAGGGCCUCUGAAAUGGAGUUUGAAUAGAAUCUGUUUGUAUUUGCACCUUAAGCUAUGCCUGCCUUUCAUUUAUGGCAAACCUGUUUUCAGGUAUGAACAACUCCCAACCAAUUCAGAUCAAGAUUUCAAUACAAGAUGUAAUUAGCGAGCUAGCAUAGGGGACAAAUUGUUAAACUCGAUAUUCUAGUAUUGGUACAAGGCAUAUUCAUACACCUUAGUUACUUUGCCUGGUGGACAUGGAGCGAUACCUUGAAUGCUUUACAUAAAGAAAUGCAUAUUAUACUGCAUGACAGUUUGGAAAAUUGUUGUUAGAGAAACCAUAUAGGCGAAACUGAAAAAGCAGACACUCAUGCCUUGUCCUUUUGCAACCAGGCAACAACAAACAACAUUUUGAACCAUGAUAUUUCUUAUGUUGUCUAUUUCCUGGUUUUACUCAGCGCUGCUUUGACAAUAGUUCUGCAGAUUAAGCAGAAACAGGGAUACUUUCCUUUCGCUUCAGCAACCCAAAGCUUUGAAAAUUUUUUUAUUAAGAUAUAGAGGUUUAAGUCAAGUCACUUAUGUGGACAUGAAUAUAAACUAUUUGUUUAUGUAUAUGCACGAGUAAUUUAUGCUUAAAGGCAGGGGAGAAAUUAUAGAAGACAUUAAGGACCAAAGAAUCCUGCAGCUAAUUUAACCCCAUGAAGUAAAUUGUGUUGCUCACAGCAAAUUGUCUCUCCCACAUCUCAAAAUACUCUGAGUAAUAGACUUUUAUGUUGCAGCCGGAGACUUAAGGAAGAAGUUUUGAAGCAUUAAUUACGCUUUGUUUUUGUGGUUAGGUAUGAUUGUAUUGGUUUUGUAUUAUCGUUGUAUUUGUUUCUUUGUGCUUUCUGCCUACCUUCUCAUGCAGCUUGUUUUGUUUUGUAUCACUAACAGGAUUUCUUCCUGACUUUAAGAUGAAUGAGAUUUCAUUUAGCCAAAAUACAUAUAUGCUAAGUUGCGGUCACAAGUCCCGUUAUUUGAUACCUAGCCCUUGCUAGUUUAUUAUUGUUCCCUUAAACAAAAUUUUAAUUGAUCCUGUAUAUCCUUUCUGGAUUGUACAAUGACAUUUAUCAAAUGGAAAACCGCUGAUACAGCACAUACAAAAAAGAACCAUGGAACCAUUCCACGAAUAGAUGAUAUGGAAGCUACACCAGAAAUCUAGGUGGUGUUAUUAAAUAGUUUGACCAAUCGAAAAUGAAAUACCUCAAACCCCAUGUCUCUGUCUACAUAUUAUUGCAAGCAUUAACCUUCAAUCAAUUCACAGGUAAAACAUUACAUAUAGUAUGAACAAGUUGAUAAUUACAUUAUAAACCCAUGACUUAAAGCCAUUCUUGUCCACAGAUAUAAAAGCAUGAGCUGAAAAUUUACAGCUACCUAUGAUACAUUAAUUCUAUGUAGAGGACUUUUCUUACAGUCUUGUAGGCUCUAAAUUUCAAGAAUCUAAAACAACAUAGUUACACAGAUAUCAUUACCUAUCGGCGGAUUACCUAUUGACUAAAACUGAUUGGUGCUGAUGCCAACCCAUUUGUAAAGCUGAACCACAAAACUUGUUAUUGAUGAUAGCUAACCACGUUAACAAAAUAAAGCACUCAACGGAAGUUGUCUUGUACCCAGACUUUCCAUUGCAAUGGCCUAUAAUGCAUGCUCGAAGCUGAAUUUCCACCAGUAUAGGCAGAAAGCGAAACAAGUAGUUUUCUAUAGCUUUUAAUUUACAUUAAGUGUUCAUUGCUGGUUUUACCUGCAUUACUUCUUUUUCCAAAUUAAAUUUGGCGAAUGAUUCUUGAGAAAAGCUCAUUUUGAUUGAGAAACACAUUCAUAAGCAGCCUACCUCUUACGUUUGCUUUUCAGAGAAGUAGAUGGGUUACUCUGCCAAUUCCUUUUUCUCUGGUUUAUAAACCAAUUGUUAAUCUGCUUUAACUGCAAUCCGGUUUCCUGCACUAAUCUUGCUUUGUCUUCCUCCUGCAACAACAUUUUGUCAGAAAACUGUUGAAAAGUACGUAUCAUAAGGUCAACAGAGCUACCCAGGAAAUAUAUCACACUCACUGUUGGGUAAGGCCAUUUAGAAUGUGACUGCCACCAAGCUUUUAAGAGGGAGGUGGUGUCACCUGGUAGCUUUCCAGCCCUUCUCUUACGCAGAAUUUCCUCUCUAACGACCACAAUUUUCUCCUUGUAACCCUAAAAUGCAGAAAGCACAUUUAGGUGCAGAGUAUAUGUCAAGUCUUUCCACUAUUAAGUUUAAGAAAGCAUACCUGCUUCAGCUCAUGCUUCAGUUCUUGCCUAACACGCUCCAUCAAGGACCUCUCAGUUUCAGAUGGAAUGAGAGGACCAAAUCCCAUGCUGUCAAUCCCAUCCAAACUUCCAUCAAACAAGCUUGUAUCACUAUCUACCACUUCAUCUUCAUCAUCAGACAUGGUUGCACCAGUGCCUUCACCUGGAGAUACACCUGUUCAAUACUUCAUGGCUUAGAUCUAAGUUUAGCCAGUUUAAUCCAUGGUUAAUGCAGUAAUACUAAAAGAAUAAAAUAAACAGGGAAGGAUAAGUUCAUUAUUAUGAAUUAUAGCUGGUGGGAAAGCUAGAUGUAGAAUUCAAAUACUGAAACCAACUUCUAAGGCUUAUGUAUAGACCCUUUUUCAGUUCUAGGUGAAUUAAAGGGACAAUAUCAUAGUGAUUAGCAUUGUUCUUCAUUGGCCAUAGCUGUCAGUUUGGCUUUUACAGGGAGGUGUGUGUGAUAGAGAGAGAGAGAGAGAGAGAGAGAGAGAAAGGUGGCUUAACUAUCUACAACUUAUAGCUCAGAGAAGUCUCAACACAAGGUUCACUAGAAGGGAGCUAACAAAUAUAAUGGUGUAUAAAAAACCGGUUCAACCCUGGAUCAACGAGAAUGGUUGGCGGUAAAAGAUAGUCUGGAAGAAAAACAAAAAGAAAAGGAAAUGAUAAAAAUUUCUAACGAAAAUAAAAAUUAAAACUUAGCUAGGAACUAAGACCUCUUAAUGCAUAUGCUUAAUCUAAACCUCCAAAACAUUUCCUGAUAGAGGAAAGACAUAACAAGGAAGAUUUAAGUAGAAUGGAUGUGACAUGAAGCCUGGAAUAUGGAUGCUACUAUCAGAGCACUGACACUUGAAUAGUUGGAGCAUCAUUUAGAAACCAGAAAAAGGAAAAUACAUAACUAAUUAAAAGAUGCAAUCAUUACGGAUAACAUAGCUCCAAUGCAUUAGAAUGAUGCACUUGCAUGCUACUACUACUUUCUGCUAUCUGUUCCAAAAGCUGUUCACCUUAAGGUGAACUAUUUACCUGUUAAACUUUGAAGUGAUUGCUCAAGAUCCCAACAAGCCAUAACUGCUUCCAUUGCAUGAACACGGACAUGUUGUUGCAAUUGGUCUUUAAAGAAACCAAGCAAUAGAACAUAAUUUGUCUACAUUAAAGGGAGAAAAGAGAGAAUAUUCAAAAGAUGCCAAUGAUCACAUAUAACAUGUCUAUAUUAGAAAGCUGAGAAGGAAAAAAAAAGGCAAAAGGGAAAUAAACCAUCUCAUACCUAUUAAAUAUUCAAUAAAAUCAUUGAAUAUUUACAGCAGCUUACAAAAAAUUUUAGGGGAUUGAUCUGGUGAGGCAACUAUGUGAAACAGAGGGGACAGGGAAAUUCUGAUCUAUUCCUUAUUCCACAAAAUAUACAAUAAAGGCAGAUCAAAACUUAAAAGACAUCACUUCAAAUGAUUUUUAACAAUAAUGGACAAUAAUCUAUCGUGAGUCCCAUAAUUGCAUAAUCCUACGCCUCAUCAUAAAAGUAAAGAUUAUUGUGAAAAAUUUCUUGCAUUGUCAAAUUCAAGAAACCACUUCCUUAAAUAUAGACAGGUCAUGUUUAGCUUGUCUUAAAAAUAAUGCCAGCUCUUUCAAGACCUGUAAUGCUGGCUUGUACGAAUGCUUUCUAUGGCCAGGUUGACCAAAGAAACCACUAUACUUUAGAAGACUGUCCAACACCAUAAAGACUGAUAAAGGUGCAAUCCAAGCAACAAAAAUAGUUCUAAAAAAGUAACAGAUUUCUAAUACUAUCAGAUGCCUGAUUGAAACACAAUUUUUUUUUCCAUAACUGAGUUAACUUUUUUAGCUUGGUCUCCGAAAUACUUAAUGGCAUCAUAGAGAAUAUAUCUGCUAUUAUCAAGAAAGACCAAAUGAGGAAUAUAGACGCUUGGAUAGAAAAAUUAGUUGCAGUAUCAUCCAGAGUUGAAACCAAGAUCAUGCUUCCAGCUAUCUCCAACAGCAAUUUCUUAUUCCAAAUAAUAUGUAAAAAACAAAAAAAGAAUAGCUCAAACCAUUGGAAAUUUAAGAAUUCAAUUAAGUUUUCUUUACACAGUUAAAGGGGAAAAACAUUGAACAACUAAAUUGCCAGUUGGUACUUGCAUGUUUAUACCAUCAAACUGAUACUAAUUCACUCAGAAGGCCCGAGCACUGAUGCUCAUCCAGAAUCGGAAACAAUAUGGAAACAGAAACCUAACAAUCCCCCCCUCCCCCCCACCCAAAAAAAAAAUGGCAGAAACUGAAAGUUGGUCCUUCACGCAAGAACAAAUUCCGUAAGCAAGGAGAGACAUAUUACAACAAUCAAGAAACAAAAGAUUCUUGAGAGCACUCCAAAAGUUCCAUUAUUAGGGUACUGAAAAGCAUCAUCCAUCCAAUGAAGCCACAAAAGCACAUUCUGGUUCACAUCACAAGGCACACCUUCAAGUACUAUCCUCCACUAAGAAACUCCAGCAUACCAUCUUUUUAGUUGACACAUAAAAUACUACCAACAUAAAACAUCCCAAAACCCAUCUAUCUCCCCUCAUUUCUUUAACUAAAUUACAUAAUAAGAAACCAAAAAAGUAAAAGGGUUAGAUUAAAAACUUCAGCUUUAUUAAGGAGCAGCAUCUCCAUAGCUAAAAAAAGAAAAAGCAUGAAAACAAAAAAUCUCUAGCUUGAAGAGAAAUCCUUUCCUAAAAUAGUCACAUACUGUUGUAAAAUAAAAACCCAUAAGUCCAGCUACUCAUUAAAAGCAAAUAAUUAACAAAAAAAUUUGUAUACUACAAAUAGAAAAUAAAAAAAAAAAACUCAGUAUAACCAAUGGAUCAUAACUAAAAAAAGAAAAAAGAAAAAAAGACCUAAAACCAACCGGUCAACGGUGACCCAAAUAAGAAAGAUAACAAGAACUAAGCCAAAAAAAGAAAAGCAAAGAGCCCAAAUCAAGAAACAAGAAGAGAAAAGGGUUUACCAUGAAGUGAUCGAGUUCAUCGUCAGAAGCAGUAGCAGCGGUAGCUGAGUACUUAGCCAAGACUUCCUGGGACCUAGCCAACUGAGCGUCGAUCUUAGCGAGCUGGUCAACAGGCGUAGCAACACGCAGACAAGCGACGUGUGCUUCCAACAGCUGGUCGUACAUGGGAUGUCCCAUUAUCUCGGCCUUGUGUUUGGCUCUUUCCCAGUGGUCGACGUCGGCAGCAGCUGAGGCAGAAGCCGAUGCAGCGGUUCCGUUUAGAGCAAGGGUUUGCAUGUUUUUGGUGUGGUCGGAGACAAAGCCAUCGAAAGCCAUGUUCAGAGAAAGAGAUGAAAGGGCUUUGAAGGGUUGGAGUUUUAGUAAAGAAGAAGAUAAGAAGAGAGAGAGAGAGAGAGAGAGUCUUGUAGAAGAAAGAAGGAAAGAAAGAGAGGAAGGCGCGGUUGUUGGAGGGAUUGUGGUAAUAAAGACAAAGGGGGAUCUAUGAUGCAAGGGAACAACUAUUGACGUUUGAGUUAAAUUUCUAGGUCUUUGGUGGUUAAUUUGGUUGGCUUUUUUGUCUCUUCUGUUUCACUGGUUUACCUCCUUUAAUUACAUAAAAACCUUUUGUAAUAAUACUAGUAUUUCAAGUAGAAUCACAGCCAAAUCAAAAUAAUAAGGUUACUAUAAAAGACCUAGACACAUCUUCCGUUACUUGCGUCUUUCAUCUCUCUUUACGGGUAGCCAUUCAUGUCAUACAACAAAACCAAAAAUAAUUACCGUAUUUAUCUGCUAAACCAUUUUUCCAUUUUAAGUAUUCACAUACAAAUAUCAACAAAAUUUUGUUUUUACUUCCAUAAAAAUUCAUUAAAUCGAUACCUUCAUCAAAUAGACUUCACUAUGUUUCGUUUUUCCAUAAUGAUCGUAAUUUGUUAAAAAGUUAUCAUGGUUUAAUGAUUAAGUUAACAAUAAUUAUAAGUAUUGAUUCAGAAUUGUUAGAAUAUUGUUUUAAAGAAGAGUUUUUAGGUUUAAGAUACUGUUUUUCAUUAAAUUUAAAAGAAAAUACAUUCAAUAUAGUUUUGUUUCUUGUAAAUAUCACCCUAACCAACUUUUUUUAUUAUUAUAUCGGGUGAUCCGUCAGUCUCUGACUUGUUCCUUAGCUUUAUGCUUUAAAGGCAAAGGUAAAAGGAAAUGUACAUUUUUGUUUUUAGUUUUGUGUUUUAGCAUAUUUACCAAACCAGAACAAAAAAAAUAAAUAUUUAUUGUUUUGGUCAGUGAAAAAACAUUGCUCUGCAAAAUUAGGUCAAGCCUUUGACCGAAAAAAGGACGAGGCCCAGCUCGAAAGGCAAGGACACUGUGAAUUUCAUUGCAAGAAGCCAAGAAGCCCUAUGAUGACACCAUUGCCCAUUUCCAGCUCCUUGUCUCCGUACGUUCUACACGUGUCAUCCUCAUAUUUCAUUGGACCACCGGUGGGACCAUCUAGGAGAACGAACUACAUCCCUUCACCUGUCCGUUGCAGGCUAACCAGGGACCGCUGCCAGCAAAAGAAAAUAAAUAUUUAUUUUUAUAAAUUAUGAACUCGAUUUUCUAUAUUCAAUCACUGGUUUAUGUUAAUUACAUUUCAAGGCAUUUUCUCACUUUAAUUAAAUAUAUAAUAAUGAUUUCUGAUUUUCUCAAAUAGCGACUUGAUUAAUUUUUUUGUAUAUCAAAUACUGAACCCACUAUUUAAUUUCAAAACUUCACCUAACCUUGACUAACUAGUGCUAUAGGUAAGUUAAGUUGGUUUAAGUAGCAAUGCCUAAGCAUUUUUGGGGCACUAUUAAAUUGAAUAUGGGUUUUUAUUCUGUCGGUAGGAGGAAAUAGGAAUCAUUCAAAAUUACAUGUUGCAACAGCUACUGGUUGAAUGAAGCCAAGGAGCCAAAUUCAUUCAUUGCUGAGUUUGAACUUUGAAACCCAUUAAAGUUGACCCAAAUGGUCCCGGCUUGCCCCCUCUUACUCAGCAUAGCUUGAACAGCUUUUUGCUACGAACACUCGGCCAUCAAUAAUGAAAAAUUCCAUGUAUCUUACACUACAAGUCGAAGGAUCUGACUAAGAGACCACCUUCUCUACAUGUAAUAGAUAGGCCAUUUGAUAUGCUCAAGAUUUUUCUUGUAAAGUGUGGGAUGACAUGUCUCAUGGUUUUUGGUAAUAAAAAAUUCAACAUUUUCAACCUUAGCCUACCCUAAUUAAGCUCCAAGUUCCCUCGUGAUGUCAACAUGGUGUUCAAGCUUUGUCAAUUCGGUGCUAAAUAGUUUAUUGUUAAUAACAUAGAUUUUAGUAACAAGUUCAACGGUUUACUGUAUUCAUCGAUGUUUAAACAGUUUAACAGGUACAUAUAAAUACUUAUUCAGGAAGAUAAAAUAUAUUGAUUAUAAAUAUCAUUUUAAUAAAUAUUUAUUAGUUCUUUUUAACUUUUAUAAUUGAUUUUUCCAUAAAGUUUUGAAACCUUCAAUCUCAAAGCCCAGGUUUAAUAGCUUGGGCUCUAGAUCCUAACCAUGUUAAAUCCAAUCUGCUAUGAUUCUCUUAAUUUUGCUCUUGUUUGUUCUACUCUUCUAGCCUACUAGACUAGCUUAGUUUGUUAAUUAAGCCCCGGUUUUAGCAGUAAGCCGUGAUCAACCAUGCAGUGGGCGCUAAGAUUUGCCUGCAAAGGAUGAUGAGGGGCAAAACAAAACCUCCCUUACCGUACCAUCAUUGGCAGCAUGUAGCUUUGCUCCUAGUUACAGACAGUAUCCGAGUUUGAAGUUUGAAGGGCAAUACUUUUCUCUCUUUCUUUCAUGCAUAGAUAUUGGUACGAAAUUUUCCGGCAAGAUCGGACAAGUUACACGACGAGAGUUUGAACAUGCAAAAGGGGAGGCUAAAGAAUGAAUAUAUUACUUGUUUCUUACGGCAGAGUAGGUGACAUAGAAGGCUUUGUAACUUGGACCUCUCCACAGUCACUGAUGUAAACAGUUUUAAGGGGCCUGUUCCAUAACGUGCGACCUUUCUGUGCUCUUUCAUCUCCAAAAAAUUCAGCCAAGUCAUUUAGUAGGCGAAUUCUUUCAGAAGGUUUGUAGGUUGGGAUGGAAGCGAUUGCUGUCACAACAUCCAAACCUGAAAUUGAAAUGAAAUCAAAGUUCAAAAGGUGGCAAAUUAUUUCUUAAAAUCUAGACAAUGUGUGUAAAACGCACAAGGACAAUGAAGAGUAGAUAGCAACAAUUUCCAGAAAAAAUUUCCUGUUCCUGCAUAUCAAAAAGCCUUAUAGAAUUCUUCAGUUUUCAAAAGGACAAACACUUCUAGAGGUUCAUACCGCACUACAGAUACCUAUCAUAUUGACAGUAAUAUCAGAGUUUGAGAAUUGGUAAUAUCUACACAAGUGUGGCGCAUUUGCAUCAGCAUGCAUGCAGAACCACAUGCUACAAAUGGUAUGUGUUUCACUAGAAAGGCAAACCAGAACAGACACAAGUCAUUAGAAUGCAAUAUGCAUCAAAGCAACAAGACAUAAUGUUCAAGGAUCUAAACUCGUUUAUAUUCAAUAAAUGUGGAGAGAUUUUGUGAUUCUCCUCUAACAGUGGCAAGCUGUCUUAAGGUUACUCAUUCAUUUUAACUAUAGCAGCAACCUUCAAGAUAUAAUUAAUGGAACAGAAAGCAUUUCCUUUGGAAGAAGUCACAGCAUUUAAAAGAUCUCGAUUUUGCUGGUGUAGAUGGAUUUCGAAUUAAGAACAAGCCUCCAAAGAGGACAAAAGGAAAGGGCAAAGGCAUUUGAAGUCAGAUGAGGUUAACCUUUUCCUUAACACGAUUAGAGACACAUGUGCUCUACUAACCCUGUGGCACUUUUUUUUUCUUUUGAAAGUUGGUGUUUUAUUGAUAGAAGAGCUAAAAUGCUAUUCUGAGUCUGGAACUUUAUAUGGUAAAAGACUCCUUUUGGCAUAGAAGCUAACAUACAGUACUUGGAACUGUGACUACAACCCAAUCAAAGCGACUCAAAACCAGAUGCUAUCAUCCUCGGAACAAAAGUAGCAGCCCCUCAGCAAAAGAGUUUAAGCUGUAGUAAAACCAAAUUAGGCUACAAAAAUCACUGCAAUGAACCCAAAGCCCCUGGUGUAUUUUGUUUUGUUGUUACAUUCAACCCUAGAGAGUAACAUUUGCUAAACUUGAGCAAAUUUACAAAAACAUGAUUCAGAUAUUCUUGUUCAAUUCAAUUACUGAGAGAUGCCAUCCAAAUGGAUUUAUUAUGCCUUGAUUCUCACAAAGUUUAUAAUUGUGGGGGAAUUAGACAAGACCAAAGACACUCCAAAAAUAAGAACUAUAUAUAUAUAAUAGAGAAAAUUGUAAGAAAUAACUCACCUCAUAAGGCCAUUUCAAAAAUAGAUAAUAAAGUUCCAAAAUUAAUAUUGUCCAACAACUGCGUUCCAAAGUCCUACUUCUCGCAACAGUGUGAUUCCAAUUUUAACAAACAGAGUAUUUAUAAGGAAGCUGUUUGCUUUUGAGGAAUCAUUAGAAAAGAACUACCUUCAAGUUUUUAUGCAAAAUUUCAAUAAAGAAAACUGAAAGAAACUGCAAAACAUCAGUAACCAGUUCUCUAGCUAGUCUCUCUACCAACUGGGAACAGCUACAAUCACCACUUACCAUCGCAAUCACAUAUUUUAGACAUAUAAAGAAAUUUGAAUUUGUGCAAUGCCAUUCUUUCCUACAAACUCUAUUCAUAAAGUACCCAAAUUGAACAUUACCAAACCCAUCAGACUAACCUCCUCAGAAGAAAUAAAACAUGCACCUGCAUAUAUUACCUACUAAUUAACUGAAUUUCACUACUUUAUCCCCCCGAACGAAACUUCAUUAACGAAAUCAGCAGAAAUUAAAUGCAUAUAUGCUAAACUAUACAUAAAAUCUAAAUUUAAGCACUGCUGACAUAACAGACAGACCGAAACCUUACCUUCAAGCACUGUCCCAAAAACAAUGUUGUUAUUAUCCAGCUGAGGGCAGGGACCAGGCCCUGUAGUGAUCAAGAACUCAACAUUCCUAUAAUCAGAACCAAGCUUAACCUCAUCAUCAUCAUCGUUCUCUGAUAAACAAAGCGAAACGACGCCAGCCCUUGAAUGUCUAAGCAAGAAGGCCUUAGAGUCAACAGUCUCGGUGUUCAGAGGCAAGUCCAAGGCAGGAAGGAGAUGGACCUCGCCGUACUCUCGGCUUCGGCCUUGGCGUCCAGCUUGAAAGAACUGUCCUGGAAAUACUUUGUGGACGAGAGUGUUUUUGUAGGAGGAAGAUGUGCACAUGAGCUUGAAAGUGGAGACUGUGAGAGGGAGGAGGUUGCCAUAGAGGCCGAGGACUAUGCGGCCUAAAGGAGUAGGGUCCGUACAGAGAGGGGUAUCUGCGGCGGCGGCGGUCGUGGAUGUGUUGGUAACAGUAGAGCGGAAGUAGGUGGGGCAGAGGGAGAAGUCAAGGAAGACGCGGUCAGUGAUUGUGGUGUCUAGUGGGGGUGAUAAUGAGGAUGAAGAUAAGGAUGGGGUGUUGAGGGCGGUGGAGAAGGAGGAGGAGAGGAGGAGGGAGCGGCGAGUGAGGGUGGUGGAGG